UUGAAUUUAUCUCACAACUCUUUUACAGAUUUUGAGCAAAUUCCAUGGAAGGGAAUUGCAAUUCUUGACCUUAGCUCAAAUUUCAUUCAUGGAGAUCUUCCGAUUCCACCUUCAACAACAUUUGUCUUUUUUAUCUCAAAUAAUAGUUUGAGUGGAGAGAUCCCUUCUCGACUAUGCAAUGCAAAUUCCCUUGAAUUUCUUGACUUGUCUCACAAUAACUUGAAUGGAAUUAUUCCACAAUGUUUUGGAAAUUUAAGCCAAAGCCUUUCAGUGUUGAAUCUACAAAUGAACAACUUUCGUGGACUCAUUCCUCCAGCUUUUACAAAGGGAUGUCAAUUGAAAUAUCUCAACUUAAAUGGCAAUCAAUUAGAAGGGCCUCUACCACAAGCCAUCUUUAAUUGUAGAGGUUUGGAAAUUCUAAAUCUUGGUAACAACAAGAUCAAUGAUACAUUUCCUCAUUGGUUGGAAAGUCUUGCACAAUUACGAGCUCUUGUGAUGCAUUCAAAUCAAUUGCAUGGUUCCAUUGAAGGCCCCCGGUCCAGUCGUUCUUUCUCCAAAAUUCAAAUUUUUAAUCUGUCAAAUAAUUAUUUUACUGGUCCACUUCCCGUUAAACAUAUAAAAAAUUUCAAGGUUAUGAUAAAUCUCACAAAAGAUGAAAGUGUACUGUCGUACAUGGGACUGUAUGGUCAUUCUUUGGUUGACUUCUAUAGCUAUUCUAUUGAAAUUGCAAUAAAAGGAGUAGAGAUUGAAUUGGAGAAAAUAUUCAUCGGGUUGACGAGCAUUGACCUCUCAAGUAAUGAGUUUCAAGGUGAGAUUCCAAAGGUUAUUGGAGAGCUUAACUCACUCAAAGAGCUAAACCUUUCUCAUAAUAACCUUAGUGGUUGUAUCCCAACAUCAAUGGGGAAUUUGGCAGCAAUUGAGUCGCUGGAUCUCUCUUCAAACAAGCUAGUUGGGAAGAUUCCUUCAGAGUUGAUUAGUUUGAAUUUUCUUGAAGUGUUAAAUCUUUCACAAAAUCAACUCGUUGGACUUAUACCUCAGGGAAACCAAUUCAAUACCUUCGGCAAUGAUUCCUAUGCUGGUAACUCGGGAUUGUGUGGGUUUCCAUUGCCAAAGAGCUGUGACAACACUGAGGCAUCCGUUUUCCAUGAGGAAGUAGAUCCUGAAUCUGGAUUUGAGUGGAAAGCAACAUUGAUGGGUUAUGGAAGUGGACUAGUGUUGGGAAUAUCUGCAGCAUAUAUCAUGUUCACACUUGGAAGACCCAAAUGGCUUGUGAGGAUGGUUGAAGAAGCAGGCUACAAAUUGAAGAGAUAUCUCAGAGGACAAAGGAAUUUGUAAAUCAGUAAGGAGCCCUCAUUUGUUACUGGUGGAUGGAAUGGCUUGUGUGCCAUUUUGUUGUUCGUUUUAUGCUCAGUUUGGUUUUCUUUUCUUGGUAGUGUUUUGUUUUGUCUUGCGCCCUGUCUUCUCUUCUAGGGGUUUUAUCAUGUUUUCAGAUUGUUUGUUAUAAGGGAUGCCCUGUUUUUGAUCUAGUAUGUUGCUUGGCUGUUGCUCAUUGCCAUCCAAAUGCUUGUUCUCUUCUCUAUUAUUCACCAGUGCUUAGUCCUGGUUGGUAAUGAAUUCAAUUUUUGGUUUAGUAAGGAUGGUUGUUGUAAACUCUGUAGUUUUUAUUCCUAGAAUAAUGUUUCCUUCAUGCUAAUAAAAUUGUAAGCCUGUUAUUGAUGUUUAUGGAAUUUAAAGUUGAAUUUUCUAUCUUUUUUACAAAUUUUGAGAUUGAAUUUUAGUUGAAUUCACUGCAGUUAAAUCGUGUUUUUCUGUUAAUGUUUGAAGGCAGCAAUCAGAAAGGAUAGCAUAGAAAAUGGUCUUAUGAUUAAAACUGGAGCAAAUGGAAGCUUUUAAUUGCCCUCAACUUUUGCCCUUUCACGUAGUACAGUCGGCAAGCAGGAGAACUUAACAGCAUCUAAAAGUCAAUGUUUUGAUACCUGACACUUGGUUACCUUCUUAAUCAAGUUAAGCAAACCAAAGGAAGAAAUCAGCAUCACUUGCUAAAGUCAUCUAGGCUGGCAAUUCCUUCAUCACAAGCAAUUUUUGCUUUACUUUGCUUAAUCAAAGAUUUUGCUUAUAUUUUGAGGAACUGAGCUUUGCUUAGUAAACUCUAGGUGCUUUAAACUAUCCAGCUGCCAACUUGGCUUAACCUCGGACCAUUUUGAGAACAACACUACGCAUAGUUACCAAAUCUAGUCGCCAUUGCUUAACACUUACAACUUUGACUGGCCAUUACCAAUGGAGCCAAAACUUUCCUAUAACUUCAGUUGUUCAUGAUAAAACUCUCGUUCUUUUCAAAUUCUAUUCAUGAUUCAUCCUUCUACUAGUUUAUUCAGUUGGACUAGAGUUGUUCUAAUGCCAAAUUCAAGUCAUAUUUUCUGCAUUUAGAUUUUCUUUUUGCCCUCACCAUCAUGCUAAUUAUUUCUUCACCUUCCUUUUCAAAAUGAAUUGAGAUCCUCCCCAACGCAAACUUAUUUGUCCAUAAAUAGUAUGAAAAUGUACCAAAGGUUAUAGCAGGCUGCGGCAUCACAAAGCCAUUAAUACAUAUUAUCGCACCAAACACGUAGUUUCAUGUCAAGCAUGCACAACACCACGUAAUGGCUUUUGAAUCCCAGCAAACACGCGCCUAAUUGCAUGCUGUACAGAUAGGUUGCCCACUUGCCAUUCCUUAGAAGACUUGUUUGGACGUGCUAAAUCCUGGUAACAACAAGAUCAAUGAUAUAUGUCCUCAUUGGUUGGGAAGUCUUCCACAGCUACAAGUUCUUGUAUUGCAGUCGAAUCAAUUCCAUGGUUCCAUUCAUGGCAUUAGAUCCAAUCGUUCUUUCUCUAAGAUUCAAAUUUUUGACCUCUCAAAUAAUUAUUUUACCGGCCCACUUCCUGUUAAAUAUAUAAAGAAUUUUAAGGCUUUGACAAAUCUCACAAUAGAUAAAAGUGCAAUCUGAUACAUAGGAGUGCAGGCUUUUAAUGUCAGUCACUUUAUAGUUAUUCUGUUGAAAUUGCAAUAAAAGGACAAGAGGUUGAAUUGGAGAAAAUUUUCAUCAAGGUGACGAGCAUUCACCUUUCAAAUAAUAAGUUUCAAGGUUAGAAACCAAAGGUUAUUGGAGAGCUUAAAUCACUCAAAGGGCUUAACCUUUCUCAUAACAACCUUAGUGGUUAUAUCCCUACAUGUAUGGGGAAUUUGAUUAGUCUUGAAUGGUUGGAGCUCUCUUCAAACGAGCUAGUUGGGAAGAUUCCUACACAGUUGACUAGUUUGGGUUCUCUUGCAGUGUUAAACCUUUCACAAAAUCAGCUCAUUGGACUUAUACCUCUGGGAAAACAAUUCAAUACUUUUGGUAAUGAUUCCUAUGUUGGUAACUUGGGAUCGUGUGGGUUUCCAUUGUCAAAGAGAUGUGACGACACUGAGGCAUCCGUUUUUCAUGAGGAAGCAGACUUUGAGUUUGGAUCUGUGUGGAAAGCGACAUUUAUGGGUUAUGGAAGUGGACUAGUGUUGGGAAUAUCUGCAACAAAUAUCAUGUUCACCCUUGGAAGACCCAAAUGGCUUGUGAGGAUGGUUGAAGAAGCCAGCUACGAACUUAAGAGAUAUCUCAGAGGAGGAAGAAAUUUGUAAAUUAGUAAGGAUGGUUGUUGCAAACUAUGCUUUUUUUCUUCCUAGAAUAAAUUUUCUUUCAUGCUAAUGAAACUUUAAGCCUAUUAUUGAUGUUAUAUGGAAUUUAAAUUUGAAUUUUCUAUCCCUUUUACAGAUGUUGACAUGAAAAUUUAGUUGAAUUCACAGCACUUACAUCAAUUUUUUUUUGUUAAUGUUGGAAGGCAGCAAUCAGGGAGGAUAGCAUUGAAAAUGGUCCUUGCUAAAUUGGAGCAAUGGAAGCUUUCAACUUCUCUCAAAUUUUGCCCUUUCACAUAGUACAGCAAGCAAGCAGAAGAACUUAACAGCAUCCAAUAGUCAAUGUUUUAAUACCUGACACUUGGUAAACCUUCUUAAUCAAGUUAAGCAAGCAAAAGAAGAAAUCACUGUUAAUUGCUAAAGUCAUCUGGGCUGGCAAUUCCAUCGUCACAUGCAAUUUUAGCUUUACUUUGCUUAGUCAAAGAUUUUGUUUAUGUAUAUAUUGAGGAGCUGAGCUUUGCUUAGUAAACUCCAGUUGCUUGAACAAUCCAGUUGCCAACUUGGCUUAACCUCGGACCAUGUUGAGAAGAACAUCAUGCAUAGUUACCAAAUCUAGUUGCCAUUGCUUCACAUUUACAACUUCGACUGGCCAUUACCAGUGGAGCCAAAACUUUCCUGUAAUCUCAGAUGUUCAUAAUAAAAGUCUUGUUCUUUUCAAAUUCAAUUCAUAAUUCAUCCUUCUGCUAGUAUUCAGUCGGAUUGGAGUUUUUCUAAUGCCAAAUUCAAGUAAUUUCUUUUCUCAGUUCAGGGUAGAGAUGGGUAUAUGGGAAUUCUCUUGAUCCCAAUAAAACAAGAAACUCCCCUCUUUUUCUCUUUCUCCAUUUCCAUAUUUUGUUUAAACAAGUUUCAAUCUUUUUUCUCUCCAUUUAAUUUUGUAGUUUAUUGAAUUUUUCUUAUUGAUAGAAAUUUGAAUCGAAAUUUGAAGAACCCAUCAAAGUUGUCAUCCAAAACUAAUUCUCCUGUUAUCUCCAGCAAAUUUCUUGCUUUGUUUCAAAAUUGUUUUCUUUCAAAUUGUCAUUAGCACUUUGAGACAACUGCAUGACAAAAUUAGAAGACUUAAAAAGGCUUUUGCAUCGAUCUGAAAUCAGUAGCAUCAAAAAAUGGUUUAAAUAGCAGGCUGAAUUUAUUCUGUUCAUCCUUAGCAUUUGCUUUUUGACAAGGUUGAUCUACAAAUUGUUCAAAAAACUUAGACAAUGAAUAAUAAACAUAUGAAAGUAGGUGUAAACAUUAGGAAAAUGUAGGAAAGUGAUUGUCUAUUUCUCACUCUAUUUCUACGUAAAUGCAAUUGAAAAAUGUAGGAAAAAAUUGAAACUAGAAGUACAUGGUAUAAACAUUAUGCAAAAUUGACCUUGUUGAAGGAAAUUCUGUCAUUGCUUCACUUUUAAAUUAUUGAUCUCUUUAUUUUUAUUUUUCUUGUUUCUUUUCCCUGUUGAAUUAAAAGGAAAUUUACGACUAUUAAAAAUGAAUGAACAAAUUCAAAAUUAAUACGUGUUUUGAUUAAAAAAAUAAAAUAAAAGAGAACAAAAAACAAGAAUUACGCAGAAGAAAAGGCCCAAACUAACAUCUUUUGAUAGAUAUAUAUAUUUUUUAUACUUCUUGGUUUAACGUGACAAUUUGGGAUCAAUGCAUUAAUCUGUGACACCUUUUUAUAAAUCUAGAAGUGGAAUCAACACAGAGAAAAUUGUAAUGGUAGCAAAACUUUGAAUGAGAAAAAGUUACAGAGACUUGGUAAACUAUAUGUGAUGAAUACAGUGACGUGAGGUUGGGGUUCUGCAAUGGGUGGAUCCCAUGUCCCUACACCCUAUUUGCUUUGAGGUAGCUUAAUUAACGGUGCAAAGGAGCCAGUUCCAGCAUUCAGUCUUCUUACUUCUCUCAUGUUUUCUACUAUAGCCCAGUCAAUUCUGUAAAUUGCACUUGUUGGGGAGAAUUCUGCAAUGUGUCAGUGAGUGCACGUUGUGGGGACAAUUCCAACACGUUAAAAGAUUAAAUUUCAGCCUGGUGUAGACCAUAUUAACAUUAAUAAGACAAAAUAUAUAAUGGAAUGAUUGGAUUAUAGGUCCAUAUUUUCCUUUUGUGAAAAUAACCAUCUCACCUUUUUCUUUAAGAUUGGUUUAAUUUUUCCUUUGGCGUGUGGUCUUGGUCUCUUUGAUCAUCUCAUAUUUUCUCUAAUAGAAACUCUCUAUGAAAAGAUAAAUCACUGACCUUAAUGAGCUAGACAAUUUAAUUAAUGAAUCAGAAAAAAAGUCUUGAUAUGAAGAUUUUGACUCUUACUACAUAUUAUUUACAAAUGAUAGCAUCAACCUGAUUCAUCACACAUAGACUCUCAUUUCAUUUGUUACUAAAUCAGUAAUCAAUUAUUACUAAAUCAUGGAAUUUAAGAUUCAGGGACGAAGAUUGUACUGAGAAGUAGCUGAAUAUACGUACUUUAUUCUGGUCCAACCUUGUCCAACUAAAUUAGCAAUUCUGUUUUGUUGGGGAAUAAAAAACGCUUAAUGGUUUUGAUUGUGAGCAGUAGAAAACUUUGUAUAGGAGACAAGAGACCACGGGACAGUUUGAAUAAGGAACGCAAUGUCUUUAAAGUGUUGUUUACUCAGAAACUUUGAAGCGGCAGACGACUUUGAACAGGAAAAAGUUAGAGAGACUUUGUAAUACCCCUCACAGAGUAUUUAUUAUAAAAAAAAAUUAAAUUAAAAUUAUUAAGCUAUAGUAUUUUAUAAAGAUAAUAAGUAGAUAUUAUUUUAGUAUUUUAUUUAUUUACAAUUAUGACCUUGAGUGUCUUAAUAAUUAAAAAAAUAGAAGAAUGGGUCUUUAAGUAAAAGAAGAAGUUUAAUUAAGUCAGUUUUAUUAUCACGUUUAAGUUAGUGGGAUUAAGGGUCAGUUUAUUUAUCCCAUUUAAGUUAGUGGAGUUAGGUAGUUUAUAAGUUUUAAAAGAACAGACAACAACUUACGUUAGUUCAUUCAUCAUAUUCAAACAACAGACAGUCAGAAAAGCUUAAUAUCAGGGAAGAAGAAAGACAGAGGAGAGGGAAAGAGAUUGCUGAUUAAGGUAUGUUUGGGAAUUAUAUUUUCAUAAUUUGGGUACAAAAAACCCUAAAUUAGAUAUAUUUUCUUAUUUUUUAUUUAAAUUCGGCACUUUUCUGAUGACUUUCCUGUAGCAUGAUGGGUACCAAUGGAAAGGUCUUGAAAAGAUCUUUCCCAUGGUUUUUGUAGCAUCUUGUUCGAUUUUGUGGUUUGGAAGUUACAAAUUUUUAAAGUUAAUUAAGAACCUGGUUUUCAAUAGUUUUGACAGCCCGACUUUGGGUCACCGGAACUCCAUAUUCCGGUGACGUUUUUGGCCGUUUCUUUGAGGGCUUUUGAAGUAUGAAAUUAGAUGUUUAAUUUGGCGUCAAUGUCUUGGUUAGAGGCUUCCUGUGUUAAGAGAAUUAAAGCCUCAAAGUAGGCUCAUUGAUACUGGAAACCCAGAAAUCUGGGUAUUUCUGUGAUGAAUUCUUGAAUUUUGGCUUUCGAAACUUAGGAAUCUUGUGGUCUUUUUAAUCGAAACAAAUUUUGGUCUUGUAGUAUGAUAUGCAUACUUUAAAUUGGUGUUGAUUUCAUCACUGGAUAUAAUUCAGGUUAAAAGAUAUGAGAGCUUGAAGUAAGCCAAAUGGCCAUCCAGAUUCUGAAAAUUCCAGAAAACAGAAAAUUUCUUUUUUUUAAAUUUGUUUUAAAAAAUUUGAUUUUAAUUAUUAUGUGAUAAAUUCUAUUGUAAAUUUCAUAAAUAUUGGAUAUGUGAUUUCUACUGUAUUUUUAUGUCAAGAAGUAUGUAUCUUUAUAUUUUAUAAAUUUAUUUCUUAAAUUAGUAGAUUUUAUUAAAAUAUCAAAAUUUAUGAAAUUAAUUACAAAUAUGAUUUUUUACAAGUGAAAUUAGUAUUAUUUCUCUAUCUGAAAUUUAAAGUCCUUACUGAUUUUAUGAUUUAAGUUUAAUUCUCAACCUUAUUGGAAAUUUUGUUUAAUUCAAAAAUAUAAAUAAUAAUAAUAUAUUACCUUAUUAACAAAAAAAAAAAAAAGUUCAUAAAUUGUAAUAGGAGUCGCUACACACCCUAAGUGCUUAGGAUGGUCAACGAAAAGUCGCAUUGUAGGAUCUGUUUGCAAAUUUAGUUCUGAUUUUUGUGUUUCUCGAAAUACUAGGCUACUAAGAGGAUUUUCGGAUUUGCUACUUGAAAGUAAAAUUUACGAGAUCAAGUAAGUGACUGAUAUCCCUUCGAUGUUUUCACACCUUAAAAAUUAGCUUCAAUCUGAAUUUGUACAUGAGAUAUAAUAUUUUGUCCUAUGAUUUAUUAAAAUCGAGUUAAGCAUGCAAAAUGUAUAUGUAUAUGAGUUUAUAUGUUGGAUUUAGAAUGUUGCUUAUGUAAAGCCUGAUAUCUGAUUUCGAAAUAUAUAUGACUUUAUAUAAUGUAUGCAUAUAUGAUUUCGCAAAUAUAAAUACAAAUAUUUAGUCUGAAACAAAUAUGCUUUUGUGGUGUAUGAGAUACGCUUGAGAAAUUUGAUAUACUGUUUUAUGAACUUUGGGUAAUCUAAAAAUAUAUAUUUCUGUUUUGUCUCCUAGUAUGGCUAUGCUCUGACCCUGCCAAUGGGGGUUAAAUGUUGGCCAUGUCGACAUGUAUUCUGUGAUUAGAGAUCGAUCUCCCAACCGCACUACCGGUUACAGAAUAGUAGUAUUUGUGAUAUCUGUUCAGUGCAGCCAAUGGUUGCUUCUUCUGACCCAUGCCACUGGGGUUAAUUGUGGUUCUAUUUCUGACCUAUGCCACAGGGGUUAAGUGUGGUCGUAGCAUGUUACAGGAGACCAUUAAAAGUUAAAUAUUGUGAAUAUAUUUGUUCUGUUAUUUGAAUGCGCAAAUUUUGAAGUAUGUGAUUCCAAAUAAGAUUACCCAAUAUUUUAUCUUGGCAUUUGUAAAUGAUAUUUUGCCCUGAAUGUUUUAAGCAUGCUUAAUCCGGCUGAAGGGAUGUUAGUUACUUGCUGAGUAGUUGGACUCACCCUUUCCUUCAAAUUUUUUUCAGGUUGUGAUUUGGUCAACCACGCUGGAACUUUGGGGAGUGAUGUUUAAUUUAGUAGCACUUAAAUUAUUUAGGAUUUAUUUAAAUAUUAUGAACAUCGUACUAUCUUAAUUAGUAUUCAGACUUUUAUCUUGACACAGUAGCUUUAUGGUUUUGGAGAUUUAAUUUUGAAUAUUGUCAAAUUAUGAUAUUUGGAAAUUCUGUCAAUAGAUAUAGUUUAUAAAUCACUAAAUUCUUCAGGUAUAUUAGUCUCUUUUAGUAAUGGUUUAAGAUAUAUAUUUUAGAGCCUUGCAUGUCUGUGGGAUUAUACCUUACAGGUAUGCGGCGUCUGUCAUGUCUCGGGUCUGGGGCGUGACAGACUUGGUCAACGAAUUUGUCUUGGAUGCAUUGACGUGAAGUUGGGGUUCUGCAAUGGGUGGAUCUCAUUUCCCUACACCCUAUUUGCUUUAAGGUAGCUUCAUUGACGGUGCAAAGAAGCUAGUUCCAGCGUUAAGGUCUUCUUUCUCAUCUCCUUUUUUCUACUAGCCUAGUUGAUAUUAGCAUUAAUGAGGCAAAAUAAAUAAUGGAAUGAUUUCAUCAAAUGUCCAUAUUUUCCACUUAUUGGGUACCACCACCUUUUGCUUUCAGAUUAGUUGUUGUUGUUUUUUUUGCUGUGACUCGUAAAAUUAACAUUGACAGAUCUUCUUUAUUUUUGACCUUUUCUUGAGAAAAGGACAUAAUUGUAUUAAAGGCUUCAACAAUUGCAUCAAAGAAUACACUCUCUUGAGAUAAAUUUUAAGAAACGAUAGUUAUUUCAUCAGUUUGAUAAUUGGUUCGAUCUUUAUUGAUUACUUCACUGUCAUGAACCCUCGGUUAUCCUACUUUCUAAUUCGAGAUCCCCACUUGCAAUUGGAAACUAUAGAGAAAAAACGCAUGAAACGAAUUUCUAACAAAUGAUACUUAGAAAAUAAAACCCAAUGACCCAAGAUUUGAUUUCUUUAUUAUUAUUUUUCUUCUUUCGUUUCCUUUCAGAGUUAAAAGCAAACUUACAAACAUAAAGAAUGAAUGAACUAAGUCAAAAUUAAUACGUGUUUUGAUUAAGAAAAGAAAAAUGAAACAAAGAGUGAUACACGAUGGUUCUAUUCUUCUUUAAUCUGCAUGUUGGAUUAUAGAGUCUUAUCCACUCUCAUUAUAUUUUAUUAGAAAUUUAACAAAAUGGAGUUGAACUUACUAUUUAAUAUGCAUGAUGAUUGCCUUUAAAUUUAUAGGUCAUCACUAGACCCCAUUUGCUUUUAGGUAGCUUCGUUGAUGUUGCAAAUUGCACUUUCGUUUUUACUAGUGUAAAAAGCAGAAGACUUGAAAAGGGCUUUUGCAUCCAUCUGAAAUCAGUUUCAUCAAAACAUGGUCUAAAAUAGUAGGCUGAAUUUAUUCCUUUCAUCCUUACUAUUUGCUUUUUGACAACAUAUAAUAAACAAAUGAAAGUCGGUGUGAACAUGAAGACAAACCUUGGAAGUGAUUGUCUAUUUCUUACUCUAUUUCUAUGUAAAUGCAAUUGGAAGAUGCAGGGAAAGAAUUGAAACUAGAAGUACAUGGUAUAAACAAUAAUGCAAAAUUGGCUCUGUUGAAGGAAAUUCUAUCAUUGCUAUACUUUUAAAUUAUUGAUCUUUUUAUUAUUUUUUUUCUUCCUUCUUCCCUUUGAGUUAAAAGGAAACUUAUGAAUAUAUAGAAUGAAUGAACAAAAUCAAAAUUAAUGCGCGUUUUGAUUAAAAAAAUUAAAAUAAAAGAGAGGAAAAAACAAGAAUUAAGCGAAAGAAAGAGCCCAAAUUAACAUUUUGAUAUAUAUAUAUAUAUAUAUAUAUAUAUAUAUAUAUAUAUAUACUUCUUGAUUUAACGUGACAAUUUGGGAUCAAUGCAUUAAUCUGAGACACCUUUCUAUAGAUCUAGAAGUGGAAUUAGGACAAAGAAAAUUGUAAUGGUAACAAAACUUUGAAUGAGAAAAAGGUACAGAGACUUGGUAAACUGAUUUGUGAUGAAUCCAGUGAUCGGGGUUCUGAUUUGCUUAAUUGACGGUGCAAAGAAGCUAGUUCCAGCAUUCAGUCUUCUUGCUUCCCUCAUGUUUUCUAGUAUAGCCCAGUCAAUACUGUAAAUUGCUCUUGUUGGGAAGAAUUCUGCAAUGUUUCAGUGAGUGCACGUUGUGGGGACAAUUCCAACACGGUAAAAGAUUAAAUUUCAGCCUGGUGUAGACUAUAUUAGCAUUAAUAAGACAAAGUAUACAAUGAAAUGAUUGGAUCAUAUGUCCAUAUUUUUUUCUUACGGAAAUUACCGCCUCACCUUUUUCUUUAAGAUUAGUUUAAGGUUAGUUUAAUUGAUGAAUCAGAAGAAAAGUCUUGAUAUGAAGAUUUCGACUCUUACUACAUAUUAUUCACAAAUGAUAGCACAAACCUAAUUCAUCACGCAGAGAAUCUUGUUUCAUUUUGUUACUAAAUCAAUAAUCAAUUAUUACUAAAUUAUGAAAUUUAAGAUUUAGGGAUGAAGAUUGUACUGAGAAGUUGCUGAAAUACGUACUUUAUUCUGGUCCAACCUUGUCCAACUAAAUUAGCAAUUCUGCUUUGAAGUGUUGUCUUGAAUGCAUUGAUGUGAAAUUGGGGUUCUGCAAUGGUAUAAACAUGAUGCAAAAUGGCUCUGUUGAAGGAAAUUCUAUCAUCGAUGCACUUUUGGAUUAUUAAUCUCUUUAUUUCUUUCUUUUCCCCUUUAAGUUAAAAGGAAACUUACAAAUAUAAAGAAUAAAUGAACAAAUUCAAAAUUUAUACGCGUUUUGGUAACCAAAAUCUUGAAUAUAAAUUUCAAGUUGAUUAUUAUUGUAGGGCUUAAUUCCCAUACCUUUUAAGAUAUUCUCUUUUUUGGCAUAACAUCACUUGAUCAGUUUAAUAUGAAAAGAAAUCUUCAAAUUACAUUUUUCCCUUAAAUUUCCUUCAUUAAGUCAGGAGAAAAUCAUACACUAUAUCGCAGAGAAUUUAGAGGAUGAUAUGAGAAAACUAUUUUACAGCUAAGUAACAAACAAUACAAGGCUAAACCAAUAAUGAGUGCCAUUGAGGUGCUUCUCAUUAAUUUAUUUGAAAUUGUUAAUAUUGUUUAUUUUUUAGAUAUCAUAUCAACAAGGGAGCAGAUGAAGCUUAAGUUAAAAGACAUCAAAGAAGUAAUACUUCUUAAUGAACCAAAUUUGUUAUUUCUUGGUGAUUGAGGCUGACAUAAUUGCUUUUGUUGAAAAACACAAAAAGAGAAAAGGAAAGAAUAACACAAAACAUAGAGAUUAUGCAAUUGGUACAUGUUCCAUGUCAAAAGCAUAAUGAGUAUUGCUUUUGGACCAGGUUGAAUGACAUAUUAGCUUUCCACCUGAGCACGGUAACAUUUCCCUCAAUUUGACACGUCAUCAAUUAUGAACUUCCAAGAAACCUGAGAAAACAAAAUUAUGAACUUGGAUUUGGUACCUCUUGACUAGGCAGCUUAUAAAUACUCAUCUUUGCCUUCCCACCAUUCAUAUCAUGCCAUUAAUAUUCAAUUUCUCUUGUUAAGAAACAUGUGGUGCUUACUCAAAGCCUUUCAACUCCUCCACCUUCUUUUGUUCCUCCUGACUUUUCAAGCCAAUCUUUCAUCUUCUUCUUCUUCAAUUACACAGUUGUGCUCUCCUGAAGAAGCUGCUGCAUUGAUCCAAUUCAAGACCUCUUUUUCCAUCAGUGAAUAUGCAUCUUGGAAUUGUGAUCAUUAUGCUGGCAUUAAAUCUUAUCCCAAGACAAAUUCAUGGAAGGAGGGUUCAAAUUGCUGCUCAUGGGAUGGGAUCACUUGUGAUAACGUCAACGGUCAAGUGAUUGGCCUUGACUUGAGUUGCAGUCAGCUCUAUGGCAGCAUCCCCUCCAAUAGUAGUCUCUUCCAUCUUCCACACUUGCAGAAACUCAACCUAGCCUCCAACGAUUUUAACUCUUCCAAGAUGUCAUCUAAGUUUGGUCGGUUUGCAAGUCUGGUGUAUCUUAACCUGUCUUUCGCAUCCUUUGCAGGAGAAGUCCCAUCCCAAAUCUCCCACUUGUCAAAAUUGGUUUCACUUGAUCUCUCUUGGAAUUGUUAUCAACCACUUGAUAGGCAUACUCUGGAAGGACUCGUUGAGAACCUAACAGAGGUGAGACAACUUUUUCUUGGUGAUAUCAAUAUGUCUUCUAUUAAUCCUAAUGUCUUGACGAAUCUAUCCUCAUCUCUAAGGGCCCUUAAUCUUGAGGCUUGUGAUUUGCGAGGAAAAUUCCCAAAAAACAUUUUUCACCUGCCUAACCUCAAGUCCCUCUAUUUAAGGCGCAACGAAAACCUCGCUCUCUAUUUUCCAAAGUUGAACCAGACCAGCAAUCUUCAACUUUUAGAUCUAUCAAGCAUGUUCUUCUCUACAGAAUCGAUAGAUUCAAUAGGCAAUUUACAAUCUUUGAAAUAUUUGGAUUUAUCAUGGACUUCUUUUCCUGGAGGGUGGCCUAAGACUAUCACGAAUUUAUCAUCUUUGGAGCAUUUGGAUGCAUCAGACUCAUCUUUCUCAGGAGCAUUGCCCAACUCAAUCGGGAAUCUAGUGUCCUUGGAGUAUUUAAAUCUUCAAUCAUCCAACUUGUCAGGAUCAAUUCCGAUAUCAUUGGGAAACCUCUCACAACUCAAUCAUUUAGAUUUGUCAUGGAACUAUUUUAGUGGACAAAUUCCAUCCUCACUUACAAACCUAAGACAACUCAAUCAUUUAGAUUUGUCAUGGAACUAUUUUAGUGAACAAAUUCCAUCCUCACUUACAAACCUAAGACAACUUGAAUUCUUUUCCCUUUUUUAUAACCAACUAGAGGGUUCCAUUCCUGAUGAGGUGAAUGCCUUUCCUAAUCUAAUCUCUCUAGACUUAUCUUCUAAUUUACUCAAUGGAACACUUCCCUCAUGGUUGUAUACAGUUUCCACAUUGAAGCACAUAUAUCUCAACGAUAACAAGCUCAGUGGUGAUAUCAAGGAAUUCCAGUGCAAAUCACUAGAACAGAUCCGUUUUGGGAAUAAUAAACUCAAAGGUCCUAUUCCAUCUUCAAUAUUCCAACUUGUGAAUCUUACUACAGUUGACUUUUCACAUCUAAGUGGGUUUGUACAGAUUAACAUGUUCUCAAAACUCCAAAAUCUCCAGUACCUUGAUCUUUCAUAUAGCAGUCUAUCCUUAAACUCUAAUGGUACUAGUGCUGAUUAUGUGUUUCCUAAUCUUCAGUAUUUGUACUUGUCUUCUUGCAAUGUCAAUGAAUUUCCCCAAUUUUUAAAAGGUUCAAAAAGUUUGCAACAUUUAGACCUUUCCAACAAUAAAAUUUAUGGCAAGAUUCCUAAGUGGAUGUGGGAUGUGGGGAAGGACUCUUUGACAUUCUUGAACUUAACUCACAACAAUUUGACGGAUUUUGAACAAAUUCCAUGGAAGGGAAUUGAAAUUCUUGACCUUAGCUCCAAUUUCAUUCAUGGAGAUCUUCCGAUUCCACCUUCAACAACAUCUGUCUUUCUUAUCUCAAAUAAUAAUUUGAGCGGUGAGCUCCCUUCUCUGCUAUGCAAUGCAAAUUCCUUUGAAUUUCUUGACUUGUCUCGCAACAACUUGAGUGGAAUUAUUCCACAAUGUUUUGGAAACUUAAGCCGAAGCCUUUCAGUGUUGAAUCUACAAAGGAACAACUUCUGUGGACUCAUUCCUUCGGUUUUUACAAAGGGAUGUCACUUGAAUUAUCUCAACUUAAAUGGCAAUCAAUUAGAAGGGCCUUUACCACAAGACAUCAUUAAUUGUGGAGGUUUGGAAGUGCUAAAUCUUGGUAACAACAAGAUCAAUGAUACAUUUCCUCAUUGGUUGGAAAGUCUUACACAACUACAAGUUCUUGUGCUGCAUUCGAAUCAAUUGCAUGGUUCCUUUCAAGAUCCGUGGUCCAAUCAUUCUUUCUCUAAAAUUCAAAUUUUUGAUCUGUCGAAUAAUUAUUUUACUGGUCCACUUCCCGUUAAAUAUAUAAAAAAUUUCAAGGCUAUGAUAAAUCUCUCAAAAGAUAAAAGUGCAAGGUCGUACAUGGGAGAGUAUGUUCCUUCUGCUUUGGCUAACUUCUAUAGCUAUUCUAUUGAAAUUGCAAUAAAAGGAGUAGAGAUUGAAUUGGAGAAAAUAUUCAUCGCGUUGACGAGCAUUGACCUCUCAAACAAUGAGUUUCAAGGUGAGAUUCCAAAGGUUAUUGGAGAGCUUGACUCACUCAAAGGGCUAAACCUUUCUCAUAAUAACCUUAGUGGUUGUAUCCCCACAUCAAUGGGGAAUUUGACAGCACUUGAGUCACUGGAUCUCUCUUCGAAUAAGCUUGUUGGGAAGAUUCCUACACAGUUGAAUAGUUUGGAUUUUCUUGAAGUGUUAAACCUUUCACAAAAUCAGCUCGUUGGACCUAUACCUCAGGGAAAACAAUUCGAUACCUUUGGCAGGGAUUCCUACGCUGGUAACUUGGGACUGUGUGGGUUUCUAUUAUCAAGGAGCUGUGACAACACUGAGGCACCCUUUUUUCAUGACAGCACUGAGGCACUCAUUUUUCAUGUGGAAGCAGAUUCUGAAUCUGGAUUUGUGUGGAAAGCGACAUUCAUGGGUUAUGGAAGUGGACUAGUGUUGGGAAUAUCUGCAGCAUAUAUCAUGUUCACACUUGGAAGACCCAAAUGGCUUGUGAGGAUGGUUGAAGAAGUAGGCUACAAAUUGAAGAGAUACCUCAGAGGACGAAGGAAUUUGUAAAUUAGUAAGAAGCCCUCAUCUGUCACUGGUGGAUAGAAUGGCUUGUGUUCCUUUUAUGUUCAAUAUGAUUUUCGUUUCUUGACUGUGUUUUGUUUUGUCUUGCGCCCUGACUUUUCUUCCAGGGGUUGUAUCAUGUUUUCAAGUUGUUUGUUACAGGGGAUGCCCUGUUUUUGAUCUGGUAUGUUGCUUGGCUGUUGCUUAUAGCCAUCCAAAUGCUUGUUCUCUUUUGUUUUAUUCACCAAUGAUUAUUCCUGGUUGAUAAUGAAUUCUAUUGAAGCAGACUUUGUUUUUUUUUUCUUCCUAGAAUAAAUUUUCUUUCAUACUAAUGAAAUUGUAAGACUGUUAUGGAUGCUAUAUGGAAUUUAAAGAUGAAUUUUCUAUCCCUUUUACAAAUGUUGACAUGAAAUUUUAGUUGAAUUCACCAUGCUUAAAUAACUUUUUUUUUUUUUUUUAACGUUUGAAGGCAGCACUCAGGGAGGAUAACAUUGACACUCGGCUACCUUCUCAAUCAAGUCAAGCAAGCAAAAAGAAAUCUGUGUUACUAGCUAAAGGCAUCUGGGCUGGCAAUUCGUUCAUCACAAACAAAUUUUUCUUUACUUUGCUGAAUCAAAGAUUUUGCUUGUAUAUAUAUGUAUAUAUAUAUAACUGAGCUUUACAUAUAUGUAUAUAUAUAUGUAUAUAUGUAUAUUGAAGAACUGAGCUUUGCUUUUUAAGCUUCAGGUGCUUAAACUAUCCAGUUGCCAACUUGGCUUAACCUUGAACAUGCCUUGGACCAUGUUGAGAACAACAGUAUACGUAGUUACAAAAUCUAGUUACCAUGCCUUCACACUUACAACUUUGACUGGUCAUUACCAAUGGAGCCAAAACUUUCCUAUAAUUUCAGUUGUUCAUAAUAAAAGUCUUGUUCUUUUCAAUUUCAAUUCAUAAUUCAACCUUGUGCUAGUAUUCAGUUGGACUGGAGUUGUUCUAAUGCCCAAUUCAGGUCAUAUUUUCUACCUACUUUAGUUUAAGGAGAGAACUGUAAUUCUAAAGUCUAUGGGGGCAGAUUUUGUCAUUUCUGCUCCUCUUACUUCCCACUUGCAGCAAGCAAAUCUUUCCUUCACCAACCAGACUUCUCCCAAAAACCCCCCGGCUUGGAGUAAUGAAGAGACCGAAGAGACCACCCUUCCAUGGGAAUUCUCUUCAUCCCAAUAAAACCUGAAACUCCCUUCUUUUUCUCUUUCUCCUCUUUCAUAUUUUGUUUAAGCAAGUUUCAAUCUUUUUUCUUUCCUUUUUUCUUUUGUAGAUUAUUGAAUUAUUCUUGUUGAUGAGAAUGGCGCUUGAAUCCUCAAUUCUCAGCCAACCCACUUUCUGUUCUUCAAGAAGGUCCUCGCCUUUCAUGCUUUUUAAUCGAAAUUUGAAGUACCCAUAAAAGUUUUUAUCCAAAACUAAUCACUACCCAGCUCCUAUUAUCUCCAGCUUUUCCAAUCCCGAGGUUUUCAAAGCCUUUGGAUUGCGAAAAACUGGAAUUUUUGGAAGUCAGGCACGUCUGGGAUUGUUAAGUGAAGACAAUGAAGAUGUGGGAAAUAAUCAGAAUCUGAUUUUGGUGAAAAGGGGAAUUUUGGUGGCAAUGGUUUGCAGUGUAUUGGUCUUUGGUUGUAAAAGAGUGUUUGCUGUUGAGGGAGUGGUUAAUGCUGGCUAUGGGGUGAUUGAGCAUUGCAUAUUGUUGUUGAGGAACGCUUGGCCUAAGUUAUCUAUGCUUCUUAAAGCUAAUCUUUCAUCUUCUUCUUCUUCAAUUACACAGUUGUGCUCUCCUGAAGAAGCUGCUGCAUUGAUCCAAUUCAAGAUCUCUUUUUCAAUCAGUGAAUAUUCAUAUUGGGAAUGCGGUGAAUCUUUUCCUAUGACAAAUUCAUGGAAGGAGGGUUCAGAUUGCUGCUCAUGGGAUGGGGUCACUUGUGAUAACAUCAAAGGUCAAGUUAUUGGCCUUGACUUGAGUUGCAGUCAGCUAAAUGGCAGCAUCCCUUUCAAUAACAGUCUCUUCCAUCUUCCACACCUACAGAAACCCAACCUAGCCUUCAACUACUUUAACUCUGCCAAGAUGUCAUCUAAGUUUGGUGGGUUUGCAAGUCUAAUGUAUCUCAAUCUCUCUUAUUCAAACUUUGAAGGACAAGUCCCAUCCCAAGUCUCCCACUUGUAGAAAUUGGUUUCACUUGAUCUCUCUGGGAAUUAUUAUUAACCACAUGACAGACAUACUGUGGAAGGACUUGUUCAGAACCUAACAGAGGUGAGACACCUUUUUCUUGACAGUAUCGAUAUGCCUUGAUGAAUCUACCCUCAUCUUUAAGGACUCUUAAUCUCAAGUACUGUGAUUUGCGAGGAAAAUUCCCAAAAAACAUUUUUCACCUGCCUAACCUCAAGUCCCUCUAUUUAGGAUACAACGAAAACCUUGCUCUCUAUUUAGAUCUAUCAGGAAUGUCCUUCUCAACAAAAUCGAUAGAUUCGACGAUCGGCAAUUUACAAUCUUUGAAAUAUUUGGAUUUAUCAUGGACUUCUUUUCUUGGAGGGUUGCCUGAGUCUAUCACGAAUUUAUCAUCUUUGGAGCAUUUGGAUGCAUCAGACUCAUCUUUCUCAGGAGGACUGCCCAACUCAAUCGGGAAUCUAGUGUCCUUGGAGUAUUUAAGUCUUUCAUCACCCAAUUUAUCAGGAUCAAUUUUGAUAUCAUUGGGAAACCUCUCACAACUCAAUUAUUUAGAUUUGUCAUGGAACUAUUUUAGUGGACAAAUUCCAUCUUCACUUACAAAGCUUAGGCAACUUGAAUUUUUGGACAUUUCUAAUAAUCAACUAGAAGGUUCCAUUCCUGAUGAAGUAGCUGCCUUUCCUAAUCUAAUUUCUUUAAACUUAUCUUUUAAUUUGAUCAACGGAACGAUUCCAUCAUGGUUGUUUACAGCUUCCACAUUGAAGUACAUAGCUCUCAUGCAUAAUCAACUCAAUGGUGAUGUCAAGGAAUUUCAAUACAAAUCACUAGAAGAGAUCUCUUUAGAGAAUUAACACUUGGUUACCUUCUUAAUCAAGUUAAGCAAGGAAAAAGAAGAAAUCGGUGUCACUUGCUAAAGUCAUCUGGGCUGGCAAUUCCUUCAUCACAAGCAAAUUUUGCUUUACUUUGCUGAAUCAAAGAUUUUACUAAGCUUUGCUUAGUAACUCCGUGUGCUUAAACUAUCCAGUUGCCAACUUGGCUUAACCUUGGACCAUGUUGAGAAGAACACUAACUGGCCAUUACCAAUGGAGCCAAAACUUUCCUAUAAUUUCAGUUGUUCAUAAUAAGAGACCUGUUCUUUUCAAAUUUUAUUCAUAAUUUAGCCUUCUGAUAGUAUUCGGUUGGAUCGGAGCUUUUGCAAUGCCAAAUUCAAGUCUUUUCUUUUCUCAGUUCAGGGUAGAGACGGUUACCUCUAAGAACUUUAGUCUAAGGAGAGAAUUGUAAUUCUAAAAUCUAUGGGGGCAAGUUUUGUCAUUUCUGCUUCUCUCACUUCCCACUUGCAGCGAGCAAAAUCUUUCCUUCACCAGCCAGACUUCUCCCAAAGACCCCUCUUGGAGUAAUGAAGAGACCACCCUUCCAUGGGAAUUCUCUUCAUCCCAGUAAAACCUGAAACUCCCUUCUUUUUCUCUUUCUCCUUUUUCCAUAUUUUGUUUAAACAUUUUGUAGCAGGAUUAGGAACUUAAUUUUCCGCAUUUAGAUUUUCUUUUUGCCCUCACCAUCAUGCCAAUUUUAUCUUCACCUUCCUUAUCAGAAUGAAUUGAGAUCCUCCCCAUCACAAACUUCUGUGUCCAUAAUAAAUAGUAUGAAAAUGUAGCAAAGGUAUUGCAGGCUGUGGCAUUGCAAAGCCAUUUCUUCUUCAUCUUCUUAUUCAUGGCUACCAGCAUCACCACUAAUAGCGACUAUUAAAGUUGAGUUGUGGCUGCAAGCAUCAGCCUCUGUUAGUGAAACAAAAGACAACGGUCAUGUUAUUCAUCCAUUCAUCAUCAUAAAGUUUGUACAAGGGAUAUGUUAAUACAUAUUAUCGCAAGCAUGCACAACACCACGUAAUGGCUUUUGAAGCUGAGCAAGCACGCGCUAAUUUGCUUGCUGUAGAGAUAGGUUGCCCACGUGGCAUUCAUUAGAAGACUUGGAAAGUCUUUUGCUUUUCAUCAAGAAAUGGUCUAAAUAUUAAGUACUGGACAUCCUUGCCAACCAUCAUUCCUAUAAUUGGUACACCAUAAUGAGUAUUUGCUUUUGGACCAAAUUGGUCUACCAAUUGUUAAAAUAACUUGAAAUUUGAAACCAUGGUCUACCGAGAAUCAAACUUUAGACAAUAAGAAAUAACAUGAAUAAUAAACAAAUGAAAUUAGAUGUGAACAUGAAGACAGAUCUCCGAAAGUGAUUAUUUAUUUCUUUUCUCACUCUAUUAUGAAAGGGAAUUAUCAAUUAAAAUUAAAAUUUAACUCUUAUAUUCAUACUUCAAUAAUUCACUUUCAUGCGUUAUCAAUGAAUUACAAAACUGCUAUGGAUAAAAAUUACUAUUCACAUGAUCAAACAAAUGAUUAUUACUACAAAAUCACAAAAUAAAAUAAAUAAACAUCUCAAAUUGAAUUUACCAUAAUAAAAUAUUAUAUAUAUGACAACAAAAAAAAUAUAUAUUUGACAACAAAAAGUUAAAAUUUGUAGGAAGCAUUUUUUGCCUUCCCUGUGUUAUAGACAGUUUCUUUUCCUCUUGAAGACGCGACCAACAUUAAUUUGCUCCUUGCAAUAAUCCCAACCUCCAACAUUAAAAUGAAAAAGAAAAAUGGGUGAGAAGAUAUGGCUUUGGUCAGUCGAGUCUAAUUGACAAUCUCUGUUCCAAAAUUGACAAAGAAACAUCAAUAUGAAAUUAGGACUCUUCUUUUUGUUCUUGCCUUGAAAGAAUUAAAUUCAACAUCGAGAUGGACAUUACCAAAGUAAAAGGGAGAUUCCUAAAGCUUUUCCAUAGAUUUUUGAAGAAGUAUUUUAACUAAUUCUCUCUCAAAAAAAAAAAAAAGGAAUAGAGAUGCUUUAUUAAAGAAAAUUCUAACUAAUACAAAUUAGCUUCAUGUUUGUGAUCCUAAAUCUAAUAAUGUAUAUCUUCAUAAGAUUUCAAGAAAUUAGUUCCAGCAUUCAGUCUUCUUGCUUCUCUCAUGUUUUCUAGUAUAGCCCAGUCAAUACUGUAAAUUGCCCUUGUUGGGGAGAAUUCUGCAAUGUUUCAGUGAGUGCACGUUGUGGGGGCAAUUCCAACACGGUAGAAGAUUAAAUUUCAGCCUGGUGUAGACCAUAUUAGCAUUAAUAAGACCAAGUUUAUAAUGGAAUGAUUGGAUCACACGUCCAUAUUGUCCUUUUACGGAAAUAACCACCUCACCUUUUUCUUUAAGAUUAGUUUAAUUUUUCCUUUUGACAUGUGGUCUUGGUCUCUUUGAUCAUCUCAUAUUUUCUCUAAUAGAAACUCUCUGUGAAAAGACAAAUCACUGAUCUUAAUGAGCUAGAUAAUCUAAUUAAUGAAUCAGAAGAAAAGUCUUGAUAUGAAAAUUUCGACUUUUACUGCAUAUUAUUUACAAAUGACAGCAUCAACCUCAUUCAUCACGCAGAGACUUUGUAUAGGAGACAAGACACCAUGGACAGUUUGAAUAAGGAAUGCAAUGUCUUUGAAGUGUUGUUUACUCUGAAACUUUGAAGUAGCAGACUACUUUUAACAGGAAAAAGUUAGAGGGACUUGGUAAACUAAUUUGUCUUGAAUGCAUUGACGUGAAGUUGGGGUUCUGCAGUGGUAUAAACAUGAUGCAAAAUGGCUCUGAUAAAGGAAAUUUUAUCAUCGCUGCGCUUUUGAAUUAUUGAUUUCUUUAUUUCUUUCUUUUCCCCUUUAAGUUAAAAAGAAACUUACGAACAUAAAGAAUGAAUAAAUAAAAUCAAAAUUAAUACGCGUUUUAGUUAAGAAAAAAAAAAUAAAAGAGAGAAAGACGGAAAACCUUUUCAAAAUGUUUACUUUAGAAGUAGAAGUCAUAUAGAUUUUUUCAUGCACGUAUUUCACGCGAGAAUGGUAAAGAGUGAUACGUCAUUGCUCUAUUCCUCUUUAAUCUGUAUGUUAGAUUAUGGAUUCUUAUCUUCUCUCAUUAUACUUUAUUAGAAAUUUAACAAGAUGGAAUUGAACUUAAUCUUUAUUUUAAUUUGAUAUGAAAAUUUAGAAAAAUGUUAUGAAGCAAAGGGUAAUGGCACUCUCAUAACGACAAUUGGUGUAGACCAUGACUUUUCAUCAACCCAAAUUUGGGGCCAAACUAAAUUUGAGAUACAACAUAAAUAAAUACUACAUUUAUGGUCUUUGUUUCUGUUCUUCCUCUGAAUUAACUUGAAAUUUAUCACCUCUUUUCUUAACACGGCAAGAUUAAUUUAAAGUAUGGUGUACUCCACAUUAUCAUUAAUGUAAAAAAAUAUAUAAUGGAAUGAUUGAAUCAAAUGCCUUUUUUUUUUCUUUUGGUCGGUACCACCUCCUUUUGCAUUCAAAUUAGCUUGAUUUUUUUUUUCUUUUUGACCAAGACCCAAAAAGUUAACAUCGAUAAGCCUUGUUAGUCAUCUUAUCUUCUCUCUAAUUGAAACUCUCCAAUUGUUGUUUACUUCGAACUUUGAAGCAGCAGACUACUUUUCACAGGAAAAAGUCAGAGAGACUUGGUAAACGAAUUUGUCUUGAAUGCACUGACGUGAAGUUGGUGGUUCUGCAAUGGGUGGAUCUCAUGUCCCUACGCCCUAUUUUCUUUAAGAUAGCUCAAUUGACGGUUUAAAGAAGCUAGUUCCAGCGUUAAGGUUUUCCUGCUUAUCUCAUUUUUUCUACAAGGUCAAUGCUGCAAUAUUUUAGUCUAGUGUAGUCCAUAUUAGUAUCUAAUGGAAUUAUUAAAUCAAUUGCUUAUAUUUGCCAUUUAUUGGGCACCACCUUCUUAUGCUUUCAAUUUAACUUGAUUUUUCUUUUUCGCUUGAGACCUAAAAAAUUAACAUUCACAAGCCUUCUUAGUCUUCGUGGACAUUUUUUUUUUCUUGACGAAAAGACAUAAUUGGUGGACAUCUGAUGUGAAAUUGGUGGAUCCCAUGUCCCUAACACCCUAUUUGCUUUGAGGUAGCUUCGUUAUAAAAUUCACCGGUCUUUUUGUGAAUUGACUUAAAAAUUAUUGGAUCCAUAAUUUCCUCAGUUUCCUAUGACACUAAUACUCUUUUCUUUCGUUUUAUAUUGAUUUUAGCAGUUAACAUGGCACCUUAUAUAAUGCCAACUUCAACCACAAGUUUAUAUAUGAAUACAAAAUUAUAUUUGUACAUUCUUUAUAUGUAUAUACAGAGUGAAAAAUAAAUAAAAAAUUAUAUCUCAGAAUGAAUCUGUAUAUGAACGAAACCAGUAAGUUAUAAACUGUGUAUUGUUUACCACUUGGCACCAAUGCUGCCAUUCGUUUGACAUUGGUUUGAGUGGGCAGUUUAUAAAUACUCAUCUAUGCCUUCUCACCACCACUCAUAUCAAUCAUAUCAUACCAUUAUUAUAUUCCAUUUCUCUUCUUAAGAAAUUAAGAUGUGCUGCUUACUCAUCAGAUCCUUUCAACUCCUCUACCUUCUUUUCUUCCUCUUGAAUUUUCAAGCGUAUCUUUCAUCUUGUUCUUCUUCAAUAACACCAUUAUGCUCUCCUGAAGAAGCUGCUGCAUUGAUCCAAUUCAAGACCUCUUUUUCCAUCAGUCAAGAUUCAUCUUGGAAUUCUGAUCAUUAUGCUGGCAUUAACUCUUAUCCCAAGACAAAUUCAUGGAAGGAGGGUUCAGAUUGCUGCUCAUGGGAUGGGGUCACUUGUGAUAGCAUGAAAGGUCAAGUGAUUGGCCUGGACUUGAGUUGCAGUCAGCUAUAUGGCAGAAUCCCUUCCAAUAGUAGUCUCUUCCAUCUUCCACACCUACAGAAACUCAACCUAGCCCACAACAAUUUUUACUUUUCCAAGAUGUCAUCUAAGUUUGGUGGGUUUGCAAGCCUAAUGUAUCUCAAUCUCUCUGAUUCAAACUUUGCAGGUCAAGUCCCAUCCCAAGUCUCCCACUUGUCGAAAUUGGUUUCACUUGAUCUCUCUCAGAAUUAUUAUCAACCACUUGACAGGCAUACUCUGGAAGGACUCGUUGAGAACCUAACAGAGGUGAGACAACUUUCUCUUGGUCAUAUCAAUAUGUCUUCUAUUAAUCCUAAUGCCUUGACGAAUCUAUCCUCAUCUUUAAGGGCCCUUAAUCUUGAGGGUUGUGAUUUGCGAGGAAAAUUCCCAAAAAACAUUUUUCACCUGCCUAACCUCAAGUCCCUCUAUUUAGGAUACAACAAAAACCUCGCUCUCUAUUUUCCAAAGUUGAACUGGACCAGCAAUCUUGAACUUUUAGAUCUAUCAAGCAUGUUCUUCUCUAUAGAAUCGACAGAUUCAAUAGGCAAUUUACAAUCUUUGAAAUAUUUGGAUUUAUUUGGGACUUCUUUUCCUGGAGGGUUGCCUGAGUCUAUCACGAAUUUAUCAUCUUUGGAGCAUUUGGAUGCAUCAGACUCAUCUUUCUCAAGAGGAUUGCCCAACUCAAUCGGGAAUCUAGUGUCCUUGGCGUAUUUAAAUCUUCAAUCAUCCAACUUGUCAGGAUCAAUUCCGAUAUCAUUGGGAAACCUCUCACAACUCAAUCAUUUAGAUUUGUCAUGGAACUAUUUUAGUGGACAAAUUCCAUCCUCACUUACAAACCUAAGACAACUUGAAUUCUUAUCCCUUUUUUAUAACCAACUAGAGGGUUCCAUUCCUGAUGAGGUGAAUGUCUUUCCUAAUCUAAUCUCUCUAGACUUAUGUUCUAAUUUACUCAAUGGAACACUUCCCUCAUGGUUGUAUACAGUUUCCACAUUGAAGCACAUAUAUCUCAACGAUAACAAGCUCAGUGGUGAUAUCAAGGAAUUCCAGUGCAAAUCACUAGAAGAGAUCUCUUUUGGGAAUAAUAAACUCAAAGGUCCUAUUCCAUCUUCAAUAUCCCAACUUGUGAAUCUUACUAGAGUUGACUUUUCACAUCUAAGUGGGUUUGUACAGAUUAACAUGUUCUCAAAACUCCAAAAUCUCCAAUACCUUGAUCUUUCAUAUAGCAGUCUAUCCUUAAACUCUAAUGGUACUAGUGCUGAUUAUGGAUCUCCAAAUCUUCAGUAUUUGUUCUCGUCUUCUUGCAAUGUCUAUGAAUUUCCCCAGUUUUUGAAAGGUUCAAAAAGUUUGGAACAUUUAGACCUUUCCAACAAUAAAAUUUAUGGCAAUAUUCCUAACUGGAUGUGGGAUGUGGGGAAGGACUCUUUGCAGUAUUUGAAUCUAUCUCACAACUCUUUGACAGAUUUUGAGCAAAUUCCAUGGAAGGGAAUUAAAUUUCUUGACCUUAGCUCAAAUUUCAUUCGAGGAGAUCUUUCGAUUCCACCAUCAACAACAGUGAUCUUUUAUAUCUCAAAUAAUAGUUUGAGUGGAGAGAUCCCUUCUCUGCUAUGCAAUGCAAAUUCCCUUGAAUUUCUUGGCUUGUCUCACAACAACUUGAGUGGAAUUAUUCCACAAUGUUUUGGAAACUUAAGCCAAAGCCUUUUAGUGUUGAAUCUACAAAUGAACAAAUUCCGUGGAUUCAUUCCUCCGGCUUUUACAAAGGGAUGUAAAUUGAAUUAUCUCAACUUAAAUGGUAAUCAAUUAGAAGGGCCUUUCCCACAAGCCAUCAUUAAUUGUAGAGGUUUGGAAGUGUUAGAUCUUGGUAACAACAAGAUCAAUGAUACAUUUCCUCAUUGGUUGGAAAGUCUUACACACCUACAAGUUCUUGUGCUGCAUUCGAAUCAAUUGCAUGGUUCCUUUCAGGACCCGUGGUCCAAUCAUUCUUUUUCCAAAAUUCAAAUUUUUGAUCUGUCGAAUAAUUAUUUUACUGGUCUACUUCCCGUUAAAUAUAUAAAAAAUUUCAAGGCUAUGAUAAAUCUCUCAAAAGAUAAAAGUGCAAGGUCAUACAUGGGAGUGUAUGCUCGUUCUGCUGCUGCUGACUUCUAUAGCUAUUCUAUUGAAAUUGCAAUGAAAGGAGUAGAGAUUCAAUUGGAGAAAAUAUUCAUCGCGUUGACGAGCAUUGACCUCUCAAACAAUGAGUUUCAAGGUGAGAUUCCAAAGGUUAUUGGAGAGCUUGACUCACUCAAAGGGCUAAACCUUUCUCAUAAUAACCUUAGUGGUUGUAUCCCCACAUCAAUGGGGAAUUUGACAGCACUUGAGUCACUGGAUCUCUCUUCGAAUAAGCUUGUUGGGAAGAUUCCUACACAGUUGAAUAGUUUGGGUUUUCUUGAAGUGUUAAACCUUUCACAAAAUCAGCUCGUUGGACCUAUACCUCAGGGAAAACAAUUCGAUACCUUUGGCAGGGAUUCCUACGCUGGUAACUUGGGACUGUGUGGGUUUCUAUUAUCAAGGAGCUGUGACAACACUGAGGCACCCUUUUUUCAUGACAGCACUGAGGCACCCAUUUUUCAUGUGGAAGCAGAUUCUGAAUCUGGAUUUGUGUGGAAAGCGACAUUCAUGGGUUAUGGAAGUGGACUAGUGUUGGGAAUAUCUGCAGCAUAUAUCAUGUUCACACUUGGAAGACCCAAAUGGCUUGUGAGGAUGGUUGAAGAAGUAGGCUACAAAUUGAAGAGAUACCUCAGAGGACGAAGGAAUUUGUAAAUUAGUAAGAAGCCCUCAUCUGUCACUGGUGGAUAGAAUGGCUUGUGUUCCUUUUAUGUUCAAUAUGAUUUUCGUUUCUUGACUGUGUUUUGUUUUGUCUUGCGCCCUGACUUUUCUUCCAGGGGUUGUAUCAUGUUUUCAAGUUGUUUGUUACAGGGGAUGCCUUGUUUUUGAUCUGGUAUGUUGCUUGGCUGUUGCUUAUAGCCAUCCAAAUGCUUGUUCUCUUCUGUUUUAUUCACCAAUGCUUAUUUCUAGAAUAAAUUUUCUUUCAUACUAAUGAAAUUGUAAGCCUGUUAUGGAUGCUAUAUGGAAUUUAAAGAUGAAUUUUCUAUCCCUUUUACAGAUGUUGACAUGAAAUUUUAGUUGAAUUCACCAUGCUUAAAUAACUUCUUUUUUUUUUUUACGUUUGGAGGCAGCACUGAGGGAGGAUAACAUUGAAUCCUAUAAUUAAAACUGGAGCAAUGGAAGCUUUUAAUUUAUCUCAAAUUUUGCCCUUUCACAGAGUACAGCAGGCAAGCAGAAGGACUUAACAGCAUCCAAUAGUCAAUGUUUUAAUACCUGCCACUCCGCUACCUUCUUAAUCAAGUCAAGCAAGCAAAAAGAAAUCAGUGUUACUAGCUAAAGGCAUCUGGGCUGGCAAUUCCUUCAUCACAAACAAAUUUUGCUUUACUUUGCUGAAUCAAAGAUUUUGCUUAUAUAUAUGUAUAUUGAAGAACUGAGCUUUGCUUUCUAAACUUCAGGUGCUUAAACUAUCCAGUUGCCAACUUGGCUUAACCUUGGACAUGCCUUGGACCAUGUUGAGAACAACAGUAUGCGUAGUUACCAAAUCUAGUUACCAUGCCUUCACACUUACAUCUUUGACUGGCCAUUACCAAUGGAGCCAAAACUUUCCUAUAAUUUCAGUUGUUCAUAAUAAAAGUCUUGUUCUUUUCAAUUUCUAUUCAUAAUUAAUCCUUCUGCUAGUUGUAUAUGACAACAGAAAAUAAAAAAACAUUAUACUAUUUAUUCGUCAAUUGUUUAGCUCCUUGCAAUGGGAAAAUUUUAUAAUAUGAAAUUAUAAAAAAACAUUAUAUUUAUAAAAGAUAUAGUUUUCGUCAGUCGUUGCUUAAUUGACUAUCUCUACUCCAUAAUUGACACAAAGCCAUGAAAUAUGAAAUUAGAACUCUUCUUUUUGGUCUUGCCUUGAAAGAAUAAAAUCCGAUGUGAAGAUGGACAUUACCAAAGUAAUGGAGAGAUUUCUUAAGUUUUUUUAGAGAUUAUAAAAGAAGUAUUUUGACUAUUUCUUUCUCAAAGAAAGGAAAAAGAAUAGGAGAUGUUCUGCUAAAAAAAUUCUAACUAAAGCAAAAUUAGUUUCAUGUUUAUGAUCCAAAACAUUAGCAAGAAAUUGAAUAUUUAUCGACAAAUUGAAAGCAGAAAAAAGAUUAGCAAGUUUCCUUUGAGGAGUUUUAACCUUACGCCGAAACCCAUAGGACAUUCCUUGCCUAGAACAUUUUCUACUUUUCGUAUACCAAAAGGUCUUCUUUAUAUAAUAAAUUAAUUAAUUAAUAAAACAAAUUGACUGUUUGAUUCAAAGUGUUAAACUAGAGAAAAUUUCACAUGUAUGCACUGCACAGGCGUCUUCGUCAAUUAAUUGUUACUAAUUUGCUUAUUCAAAUCCUUAGUGAAAGACUAUAGGGUCCAAACAUCGUUUGCCUUAAGGAACUAUUGACCUCACUUUUUCUUUUAUUUCUUUAAAAGAAAAAAUUACUGUAUAUAACAAGUAAUUAACAUACGAGAAGUGGGAUCAGCACAUAGAAAAUUGUAAUGGCAACAAAACUUUCCAACCGGAAAAAGUUUAAGAGACUUGGUAAACUAAUUUGUGUUGAAUGCACCUGCGUGAAGUGGGGUUCAUGCAAUAUAUAUAUAUAUAUAUAGGCCACAAAGACUUUUUCAUGCAUGUACAGCAUAAGGUUGAUACAUUGAGGGAUUGGUAUGUGAAUCAGCAUAAAGUUUUCCAAAUGAUUUGGUAUGUUAAAAAGCAAAUAUGAUGGAUUCAAAAGCAUAAAGUGGCAAAAUUGAGUCUUUAUAUAUACAUAUAGUCUGCAGGUGUUAGAUGUCAGAUUAUAAACUUUAAUGAAAUAAUAUUCCAAACUUUGAACAUUUAUAAUUUCAAUUGCUUUCAGACCAAUUGACAAUUAAAUUACCUACUAUAAUUAGAGGAUUGUAACUUACACAGAAGGCUUAUAGCUAAGUUAGACAUGAGGUAAUCAAUUCUAAAUCCAUCCAACUCAAAAAGCUAAGUUAAACUCUCGAUCUUGUCUAUAACAAACUUGAAAACCAUGCAAUCAUUGUUGCCAUUCAAUAGAAAAACAAAGGUCAAUCAUUGUCUGAAAAGUGGCAUUUCAUGUGGCAAAUGAUAAUUGUAGUUACAACAGUAAAACCGUAAAACAUUGAAUUAUACCGAGAACCAAAUCAAGAAGUGCAAUCUGCACAUAGAAAAUUGUAAUGGGGAUAUGAAAUAUAGGCCACAUGGACUUUUUCAUGCACGUACAGCUCAAAGGUUGAUACAUGGAAAGAUCUGAUAUAUAUUUUUUGAAUGGCAUAAUAUAAUUAGUAAAGGAGGGAAGAGUCUCAUCAGAAAAGGAGAAACUCCAAACCCCAAUACAAAGGGGACAUCAAACAGAAAAUCGAAUCCCAGAGCAACAAGGACACCAAGCAAGAACAGUCAGGAAAAAAAGGAAUAACAAAUAGAAGAAGGAGAAAAGCACCAGAAGAAGAACCCGAAAACACAGAAAUUAACCAAAAACUUGAAUCAGGAUAAAGUUUUCCAAACGAUUUGGUAUGCCGAAAGCAUAGUGGGGUAAACAGCAAAAGUGAUAGGUUCAAAGGGAAUACAGUGGCAAAAUUGAAUCCUAUUUGUAUAUAUUUGUCUUUAUCCUCUUUAAUCUGCACAUGUACAUAAUGUGAGAUUAUCCAAAUUCUUAUAGUCUCUAUAUUUCAUUAGAAAUUGAACAAAAUGGAGUUGAAAGUUACUCUCUAAUUUAAUUUGACAUGAAAAUUUAGAAAAAUGUUCUGAUUUUGAUACUUUUAUUAAAGUAGCAAUAAAAAAAUCUAAAUUAAUUUGAGGUAUCUUGAAAAAAAAUCUUCGAAUUCCACCUUCAACAACAAGAUUCUUUUUUAUCUCAAAUAAUAAUUUGAGUGGAGAGAUCUCUUCUCUAAUAUGCAAUGUGAGUUCUCUUAUAGUUCUUGACUUGUCUCACAACAACUUGAGAGGAAUAAUUCCACAAUCCUUUCGAAAUUUGAACAAAAGCCUCUCAAUGUUGAAAUUAGAGAGGAACAAGUUUUGUGGAACCAUUCCUCUAACUUUUGUGAAGGGAUGUGAACUGAAUUAUCUAAACUUACAUGGCAAUCUAUUAGAAGGACUUUUAACACGAUCCAUCAUUAAUUGCCAAGGUUUGGAAGUGCUAGAUCUUGGUAACAAUAAGAUCAAUGAUACAUUUCCUCAUUGGUUGGGAAGUCUUGCACAGCUACAAGUUCUUGUAUUACGAUCAAACAAAUUCCAAGGUUCCACUAGGUCCAGUAAUUCAUUCUCCAAAAUCCAAAUUUUUAACCUCUCAAAUAAUUACUUUAAUGGUCCACUUCCUGUUAAAUAUAUAAAAAUUUGAAAGCUAUGAUAAAUCUCACAAAAAAUGAUAGUGCAAGUUCAUACAUGGGGCUGGAUGCAUAUUGUGGAUCUUAUAGCUAUUCUAUUAAAAUUGCAAUAAAAGGACAAGAGGUUGAAUUAGAGAAAAUUUUCAUCACGUUGACUAGCAUUGACCCCUCAAAGAAUGAGUUUCAGGGUGAGAUUCCAAAGGUUAUUGGAGAGCUUAACUCACCCAAAGGGCUUAACCUUUCUCAUAAUAACCUUAGUGGUUGUAUCCCCACAUCCAUGGGGAAUUUGAUUAGUCUUAAAUGGCUGGACCUCUCUUCAAACAAGGUGGUUGGGAAGAUUCCUACACAGUCAACUAGUUGGGGUUAUCUUGAAGUCUUAAACCUUUUAGAAAAUCAGCUCGUUGGACCUAUACCUCAAGGAAACCAAUUCAAUACCUUUGGCAAUGAUUCUUAUGCUGGUAACUUGGGAUUGUGUGGGUUUCCAUUGUCAAAGAGAUGUGACAACACUGAGGCAUCCUUUUUUCAUGAGGAAGAAGAUUCUAAAUCGUGAUUUGGGUGGAAAAUGGCAUUGAUGGGUUAUGGAAGAGGACUAGUGUUGGGAAUAUUUGUAGCAUGCAUCAUCUUCACACUUGGAAAACCAAGAUGGCUUGUAAGGAUGGUUGAAGAAGUAGGCUACAAAUUGAAGAGAUACCUCAAAGGACGAAGGAAUUUCUAAAUUAGUAAGGAUGCUGUUGCAGACUUUGUAUUUUUCUUCCUAGAAUAAAUUUUCCUUCAUGGUAAUGAAAUUGCAAGCAUGUCAUUGUGUUCGUGGAAUUUAAACUUGAAUUUUCUACCCUUUUUACAAAUUUUGACAUGGAAUUUUAGUUGCAACCACUGCCCCUAUAUAUCUUUCGUCUGUAAGCUAUACGAACAUAUUAAUAUGAAUACAUAGCACAUGAAUUAAAAGAACAACGAAUGAAGUGCAAUUAAGGCAUGAGGUCUUUCUCCAAAGCUUCUCCAACUAAAUUAGUUCUUCUGAUUUGUUGGGGAAUAUAGAAGGUGGGGUUUUAAUUUGUUUAAGCAACAAAAAACUUUGUAUAGAAUAUACUUUAUAGUGGGUUCAUUUCAAAAAUACCGAUCAUAAAUAAGGUAUUUUGGAAAAUAGUCAUCUCUAUAAUUUUAAUUACUUUUAGCCGAGAGAAAUUUAAUUUUGGAUAAAAUUACUCUCAAUGAAACCGAUCCAUAUGUUUAGGUCUGCACCUCAAACCGAUUCAUAUCCUUUGAACUUUCCUCACCAGACCAUACAUCUCUAGAGUGUUCUUUGUUAGAAAGAAAAACUUUUAAGCAUUUUGAGCAUUUUGGAGUAGUUUUUGAGACACGAAGAAAAACUUUUGAGUAUUUUGAGUAUUUUAGAGUGGUUUUUGAUAUAUAAAGAAAAACUUUUUAGCAUUUUGAGCAUUUUUCAUCAAAUAGGUAUAUUCAUUGAUUAUAUUGUUAAAUAGAAUAUGGUGCGUUGUUUGAAAUUGUUGAUUUUGUAAAAUAGAAUUCAAUAGUUUUAGUGGUUUUUAAGCAUUACGUAACCGGUUUUUAGGCAUUACGUGAUUAGUUUUUAAACAUUGCGUGACUAAUUUUUAGGUAUUGCAUGACUAAUUUUUAGGUAUUGCGUGAUUGAUUGAUAUAACAUUACCUGACUGGUUGAUAGGCAUUGUGUGACUAGUUAGUAAGGCAUUGUGUGACUAAUUUUUAGGCAUUACCUGAAAAUCAGUCACGCAAUGACUACAACCUAGUUACACAAUGCCUAAAAAUAAAAAAAACGCAAUGAUUAAGUCAUGCAAUGCUUAAAAAUUUGUCUCACAAUACUUAAAAACUAGUGACAUAAUGUCUAAAAACCAGUAAUGCAAUACUUAAUAACUAAUUGAUUUGCUUGCUUGUAGUCAAGUUUAAGUUGCCAAACAAUGUUCUAAUUUGUAGAUAUGUCUAAUCAAUUUCAACCCCUUAACUUUGGAUAAACGAAUAAAUCCAAACCCCUAAAACAUAUACAUUGAUGUUAUCUCUUCUCUUUGGAAGCACGAGAAAAAGCUAGAUGGCGAGAUAGAGAGUAUUUGGUAGAAACGAGAAAUCAGGAUUUAACUUUAAAAUUUUUGUCUAAAUGAUGGGAUAAAGAAAACCGAAGCUAUUUUAAUUUAUGUGAAAUUGUUUAAAAGGCAUUGUUGUCAAGUCAUGUCAAAAAUUAGCUAAAAAUAGUUUAAAUUAUAAUAAAUAAUAUUUUUGAAUUGAGUUUAUGAGGAAGGUUUCUCACAAUUAUUACAGUUCAAUUGUGGCUGCAAGCAUCAACCUCUGUUAGAGAAACAAAAAACAAGGAUGAACAGAGGAUAAUACCAGCAAGGCAACGGUCAUGUUAUUAAUUAAAUCACAACACUUAUCUGGAACGUAAGAGAAAAUUUUCAGGAAAGAGAUAAAUUGAAAACAAGGAAGUGAAAAUGAUUUUCAUCACUGCAUUAAGCGUAUUUAUACAUGUGGUGAUUUUCAUCAUUGAAAGAAUAAGAACGAGAAAACAGUUAACCUAAAAAUAAGGGAUCAAAGAUAGCAUAUAUCAUUCAAAUAACUGCUGUUUUUAAUGGCUCACGACAUGUGGCCUUUAUUACAGCAUAAUUAAAAACUACUUAAGAAUAAACUUCUAAGUCAGGUGGUUGACAUGUGGACAUCUUUAUCUAUCAAGUACUAUGCCACACCUCUGCGACCGAGACUUCAAUAUCCAUUAUUAUCACACCAAACACUUAGUUUCAGGUCAAGCAUGCACAACACCACGUAAAUCAUGGGACAACAUGAUUUUCUUUGAAGUAUUGUUUACUCUCAACUUUUCUCUUGGGGAGAUUUGUUGGAUGUUUCAUUGAGUGCAAGCAUCUUGGUGGAGUCAAUUGCAACUCAAAGCAUAAACUCUUUUUCUACGAGAAAAACGUUUCAUUAAAUAAACGUUGGUGGAAUUUAUAAUGGAAUGAUCGGUUCAAUUGGAUUCAAUUCCUCUCUUUACUUUUAGAUUAAUUUGAUUUUUUUUUCUUUGCCAAGAUUUGAAAACUUAACAUUGAGAGAUCUUCCUAUUCACCUCAUCUUUUCUCCAACUGCAAUUCUUGGCUGAAGAUAAAGUAGUAAGCUUGACGAGCUAGACAAUCUAAUUAAUAAAUCAGAACAAUAGACUCGAUAUAUACAUAUAGAAGAUCAUGACAACCCAGACUUUUUUUUUUUUUCUAAAAUAUCAUCCUCAUAAGAACUUCUUGUUUUGAAAGUUUUAAGAUUGCAAACUUAAUUUGUAGUUGAUCACAUUAUUAGCAAAGAUAUCAUCCAAAUCAAUUUAGUUUCAAUCUCACAUUAUAACUUUAUUCAUGAAUAAGAUAAAUUACAAAAAAAAAAAAUCAGUGUUUCAUUUUAAAGCCAAAGAAAAAAAAGGAAAUACCAUCCCAUAGUCUAAAAUCUUGAAUAUAAAUUUGAAGUUGUUUAUAUUGUAGGGCUCAAUUCCCGUACCAAUUAAGAUAAUAUAUAUUGCAUAACGUCACCACUUUGGAAAUGAUUUAUAUAUAUAGCGUAAACGUGGGUCUGUGUGGUGGGCCAUUGUCAAAGAAAUGUGGAAACACCAUCUUCAGAGUCUGAAGGAAAUGAUGAUCAUGGAAAUGGAGUGGUGUUUCGCAUGCCUAUAACAUAUAUUAUUAUAAACAAUGUGCCAAUACAAACACAAUCAAAACCUUGAGGUUGUGCCACAACGUGUGUCUCCACUUCCCUUGAGUCUGAUUUGAUGGUUGACUCCCAAAGUUUUCUUAGUGCAUCCAUCCACUAUCACUUUAUCAAUUUAAUAUGCAAAGAAUUCUUCAACUUUUUAGUUAUUUAGUUGCAAUAUUCAAUUUGGAAUUGAGUUUGAAAAGUGUAAAUUACUUGUUUUUCCCCUUAAAUUCCCUCCAUUAAUACUUUAGCAAUGAGUCCGUGGAAAAUCAUACAUUGUAUCACAGAGAAUUUAGAGAAUGAUAUGAGAAAACUGAGUUACAGCUAAGUAGCAGACAGUAAAAAGACUAAAAUAAUAAUAAGUAUCGUUGUUAGUUUUGUUUAUUUUUCUGACCUUGAUAUUUAUCUGUCAAUACUUGGGCAUCCAAUCGUCAAUGUUUUUAAUACCUGAAGAAAUAAUGGUUUUCCUACAGAUAUUAAGUCAGAGCUAGUCUCACCAUCACGCAAACUGUAUCUUAACCUUCCUUUCCAGAGUGAAUUGAGAUCCUCUCCAUCACAACUUUAUAAUUUCCCUCAAUGUUUCUAUUUAUUCUCUAACAUUCUAGACUAAGAAAUUAAAAAUGUCAUGUCUAAGCAUUAAUCUAAAUCAGAAGGUAAUUCUAAGCCUUUGUCACUUGAAAAUCCUUAAUUCUCAGCCAACCCACUUUCAUUUCUUCGAGAAAGUGCUCAUCUUCCAUGCUUUUGAAUCGAAAUUUGAAGUACCCAUCAAAGUGCUCAUUUCGUGGAUACUUGUGCAAUGUUUCAGUGAGUGCGCAUUUGAGGCAUAAACUUUUUCAUUUGCUUUUAAAGGGAAAAACGAGUCAUUAAAUAAACUUAAGACUUUGAAAUUUAUUAGUAGCAAAAGUAUUCAUCCAAUCAAUUUCAAAAGUAUUGAAAUUGCGUGAAGUUGCGUAAAGUGGGGUUUGUAUGGUCUGCCAUUGUAAAAGAAAAGUGGCAUUAAAUAACAUUAGAUGGUUGACCUAUGAAUGUGCAAAUGCCAACACAGUCAAAACCUUGAGAUGUUGAUGGUGCCACAACAUGUGCCUUCACUUUCCUUGGGUCAUGAUUAGAUGGUUGACUCCCAAAGGUUUCUUAGUGCAUCCAUCAAUUAUCACUUGAUCAAUUUAAUAUGCAAAGAAUUCUUCAAAUAUUUAGUUAUUUAAUUGCAAUAUUCAAUUUGGAAUAGAGUUUGAAAAAUUGUGUCAAAUUACUCUUUCAUUAAUAGUUCAGCAGAAAAUAUUCAUUGUAUCACAGAGAAUUUAGAGAAUGAUGUAUAAGAAAACUGAUUUAAAGCUAAGUAGCAGAAAAUGGAAGACAAACAAUAAUUGAGGUGUUUCUCAUUCGUUUAUUUGAAAUUGCUAAUACUUAUCUGUGAAUAAUUUGGUCUUAAUUAGAUAUCAUAUCAACAUAGGAGCAGAAGAAGCUUAAGUUAAGAGACAUCAAAGAAGUAAAAAUUAAAGCACAAUUGAAACUAGAAGUACAUGGUAUAAACAAAAUGCAAAAUUGGCCCAGUUGGAGGAAAUUUUAUCAUUGCUGCACUCUUAGAUUAUUUAUCUAUUUAUUAUUAUUUUUCUUCUUUCUUUUCUUCUCUGAGUUAAAAGAAAACUUACAAAUAUGAAGAAUGAAUGAAUAAAGUCAAAAUUAAUAUAUGUUUUGAUUAAGAAAAGAAGAAUGAAAGAGAGGGAGACAGAAAACCUUUUCAAAAUGUUUAUUUUAGAAAUAGAGGUCAUAUAGAACUUUUCAUGUCACGUAUUUCACAUGAGAAUAGCAAAAAGUGAUACACAAUUGCUCUAUUCCUCUUUAAUUGCGUAUUAGAUUAUGGAUUCUUAUUUUUUCUUAUUAUUUUUUAUUAGAAAUUUAACAAAAUGGAGUCGAACUUAAUUUUUAUUUUAAUUUGAUAUGAAAAUUUAGAAAAAUGUUCUGAUUUUUAUACUUUUAUUAAAGUAAUCAUAAGAAUUUUUUAAAUUAAUUUGCAAUAUCUUUAGAAAAUGAAUAUAACAAAAAUCUUGAAUACAAAUUUCAAGUUGAUUAUUAUUGUUGGCCUCAAUUCCCAUAACUAUUAAGAGACGGUUGUUCAAUGAAUGUGGAAAUUCAAACACAAUCAAAACCUUGAGAUAUAGAUAGUUCCACAACAUGUGUCUUCACUCCCCUUGAAUCUGAUUAGAUGGUUGAGUACUCCCAUAGGUUACUUAGUACACUAUAUCACAGAGAAUGAUAUGAGAAAAUUAACUAUUUUACAACAAAGUAACAAACAAUACAAGGCUAAAAUAAUAAUGAGUACCAUUGAGGUGUUUCCCAUUAAUUUAUUUGAAAUUGUUAAUAUUCUUUAUUUUUUAGAUAUCAUAUCAACAAGGGAGCAGAUGAAGCUUAAGUUAAGAGACAUCAAAGAAGUAAUACUUCUUAAUGAACCAAAUUUGUUAUUUCUUGGUGAUUGAGGCUGACAUAAUUGCUUUUGUUGAAAAACACAAAAAGAGAAAAGGAAAGAAUAAUACAAAACAUAUGAGAUUAUGCAAUUGGUACAUGUUCCAUGUCAAAAACAUAUUGAGUAUUGCUUUUGGACCAGGUUGGUCGACAUAAAAGCUCUCCACGUGACCACCGUAACAUUUUCCUCGAUUUGACACAUCAUCAAUUAUGAACUUCCAAGAAACCUGAGAAAACAAAAUUAUGAACUUGGAUUUGGCACCUCUUGACUAGGCAGCUUAUAAAUACUCAUCUUUGCCUUCCCACCAUUCAUGUCAUGCCAUUAAUAUUCAAUUUCUCUUGUUAAGAAACAUGUGGUGCUUACUCAAAGCCUUUCAACUCCUCCACCUUCUUUUGUUCCUCCUGAUUUUUCAAGCCAAUCUUUCAUCUUCUUCUUCUUCUUCAAUUACACAGUUGUGCUCUCCUGAAGAAGCUGCUGCAUUGAUCCAAUUCAAGACCUCUUUUUCCAUCGAUGAAUAUUCAGCUGGGGAAUGCGAUGAAUCUUAUCCUAAGACAAAUUCAUGGAAGGAGGGUUCAGAUUGCUGCUCAUGGGAUGGGGUCACUUGUGAUAACAUCAAAGGUCAAGUUAUUGGCCUUGACUUGAGUUGCAGUCAGCUCUAUGGCAGCAUCCCCUCCAAUAGUAGUCUCUUCCAUCUUCCACACUUGCAGAAACUCAACCUAGCCUCCAACGAUUUUAACUCUUCCAAGAUGUCAUCUAAGUUUGGUCGGUUUGCAAGUCUGGUGUAUCUUAACCUGUCUUUCGCAUCCUUUGCAGGAGAAGUCCCAUCCCAAAUCUCCCACUUGUCAAAAUUGGUUUCACUUGAUCUCUCUUGGAAUUGUUAUCAACCACUUGAUAGGCAUACUCUGGAAGGACUCGUUGAGAACCUAACAGAGGUGAGACAACUUUUUCUUGGUGAUAUCAAUAUGUCUUCUAUUAAUCCUAAUGUCUUGACGAAUCUAUCCUCAUCUCUAAGGGCCCUUAAUCUUGAGGAUUGUGAUUUGCGAGGAAAAUUUCCAAGAAACAUUUUUCUCCUGUCUAACCUCAAGUCGCUCUAUUUAGGAUACAACGAAAACCUUGCUCUCUAUUUUCCAAAGGUGAACCGGAGCAUCAAUCUUCAACUUUUAGAUCUAUCAGGAAUGUCCUUCUCAACAGAAUCGAUAGAUUCGAUCGGCAAUUUACAAUCUUUGAAAUAUUUGGAUUUAUGUGGGACUUCUUUUCCUGGAGGGUUGCCUAAGACUAUCAUGAAUUUAUCAUCUUUGGAGCAUUUGGAUGCAUCAGGCUCAUCUUUCUCAGGAGGAUUGCCCAACUCAAUCGGGAAUCUAGUGUCCUUGGAGUAUUUAAAUCUUCAAUUAUCCGACUUAUCAGGAUCAAUUCCGAUAUCAUUGGGAAACCUCUCGCAACUCAAUUAUUUAGAUUUGACGUCCAACUAUUUUAGUGGACAAAUUCCAUCCUCACUUACAAACCUAAGACAACUUGAAUUAUUAGACAUUUCUUAUAAUCAACUAGAAGGUUCCAUUCCUGAUGAGGUAGCUGCCUUUCCUAAUCUAAUCUCUCUAGAUUUGUCUUUUAAUUUACUCAAUGGAACACUUCCCUCAUGGUUGUAUACAGCUUCCACAUUGAAGUACAUAGCUGUCAGGAAUAACCAACUCAAUGGUGAUGUCAAGGAAUUUCAAUACAAAUCACUAGAAGAGAUCUUUUUAGAGAAUAACAAACUCACAGGUCCUAUUCCAUCUUCAAUAUUCCAAUUUGUGAACCUUACUAUUCUUGACUUAUCAUCAAAUAAUCUAAGUGGUAUUGUAGAGUUUGACAUGUUCUCGAAACUCCAAAAUCUCCAACACCUUCAUCUUUCAUAUAACAGUUUAUCCUUAAGCUCAAAUGGUACUAGUGCUAAUUAUACAUUGCCCAAUCUUCAAUCUUUACACUUGUCUUCUUGCAAUGUCAAAGAAUUUCCCCAAUUUUUAAAAGGCUCAAAAAGUUUGCAACAUUUACAUCUUUUCAACAAUAAAAUUUAUGGCAAGGUUCCCAAGUGGAUGUUGGAUAUGGGGAAGGAAUCUUUGUGGACUUUGAAUCUAUCUCACAACUCUUUUACAGAUUUUGAGCCACUCCCAUGGAAGAAAAUUCAUAUUCUUGACCUUAGUUCCAAUUUGAUUCAAGGAAAUCUUCCAAUUCCACCUUCAACAACAAGAUUCUUUUUUAUCUCAAAUAAUAGUUUGAGUGGAGAGAUUUCUUCUCUAAUAUGCAAUGUGAGUUCUCUUAGAGUUCUUGACUUGUCUCACAACAACUUGAGUGGAAUAAUUCCACAAUGUUUUGGAAAUUUGAGCAAAAGCCUCUCAGUGUUGAAAUUGGAGAUGAACAAGUUUCGUGGAAUCAUUCCUCCUACUUUUAUGAAGAAAUGUGAUCUGAGUUAUCUCAACUUACAUGGCAAUCAAUUAGAAGGGCCUUUAACACAAUCCAUCAUUAAUUGUAGAGGUUUGGAAGUGCUAGAUCUUGGUAACAACAAGAUCAAUGAUACAUUUCCUCAUUGGUUGGGAAGUCUUGCACAGCUACAAGUUCUUGUGUUGCGAUCGAACAAAUUCCAUGGUUCCAUUCAUGGAGCUAGGUCUAGUCAUUCUUUCUCCAAAAUCCAAAUUUUUGACCUCUCAAAUAAUUACUUUACUGGUCCCCUUCCUGUUAAAUAUAUAAAAAAUUUCAAGGCCAUGACAAAUCUCACAGAAGAUGAAAGUGUAAUAGGGUCAUACAUUGGCGGGCAUGGAUCUGGUGGCUAUAGCUAUUCUAUUGGAAUUAGAAUAAAAGGAGUAGAGAUUGAAUUGGUGAAAAUUUUCAUCAAGUUAAUGAUCAUUGAUCUCUCAAAUAAUGAGUUUCACGGUGAGAUUCCAGAGGUUAUUGGAGAGCUUGACUCACUCAAACAGCUUAACCUUUCUCAUAAUAACCUCAAUGGUUGUAUCCCCACAUCAAUGGGGAAUUUGACAGCACUUGAGUCACUAGAUCUCUCUUCAAACAAGCUUGUUGGGAAGAUUCCGACACAAUUGACUAGUUUGGUUUCUCUUGAAGUGUUAAACCUUUCACAAAAUCAGCUGGUUGGACCUAUACCUCUAGGAAACCAAUUCAAUACCUUUGGCAAUGAUUCCUAUGCUAAUAACUUGGGACUCUGUGGGUUUCCAUUAUCAAAGAGCUGUGACAACAUUGAGGCACCCAUUUUUCAUGAGGAAGCAGAUCCUGACUCUGGAUUUGAGUGGAAAGUGACAUUCAUGGGUUUUGGAAGUGGAUUAGUGUUGGGAAUAUCUGCAGCAUAUAUCAUGUUAACACUUGGAAGACCUAACUGGCUUGUGAGGAUGGUUGAAGAAGCAAGCUACAAAUUGAAGAGAUAUCUCAGAGGACGAAGGAAUUUGUAAAUUAGUAAGAAGCCCUCAUCGUUGCUGGUGGAUAGAAUGGCUUGUGUUCCUUUUUGUUGUUCGUUUUAUGUUCAGUUUGAUUUUCGUUUCUUGGCUGUGUUUUGUUUUGUCUUGCGCCCUGUCUUCUCUUCCAGGGGUUGUAUCAUGUUUUCAGGUUGUUUGUUACAGGGAUGCCCUGUUUUUGGUCUGUUAUGUUGCUUGGCUGUUGCUCAUAGCCAUCCAAAUGCUUGUUCUCUUCUGUUUUGUUCACCAGUGCUGAUUCCUGGUUGAUAAUGAAUUCUAUUUUUCAAAAAAAGUAAAGAUAGUUGUUGCAGACUUUGUUUUUUUCAUCCUAGAAUAAAUUUUCUUUCAUACUAAUGAAAUUGUAAGCCUGGUGUUGAUGUUAUUGGAAUUUAAUGUUGGAUUUUCUAUCCCUUUUACAGAUGUUGACAUGAAAUUUUAAUUGAAUUCACCGUGCUUAAUAAUUUUUUUUUUAAUGCUUGAAGGCAGCAAUUAGGAAGGAUAACAUUGAAUCCUAUGAUUAAAACUGGAGCAAUGGAAGCUUUUAAUUUCUCUCAAAUUUUGCCCUUUCACAUUGUACGAUAGGCAAGCAGAAGAACUUGACAGCAUCCGAUGGUCAAUGUUUUAAUACCUAACACUUGGUUACCUUCUUAAUCGAGUUAAGCAAGGAAAAAGAAGAAAUCGAUGUCACUUGCUAAAGUCAUCUGGGCUGCCAAUUGCUUCAUCACAAGCAAAUUUUGCUUUACUUCGCUGAAUCAAAGAUUUUGCUUAUAUAUAUAUAUAUAUAUAUGUAGAGGAACUGAGCUUUGCUUAGUAAACUCCAUGUGCUUAAACUAUCCAGUUGCCAACUUGGCUUAACCUUGGACCAUGUUGAGAAGAACACUAACUGGCCAUUACCAAUGGAGCCAAAACUUUCCUAUAAUUUCAGUUGUUCAUAAUAAAAGACUUGUUCUUUUCAAAUUUUAUUCAUAAUUUAGCCUUCUGAUAGUAUUCGGUUGGAUUGGUGUUUUUGUAAUGCCAAAUUCAAGUCUUUUCUUUUCUCAGUUCAGGGUAGAGACGGCUACCUCUAAGAACUUUAGUAUAAGGAGAGAAUUGUAAUUCUAAAAUCAAUGGGGAAUGUUUUGUCAUUUCUGCUUCUCUCACUUCCCACUUGCAGCGAGCAAAAUCUUUCCUUCACCAACUCGACUUCUCUCAAAAGCCCCUCUUGAAGUAAUGAAGAGACCACCCUUCCAUGGGAAUUCUCUUCAUCCCAAUAAAACCUGAAACUCCCUUCUUUUUCUCUUUCUCCUUUUUCCAUAUUUUGUUUAAACAAGUUUCAAUCUUUUUUCUCUCCUUAUUUUUUUGUAGAUUAUUGAAUUAUUCUUGUUGAUGAGAAUGGCACUUGAAUCCUCAAUUCUCACCCAACCCACUUUCUUUUCUUCAAGAAAGUGCUCGUCUCUCAUGUUUUUUAAUCAAAAUUUGAAGUACCCAUCAAAGUUUUUAUCCAAAACUAAUCACUACCCAGCUCCUAUUAUCUCCAGUUUUCCCAAUCCCGAGGUUUUCAAAGCCUUUGGAUUGCGAAAAAAUGGUAUUUUUGGAAGUCAAGCACGUCUGGGAUUGUUAGGCGAAGGCAAUGAAGAUGUGGGAAAUAAUCAGAAUCUGAUUUUGGUGAAAAGGGGGAUUUUGGUAGUAAUGGUUUGCAGUGUAUUCGUCUUUGGUUGUAAACGAGUGUUUGCUGUCGAGGGAGUGGUUAAUGCUGGGUAUGGGGUGAUUGGGCAGUGCAUAUUGUUGUUGAGGAAUGCUUGGCCUAAGUUAUCUAUGCUUCUUAAAGUAUUCAAGGAGCAAGGUGUGGUUUUGACAGCGCUUCUGGGCCUGUCUGCCUUCUUCUCAAUGGCAGAGACUGCUAUAACUACAUUAUGGCCUUGGAAGGUAUUGAUUUCUUUGACCCAGGACUGGAUAGCUUUUAUACUUAUUGAAUGCAUGUUUUUGGUCGCUCAAUGAUGGAAAUCAGAAAGCAAGUAUACAGAUUGUUGCAAAUUGGAAAGAAUGUAGUUGCUUUGGUCAAUUUAUAAUGCAGUCUUUGGAAUAUUCUCUUUUUCCUGAUUGUUGUGCAAAUUUCUUUGGUGAGUUGAUAUAUUGGCUUGAAUUAAUACAAGUUUAAUUUUGAUUCACCAUGUUAACUUUCAGUAUAAAUUCGAUGCUGUAUUAUUAGUUUAUGGUGGAUUGCAUUUGAACAUAUAAUUUCUUAUAGAUGUGAGCUCAAUCAUAGUAACUUAUAAAAAGGAAACAAAUUGUUAGUGGUGCACACAAGAGGAGAAAUAUCAUGGAGGAGAAAAGAUAGAAUGUAGAAACACAUUAGAGUGAAAAGGGAGAAGAAAGUGAGAGAAAACAGAGAGACAGAGAGAGAGAGUAGAGAAAGACAAGCAACUUAUAGGAUAAGCCAUAGAUAACAACAUCAUGAAGUGUGUAUUAUUUCAACCAUUAAACCCUAAUUCUACACUAGUUAUUUAGUAUUGCAUUUUGGUAAAGGGAAAAACAAAUCUUUUGAAGUAUAGAUUGCACUUUAACUUUUAAGUUAGAGAAGGUUGAAGUAGAAAUAUCUGACACAAGUUUUCUUGAAAUCCGUUUUUCAUUUGAUGUUAACCUGUGUUAGGUACGUGAGCUGGCUGAAAAAGAGUCUGAAGAUGGUGUCUUCAAAAUGCUUCGUAGUGAUGUAACUCGAUUUCUCACAACCAUUCUUAUUGGCACCACGUACUUCUCAUUACCUUGAUAUAUUCCAGUUCCAUUUUUUUUAGAUUAAGCUUGAAAGUAUUUCUUAUCGUAGAUUCUAUUUCUGUUCUUAGUGUGGUCAAUAUUGGAGCAACUGCCCUAGUCACAGAUGCCGCAACGGCAAUAUUUGGGGAAGCUGGUGUUAGUGCGGCAACUGGAGUAAUGACCGUAUGUGUCAAUAUCCUGUUCUUUGAUUUGUUUUGGGGGGUGUGUGUAGCAUGCCUGCACUUAUUUGUGUCUUGCUCAUAUAAUGAAUUUAUAUUAAGUCAGUAAAAUAAUUAAUCAGUUAAUUUGUUGUAGGUCUGGACAUGAAUAUAGACCUACUUCAUGCAAUAAAUAUGAAAACCAGUUAACUCUUCUAGAAUGGUGCUAGGUUGCUAUAUUGCUUCUCACUGAGAUCACUCCAAAGAGUAUAGCUGUUCACAAUCCCACAGAAGUUGCCAGAUUUGUGGUAAGUUUAUUCUUUUCUUCCCCAAUAAUUUGGGUCUUCAAAUUUCACUGUCAGCCAGAUGUGUGUUAAAACUGCAUAGUUUUUCUUUUUCCCUAUGUUUCAUGCUAUAUGCUUCAUGGCUCUCUUGGGACUUUGGCAAAGUUAUCAUUACCAUUUCCAAAUUGGCUAACUAAUUGUGGUUGCAAUGUUUGUAGGUCAGGCCAGUGGCAUGGCUUUCUGUAAUACUAUAUCCAGUAGGAAGAGUUGUCACAUAUCUCUCAAUGGGAAUGCUCAAAAUUCUUGGUCUAAAAGGAAAAAGGUGAAGAAAAUAAUCACCUAUAUUUAAUCUGUCUGGAGCUUCUAAGUCAUCAUGCAUUUUCAGUUUUGUUUGUUUCCAAUGGUUUGUCAAAUUUUCAACAUAUGCCAUCAUUCUAUUAUAUGCUUUUUGAAUGCCUCAAUGCCUUGUGUCUUUAUUUUAGCGAACCUUAUGUUACUGAAGAUGAAUUGAAGCUAAUGUUACGAGGGGCAGAGUUGAGUGGAGCAAUAGAGGAGGAGGAGCAGGUAACCAUAUAUAUCACAUAUGUCAUAAGUUCAUAUGUUAUAACACCGAUUGAGCAUUUGAUUAACACAUAAUAUUUGAUAUGCGGUGUAAAUUUUCUAUUACCUUCUGUUCUAUAGCCCUAGAGCAGUGUGUUCCAUAUGCACCCAAAUUGAAAAUUUCUUCAUUGCUUCCCCUUUUUGUAUGUUUGUACAUGUGUAUGUUGUGUGUAGCCCACCUGCAUGCUCUGACCCUACUAAGGGGUUUUCAGAUAAGUUUUCUUGAUGGAUUAAAGAGAAGACAUUAAGGAGAAAUAACUGGUAGCCAUAAACAAAAAUUUGACUUCAUUGAGGUGCCUGAAGAUGAAAUGAUUCGAGAAGCAGUAGAUCCUUCAUGGCUUUAUCAGUACCCAGUUUAUUGCAUAUGGUAAACAAGUAGUUUUAUGCCAAAAUAGAUUCUUAAAACCCUUCUCUAUUAAGCCAAAGCUCACAAUGAUUAUGUUAUUUCCCCCAAUAGCUCAGGCUUAGCUAUCUGGUACAAUGCCAAUGUCCAGGCAUCCUCUUGUGAUUGCUCCCUAUUGUCCAUGUUUAUACUUUACUAUUGGCAUAAAUCCAAUUGAAUCACUUCCUCUUUCUUUGUCUAUGGUUCUGCUGCUCUUAUUGUUGGAAUCCUUCGCAGGAUAUGAUUGAAAAUGUGUUAGAGAUAAAAGAUACUCAUGUUAGAGAGGUGAUGACACCUCUUGUUGAUGUGGUUGCAAUUGAUGCAAGCUCAACUCUUGUUGAGUUCCACAAUCUGUGGUUGACUCAUCAAUAUUCAAGGUAGAUAAUCUUAGUAAUUCAUCUCUUAGGUUCUUUUUUCCUUAAAUUGACAUGCUAAGAAAUUUGUUGACAUGUUUGCAGGGUGCCUGUUUUUGAGCAGCGUGUUGACAAUAUAGUGGGUAUUGCAUAUGCUAUGGAUCUACUAGAUUAUGUUCCAAAGGUCAGACAUUUUCUACUCUCGGUGUUGUUUCCUAUCAUCUGUAAGACUUUGCUUAUUAAUGUAUGCAACAAUAUCAUAGUGUGCAGAAUUAUAAUCUAUUUGAUUUUGAAGGGUGAACUGCUAGAAAGUACUACUGUGGGAGAUAUGGCUCACAAACCCGCAUACUUUGUGCCUGGUAAGUUUUAAACUUAUCUUCUUCGGUUGAUUUCAUGCUUUGAGUUAAUGUGUGGCUGAAUUUUACCUUUCUAUCUCAGUAUUCAUUAGGCCAAAUGGCAGCUGUUACUUCAGUUUAUAACCAUUGUUAACAUGUUCAUUGUAGAUUCAAUGUCAGUCUGGAAUCUUCUUAGAGAGUUUCGCAUCAGGAAGGUUCACAUGGCUGUUGUUCUUAAUGAAUAUGGUGGAACUGUUGGAGUAUGUGCUAUGCUUAAUUCAGAAUGAUAUUGAACUUAGAUUUAUAUUCUUAAAUGAUUUUUUACCUGUCAAAGAGCCUCAAAGUGAGAUGGAUUUAUUUUUUUUUAAAUGCACUUUUCGUGGAUUUAAGGUGUUAUGUGGAAGCACUCCCAUAGCAUAGUUGAUAGCAUGUUUCUAUGCCCGCUUAAAACAGCAUCAUUGAUUUGUAUGGCAUAACUUUAACUGAUUUGGCAUACAACAUUAAUAUGGGAUUGAACACGGAAAAGUUUGCCUGCAGUUGAAAGUUGAAUGAGCUGUCAAAUAUUCCAAAAUCCCUUCAUCUCUUGUUACAAAUUCGUCGGGAGUGAAGUCUUAGCAAACCCGAGAGACAACAACUGAUAUGCACUUAUAUUCCAACCCCACCCCAGCCCCCACCCCCCCCGCCCCCCCCAAAAAAAAAAAAAAUAUUUUCAAUCACCCACUCUAUGUUCUUUUAUCUCAUUGUUUUAAUGUUGGAACAGAUAGUUACCUUAGAAGAUGUGGUUGAGGAGAUUGUUGGUGAAAUUUUUGACGAAAAUGACUCAAAAGUAAGGCUUACUACAUCUUUGAUGACUUUAUCAAUGACAUAGUUCUUCUGCUUCAGACUUCAUAUUCCUAAUUAUUUAGGUUUAGUCAAAAUGCUGCUUUUCAUUACACCAUAGACUUUAUUCCUAAUUAUUUAGAUUUUACUGGUUCUUAUGUUUACCCUUCAAUCUCUUAUCUAUUUUCUGGGUUUUUGAUCAUCAUUAUAAGUAUGUUAGCAUUGCAUGUCUUCACUUUUGUAAGAUUUGGUGACCGAAUGAGGAUCAAGUAAUACUAUGUCAUGAUUAUGCUAUCAAUAGAUGUGUGGACCUUAAUAGCUGUGAACUUUAUUUUCAAGUUUCUGUGGUCUUAAUUAUGUUUAUUUUUGCCUGCUAUAACAGGAGGAAAUCCAGAAGAAAACUGGCUAUAUUGUUAUGCGAGCAGAGGGAAUCUUUGACGUUGAUGCUAACACAUCUAUCGAUCAACUUUCUGAAGAUCUAAAUAUCAAAAUGCCUGAGGUAUGUUACUUGUAUUACUCAGUGUUAUUGAUAUAAGCCCUCAAUAUAAGUUUUCGUUCUACUUGCAAGUUUCUGCAUGUAUAGUUGAAAUGGUCAUGAAUAUGCAUUCAGGUGUUAAAAUAGAGUGUCCUUUGUUAAUAUCUAUACUAGAGAGAACUAUCAAUUGGACCUUACCUCACAGUAUGAAGAACUGGAUCCACAUAUAAAGUGUCUGUUUGUCAAUUAUACAGGUAUUGUCAACAUUUUUUUUUCUUUUGCUGUUUUAUAGGAACAUCAAUAUGAGACAGUGUCAGGUUUUGUAUGCGAGGCAUUUGGAUAUAUCCCGAGGACGGGUGAGAGUAUUAAGGUAGUCCUUGAAAAGGAAAAUCAAGAAGAAGAUGAUGGGAAUUCCGAAGCUGGAUCUGAUCGUCAAGAUUUGAAGGACAGGCAUCAAAUUUAUAAACUUGAGGUAUGGUUCAAACCUUUUUGCCAUAUGCAAUUAUAUUGCAUAACGUUGGUGUUGAAUAAUGUAAUAUUUAUCUGAGUGCUUUAUAAUGUCACUAUUUAGGGAGUGUAGUCCGACACAUACUGAAUGAAAGCAGUUUAGAAUUUAUGACAUCUGGAUUAUGGAUGAAUUAGAAUCUCUGAACCAAGUAUUCAACAUUUGAAGUGUCAAACAUUUAGUUAUUGGAAUUAUAAUGAACUUUGGUCACUAUGAUAUUAUCCUUUUACAUCAGGGUCUUCUAGCGUAAUGGCUACAGUGAAGUGAUCCAUCUCCUGUUUUUUCCAGUGAAAUCACUCAAAUGUUGAUAUUCUUAUGAAAUAUUAUGAGACUGAAUGUUAUACUUGGCCAAAAUGAAAAGAAUUCUACACCUUUGAGAAAAUGUCCAUAAAACAUAUGUUACAUAAAGGAGUAAGCACCAGAUGAAAUUCACUAAAACCACUGGGAAGGAAACACCACUAAGCACUCACUGUGGCAUCUCUUUUUCAAAUUACUGCUGCUGCACAUGACAGCCAAUUGAAUGCUGUAUUUUACUAAUGCAAGAGUUCCUUGCAUUCGUAUUUUCUUUUCAAAGGCUAACUUAAGUUUGUUACAUAAAGACAGCUUUUCUGUCUGAGUUUUCUUAGGAUUCAAAUUUUAAUGGAUCUUCCUGCAAAUAUUUCAUCAAUCUGACGAACAUAAGAUGAGGCCAAAACUUGAUCAACUAUAUGACUAACACAUUAAUGCGGGCAACUUGUCUUUGAUGCAGAUAUUAGCAGGAAAUGCUCGAAAAGUGAGUGCUGUUCGGUUUGAACGGAUAAACAAUGAGGAAGCACUAUUAGAUGCCACAGCAGUAACUCCGAUGAUUCCAAAAUUAAUGAAGAAGAAAUGGAGCAGUGAAGAAGACUCGAAUAAUGGUAACCAUGAUGAAGAUACACUUGAAAAGAGGCAAGAGGAUGAUCUCUCCGAUUACUAUGUAAUUUCUGAUUAUAAAGAGGAUAAUGAGAGUCCCAGUGAACAGUAGUUACAUUACAAUAUUUGUUCUCUCUUUUCCCCCCUGAACUCCCCCUUUUUCCACCUCCCAAUUUCUUACAGCUCCAUAAGAAGAGGUAUAAGACUAGAAAAACGGAAGAAAGAAACAAGAAUAUGAGAUAGACUACCAUUGUACAAUUGUUUCAGAGAUGAAGUGAGGUGUCAACAUCUGAAUCGUUAAAGGUAGAUGCAUGAAUGGCAGUAACUCUUGGCUGUAAAUUUGACAAAACCGGAGUCUCGAUAACCUGUUGCUGAGUAUGCAUGCUCUGCAUGCUAGAUUCCCUGUAGAGAGAUACUUGGAGAGGUCUUCUUGACUGAAGGGUCAAUUCAGAAUGGAAAAACGUUUGGGAUACCUCGUAAGGUGUAGCUGGAUUGAUCCGCUCUGCUUCAGAGAGCAGCCGUAAGACCUCUCUCUCCUGCCUCAUUUCCUUCACUCUCUGCAACUGUUUGAACCUCUCUUGCAAGAGGGCGAUGGAUGAAUGAACAGCUGGGUCACUCUGCCUACCCAUCAUAAAAUGAACUGGUGCCGGUCUAUGGUACUUGGAAGAAUGGCCUAUAACGUGGUCUGAGGUUGUUAUAUUCCUAUAUAUAGGAUAUUGGUAAGCUUUGAAAUCAAUGAUAUAUUUCAAUGUAAGCCCUUUAAUUUGAUUCUCAAUGAUGUAAAAGAAAAAGGUAGAAUCGGCAGCUGAGAUACAAAAUCCAAGGAGGCAGAGUUAUGUGGUAAUGUGUUGAGGUAAAAGUACAUGAUAGGGAGGAAAGGGUCGGAAAUAAAAUCCAAAUUGGGGUGGAAUGUAGCAUUUGGAAUGGUUUCUUUUGCAGAAUAAAAGGAUGGUUGAUGCUUUGUCGGCUUGUUGCCAAGCGCUAUUGGCCUUUCGAGAAGAGGGUGCCCCUUUUUUGGUGGGGGAUUUGGUGGGAUCUUAUAUUGUUCACCUUUCAACAUUCCCUUUUCACUUUUGUGGAGAGCAAAAAGAGAAUGGAGAUUGAGGAUGUCGAAGCAGGACAAGAGUUGGAACAGGGAAUAUAUUUUGGACUCCCUCUCUCUCUCUCUCUCUCUCUCUCUUCCCUACUANUCCUCCUCUCUCUCUCUCUCUCUCUCUCUUUCCACAUUCUGUUUUGUCAUCAAGUUGUUGGAUAGAAAUGGCAUGGAAGGAGAAAGCUGUAGUUAUUGGAUUCGUUUUAUGACUCUUCUUGUUCGAACACUUUUGUCUUUGAACUUAAUUGUUGGAAGAGUGGGCGCAAGCUGAAAAGCAGCCUACCCAAUCCUAGAUAUCUCAUGGACUUUGGCAAAGUAUCUAGCUUUAGCCAAGCAAAAUCGCUGAAAUGGAGGAAUGAGUGGUGCAACUUCCUUGAAGCUUUCUUCUUGUCUGAGACCUCAAAUAUCAGUGGUGAUAGUGUUGGCAAACAGUGUAAUCCAUGUCAAUAAUCUGUUAACAAAAUCAUGGCUUAUGCAUAAGGGUCUAUGCACAAAACCAUGGGUUUCAAAUUGUUUAAGAAUAUAUUAACAAAAAAAAAGGAACUUGGGAGAUGGUGAUCAAAACAUAGGUUUUGCCAUAUUGUUCCAACUAAAGCAGGCUAUUAAUAAUCUCAAAGUGAAGAAUUACUACCUCAAGCUAACAAAUUAAUUGCCCAAAAUCAGGAGGAGGAACAAUUAAUGCUUUAGGAAUAAAUAAAAUAACCUGUUUGCCAUGUUGGACUCACUAGGAAAUCUAGCACUAUAAGGUUGUUGGGCCAACAGCUUUCCAGCAAUUGGAUAAAGAGCCUGUAAAUGUCCUGAUUUUGAGUCCUUGUUGGAAGGCAACUUCACUGUAAAAGUCUUUAACUUAUAUAAAUAUUUCAUAAUCAUAUGUCAAAUUUCAUAUAAAAAAAUGAUGAACAUUUCUGUUUACUGUCAAAUUGUUCCAUUUUUAGCUGCUGAUCACUCAUUUUGUUUAACACAUGUAAUUGAUGGCAAUAGCAAAGAAAAGUAAUUUCAAUUGGCUUAAGUCUGCUAGGCAGUUGUGCCUGAACCAUCUUUUAAAUGUAAACUUCAUUAAAGCAGAAAGAGAAUUACUGGUUUCAAUCAUGUGCUGACCUGUUGGUUUAAUUGCUCUUGUCCUUGGAUGAUAACAUUAUAAAAUGAACCUUAUCACUCUAUAUUUCUGGACAAAGCAAUCAUUCCUUGAGAAUAUGAAGGUAAGCUGCUUAUUUCUGGCUACUUUCUUGCUAUUGUUUCAAUUGAAAUUAGAAUCUGGGUUGUUAUAUCAAAAUUGUUGGAAUAUGAAUCGGGUCAAGUGGAUGGAAAUCGUAUUUCUUUGCCUGUUUGGAUGUGAAACAUGAUUUCAUUUGAUGCUGCAGCAAAAGAUUGUUAUCAAGGUAUCAAUGCACUGUGACAAAUGCCGGACCAAGGCCCUGAAGAUUGCUGCUGCAGCAGAUGGUAUGUUUGUAGUCUACCAAUUAAUUUCAACAAUCGAAAUUAAGGAAUAAUUCUUUUAUUUUUUUCUUAAUGGCAUGUAGGUGUGAUAUCAGUGGAAUUGCAGGGUCCAGAGAAAGAUAAACUGAUGAUAGUUGGAGAUGGGAUUGAUGCAGCCUGCUUGACUUGGUACUUGAGAAAAAAGCUUUCCCAUGCAAGCUUAGAGAUGGUGGAAGAAGUGAAGGACAAAAAGGUGGAAGAGAAGAAAGAUGCAGGUGAAAAAGAUGGAGAGAAGAAAGAGCCAAAAUCACCCACAACUCUAGUUUUAUGCUGUCCACAGCCUCAGCUGGAAUAUUUUGCAGUGGUCACUGAGCCCAAUCCAGGCCCUUGCACUAUAUUGUAAUGAUAGAAUAGACAGACCCCAAACGGCAUCAUCACCUUAAGGUCUCAUGCCUUCAUCCUUACUUCCAACUUCUCAUUGUUUCUUAACAGCAGUAACUCAACAGGUUUGAUUCUGUCGGGUGCUGAGACCCCUGCAGAUUUCUAUGUUCACUUGUUUCAUCUUAAGUAUUCACCAUAGUUUCCUUACCCACCAUAACAAUUGAGAAUAAGAUCGAUGUCUGUUAAGAUUAAGAUCAUUUUUAUCAUCAGAAUCAUCAGUUCUUGUGGCUCCAAACAACAAAAAGUUUAAAAUUUUCCAUACCAGUAGCAUUCAGUCCAUAUUACCAUGAGAUUUUUCUUCCCAUUUUUCAUGAUUUCAUCGCUAUAAAUCAAUGAGUAAUAACAGGAACAAGUUUGUUACGGUAUGAACCAUCCAAUGCCUUCUUCUGCAAGUACAUGCAUACAUUGGGAAGGAUGCCAGAUUGACUUGGAAAAGUAAGCUUGCAUUGAUGAUGGCAUGGCCUACAGAGUUUAAGGAACUUACUGUAAGUACUUGUGUCUACCUGUCUACGUACAAAUAAUGUCAGCUGCAUCACAUGGAAAUUGUCCUUGUACAGAAAGAGGAGAGAAGUACUUGUACAGAUGAUGCCAAUUUAUUAGAUUAAGAACUGUGAAAAUUAAGACAAGAAAUAUGCCACUAUCCUUAGACGAAUAUGAUUUCAUGAAUCUGUUUCGAAAGCAAAUUGAACAAAUAAAUCGUUCAAAAAAUUAACUCACAACGAGUAAUUACCCUGUUUUCCUGAAUAGUUACAACAGUUGAAAUCUCCUGACAUAUUAUUAAGUCCUGUCACGAAAUAAACAAACUGAUGAAGCUUUUCAUUAUGGGAUUUCAAGCAAAUGAUUGGGGUUUAAAUUUGUUUCCCAGAGAGGCGGUUGAGUGCAGUCAAUUCAUACCAUACCAAAAAGCUUCAGAGUCAAUAUAGAAUAACAAUGAGUUUCAGAAAAGAAACACAGAGGUUUUUGUCCUGUCAGGCACUAAAAAACAAAGACAUGGAGGCAUGUGGGUCUGUUCCUUUCCUGAAUAUACUGAAUUCAGAGAAUUUGGGUGCUUAGGUACAUGGAAAAUGAUACUUAUAACACACACUUACGCCAAAUACAGGAAAAUUUGAAUCCUGCUGAUUAUUUUCUAGGAACAAUAUCAUUUUCUUUCAUGUAAAAAAGGGUAAUUAGUUUACUUUAGCCCUAGCAACUAUAAGAAUCUUGGACUUAUAGUAGGAUUCAGUUUCGUAAUUUCUAAUAACUACAAUCUCAAAUGUCGUAAAAAGUUUCAGAUUCAAAUUCUCUUAUUUAAAAAUUUACGGUGAAUCGAAGCAAAUUAAUAUUAAAUUUAGAACAAGAAAAAUUAUCAUUAUAAAAAAAAUUUUUUACUAAAAAAAACUAAUUUAAUAUGAAAACGGUCCAUAUUGACUCCAUAAUUAUCAUUUAAAUGAAACCAUCAAAGUCUGGAAAUGUGAUGAAAUAGUGCAUGAUGACUCCUCCAUCAACUCCCAUAAUAUCUGGGUAGUUGAUCUUUCUCUUAAAUCCAAACACGUGAUUGUGGAAACUCCUAACUGGUUUUGGACUUGAUUAAGUUUCCUUCCAAGUCUUUGUUGUUGACUUGAUUCUUUUUUUAUAAUUUUGUUCCAACGGUUGACUUAACUGCUCUUUAAUGGAUUAAAGAACACUAAGAAACAGAAAGGAAAGUUGCACAAUAGAAUUCAAUGGAUUUGAUCACCAACUCAACCCUUCAAAAUUUAAAGAUAAUUAAUUAUUACUUUAAUCUCGACUCCAUUCACACUGAAUCGAUCAUAAUAGUGGCAACAGGUAUGGUACCCGUUAUGUUCAAAAUACCUAUAUCUUUUAGAUCAUAAUACCGAUCAUACACCAUCUUUUAGAUGGAAUAUGAAAAGAAUAAGGUCUAUCUCUUACAAUAAAAUUAACAUCUGCAACAAAUGGGGUUUUAUCACUUGGGGUAGCUAUAUUAGCACGACAACCCGAUAAUGACCUUAAUACGGAACUAAUCUAAUCAUUAAUAUCAUAUGUACUAAAUUAUUAAUACCCUUACCAUUUAUAUAGUAUCAGGAUCAUUUUGAAUCUUUCUUUAUAUGUUAAUUAAUCCAUGUAACCUUAAUUCGGAAAUAUGAUCAAGUUGUACAUGUGCACAAACUUCUUCAAGACCUUAAACGCGUACAAAUUACUAUUAAUAUAAGACUUAAUUAUUGACUUAAUGAUAUUAUUGCUAUACUUAAUAGUUGACCUCAGUGUUUAACAUAUAGUUUAUACCAAAGUGUGAACUGUGAUUGAUGUUUGCCUUCCCUUUGAAAAAUGAAUCCAGUUGAAAGUGCCUAAUUUAAUCACAGGUUAUAGCUAAUUAAUUAGUCUCCACGUUUCUCCAUUUUCACACUUAAAUCAGUGUUGACUUCAUUAAUUUAAUGCUUAAUCCAACCAAUUCUUCUGAAAUUUUAACUUAAUGACAUAAUAUGACAUAAUGUUGAUUACGUCAAAAACCCAAUGUUUAUAUAUUACUAAUUUUUUUUACUAAGAAAAAAAAUUAUUAAUAUAUCGCAGGCCAUGCAACAGUUGAGGCAAGGGAAAAGCAAAUCCUGACGUAUUAGUCUGAACAUGCAAUGGGUUUGGUUUAUUGAUUUGGUCAAGCUAUUCACACUAAUGGUUUUACCUGUAAGCUUUUAGAAUAUUUAAUUCCACCGUUAAACAAAACUGAUCAAUUACAACAAUAAUUGACUUUUACACAGGUAAUCCAAUGAGAAGAUUAAGCUAAGCUGUGAGUUGGUGUUUGGCUUGGUCUGAUAGGGCAGUUCUCCCCGUUGAACCCAUGAAAGGUGGAUCACUAACUUAAUCCUUAAACUUCCAUUAAAGGGGAAUUAAGAAAAAGAAAGUAGAUAGUGGUAUUAGUCAUGUGCUGGUUUAGAUUAGUAUGCAACCUUGGAUCCGAUGAAAAUUAUAUAAAGAACCAUGGCUGGUGCUUAUGCAGUCAGCUAUAUAUUGGAAAACCUGUUAAACCCUUCUUGAACAAAGCAACAUUCCUUUCGGGGUGCUAGAAAAUAUGAAGGUAAGCUGCAUUGUAACAACUUAUUUUUCUUGGUACACUUGUUUCAAUGAAAAUCAAACAUGGAAUCUCACAACAUUUUUUUUUUGGAAAAAAAGAAUGUUCUUCAUAUGCUGUAAUGGCUGCAUUUAUCUUUUUUUUUUUUUUUUUCUAUCUUCUCCAACAUUCACUUAUUUCAGACAUAGAGCAAUUUUGGUUCUGUGGUAAAACCUGAUGUGGUGUUUUUGCUUUAAUUGUGCAGCAAAAGAUAAUUAUUAAGGUGUCAAUGCAUUGCAGCAAAUGCAGGACAAAGGCCAUGAAGAUAGCUUCUGUGGCAGAUGGUGUGUAGCUUCCAAAAUCAAGUUGAUAUGAUUGUGAAUUUCAACAAAAUAAACAAACAGAGAGAGAUGAAUUCUAGAUACUGAUAUGUUUUUGAAAAUUUUUGUGAUGGAACAGGAGUGACAUCUGUGGCUUUACAUGGACCCGAAAGAGAUAAACUGAUCAUAGUGGGAGAUGGGGUUGAUGCAGCAUGUUUGACCAGCUCCUUGAGGAAGAAGCUUUGUCAUGCAAGCUUAGAAAUAGUAGAAGAAGUGAAGGAGAAAAAACCAGAACAACCCAAACCACCCACUCCAAUUUUAUAUUGUCCACAACCACAACCCCAGCCCCAGUUUGAAUAUUUUACAGUGGUUUCUGAGCCCCCUCCAGGUCCUUGUACUAUCAUGUGAAACAAAAGACUCACUUUCCUUCUCCAAAUCUGUUUUAUGCCAAGAGGAGCCUUUUACCAAAUCGGUUUAAGACUUUUAAUGCUAUUCAUGCUUUGGUGUUUCAAUAAAACCCAUUUUUCAAAAAAACAAAAAAUGUGAAACAAAAGACUCCAAUGCCAUAUGACCAAUGAAGUUUUAGCAGUUGUAACUCCUUUGGCCUGCACCCAAACUUCUAGUUGUUUCCUCAUUUGUAGUUCUUCAGCAUAUUGCAAUUAUAUUGAUCUUGCUAAUUAGUCUAGUAGAUUAGCUUGUGCCAUGUAUUUAAAGUUUUAGAACUAUUUGAUACCAUACUAUUAAUCUCUCUCCUCUGAGUGUUAUAUAUAUAUAUAUAUAUAUAUAUAUAUAAAAUAUUUUUUCUGCCUUCUCCCAGUUAAUUUGAUCAUAGGAGACUUGGGACCUUGUUUUAGUGGUAAAAUUCAAGCAUUGAUUGAAUUUUAGAUGAAGCAGGGGCAUCAAUUUUUUUUUAAGAUGAAGGUAAUUACUUCAUUAUAGUAACAGACUAAUAAAAAUCAGAAACCAAAAUGCAACAGCUAUCCAUUCUGCGUAAUUGUAAUGCAAGGAACAUCAUAACUUUAAAAUAUAUUCCAAAACCAAAUGUAUUGGGUAUUUGCAAUUGUUCAGGAACUUUGCAAGAUUGUUCCUCAGCUCCUGCAUCAAGCAAAAAUAUCUGGGGAGUUGAAUUUGCUCUAUAAUGCAAGCAGCAUCCACUCCAUGGACUCUAAAACCUCUCUCCAAUUUCGCCAUCAAUGCCUCAUUCUGCAAGGGAUGUAUCCAUUGGAAGGAUGCCAGAAGGACUUGGAGCUGUAUGCUGAAUUCAAAAAUAAUAAUAACAAUAAUAAUAAAGAAAGAAGACCACCUUCGUGGCUUAAGAACAUAUGGCAAUUAACUGCUAAAAAAGUCAGCAAGUCACAUGGAGAUGAAGAGGGAGAGACAGAGAGUGUUGCGUGUAUUGAUUAAUCCAGGAAAUUAUUUAGAAAACAGUAACAUAGUAAGGAAGUCAAAUUAUAUUAAUAAUGUGGAAUUAUAACACAUGCAUGCAUGCUCCGGCUCACCAUUCUGUCUAGUUGUUUUUAAGAUUCCUCUCCAAACUAUAGAAAUUCCUAGAGACAAAGAAUCUAAGAUCCAUAUAUCAGUACUAUGAUUUGAAAAAAUAUUGGCCUUAGAUUUAUUUGAAUGUGGAUUAAUCACCCUAAGAUGUAGUGGAGAGGAUACUUUCACUCUAUAUAUAGUCUAUUAGGGCCGGGCCUUGGGUGAAGCCACCCAAGCAAGGGUUUUAGGCCUCCAUUUUGGAGAGGUCCCAAUUUUAGGAAAGAUUUAUAAUUUUAUAAUAAUUAUAAUAUAAUUAAUUAUAUUAAAAAUAUAUAAAAAUAAAAAAAUAAAAAAAUAAAAAAAAAUUAAUAAAAUUAUUUGUUCUUUCACUUUUUUAAUUAUGUGCUUAAUAAAUAUCAAUUUUCUAUUAUUUCUAUAUUUCUAGAAUGCUAUUAAUUCUUAAUUAUAUUCUCUUAUUUCCAAUAAACUAAUAGUCAUAUAUAUUUAAUAAUCUCCAAUAACUAUUUUUUCUCACUUAUUGCUCUUAUUUUCAAUCAACGUAUUUAAUGAUUUCCAACAGCUAUUUUUUUCUAUAUAUAAAAUCAAUUAUUUUUUUUCAAUGUAUAAUAUCUACUUUUGAAAUCUUCCUUUCUCAUUUGUUUUUUCUUCCUUUAACGCUAAUUUUUCUCCAAAUAAUACACAACAAGUUUAUUUUUUUAUUAUUUUUAUAAAGCUGUGAGCUUCAUUUGAAAUAAUAUUGCCUUAAUGUUGAAUGUUUCUUAAAAUAUAAUAACUAUUUUACUAUUGAUGGUUUAAAUUUAUUUUAAAGUUAAAAAUUUUAAAAGAAAUUAUACAGGAAGAAAACGGUCCAAUUGACAUACUUAAUCAUAUAAGAAGACUCGAUUCUUUUUCAAAUGCAUAUAUUGCUUUAGAAUAAUGUUAACAAUUCCAGUCAGUGUUACUUCAGGAGAAAGAAGUUUUUUAAAACUAAAAUUAAUAAAAUCUUAUUUAAGAUCAACAAUAGCUCAAGAAAAAUUAAAUGGAUUGGUUAUAUUAUCAAUUGAAAAAGAAAUUUUAGAAAAAAUUGAUUAUAAAAGUUUAAUUAAAAAUUUUGCAUCUCAAAAAGUUAGAAGAAUAAAAUUUUAAUACAAAAAGCCCCAUUUGAAUAUUUCACUUUAGGCUUUUGAACUUAUUAGGCUGCCCCUGUAGUCUAUAUAUGAUCAAAGUAUGAAAUGCAAGAAUUAGUUUUGGAAAAAAUGACAAUUCAAUAAAAAAGAUAGAGAAAGAUUUGUGACCUUUAGUUAGUUGUGGACCAUAUUUAGUCAUUACGAUUGUCGUCGUUAAUUUCAAUUUUCAAAUAUUCUUUGUGCCGGUCCGUUGCUGCCAUUCAAAAUUUUUAUUUUUUUCUCCUGAAUGAAUGCAUUGGAUCAAUGUGGAGGAAUGUGUCCUUGAAAUCUUUUGAGAAUGGAAUUAGACUAAAAAAUAAAAAUCUUAGCAUAAUAUUUUUAAAAAUUUUAAACAAUUUAAGAAAAUUCUAAAAAAUCUUUAUUCUUUUAUUGUGGUCAUCAUGUCACAUUAAUAUACCAUGUCAAUAUCAAUAAAAGAAUAACCCUUUAUUUAAAAAUUUUUGAAUAUUUUAAGUGAUUUUGUAGAUAUUAUGUGAGAAUUCUUUUAUUCGACGAAAGCUAAGAAGUGCUUGAGUAAAAUUAUUAUUAUUAUUAAAUGUGAAGAAACUCAAAGUCUUCAAAAGUAGUCCCUGUCAAUGCCAAGAAGAAUAUCUUAAAUGUCAACAGAAGCUAUAAAUGGUGAAGAAAAAAUAGAUUGAAUUAUAUUCCACUACGAAGCCUUUCAUUUUCUCAGCUAACCCGAUGAGUUCACACCAACCAAUUUCCACCUCAGCCACAAGCUCUUUGUUCUGGUUUAAAUCCAUGUUCUUCUAAGAGCUAAGAUGCAUAUCAGAUUCAUGCACACUAGAUCCUCUUCAUUUCAAAGUUAUUUGGUUUAGUCUUUUUAGCAGUUUGUAUCCUGAGCUUUGAGGCCAAGAUUUUUUAGUCUCCAAGCUCAAGGCAUCCUUUCCCUGUUAAAAGAUCUUCUUGUAAAAUGUCAAAUAAAGAAGCUAAAGCACACUCAUUGUUGUUCAUGUUCAUGUUUUUAUUCGUACUAAAUUUUAGCUUGUCUCAGGUUGAUGAUCUCGAGCUCCUCUUAUCCUUCAAAUCCUCAAUCAAUGAUCCGUCUGGCUUCCUCUCCAACUGGAAUUCCUCUACCCCAUUGUGCAUGUGGCAUGGAAUCACUUGCAAUAAUUUUUCUAGGGUAAAGGUAAUUGAUCUCGUUAAGAAAAAUAUUUCUGGGAUAAUUUCAUCUUCGAUUUUUCAUUUGGUAGAGAUUGAGACUAUCAAUCUUUCAAACAACCAACUCUUAGGUGAAAUUCCCAAAGACUUGGCUUCUUCUGUGUCACUUCUAUAUCUUAAUUUUAGUAACAACCACUUGACCGGUGAAGUUCCAAAAUUUUCAUUUUCAUUGGAAAUAUUGGAUCUCUGGGGUAACUUGCUUUCUGGAAAAAUUCCAUCACAAAUUGGAGCAUGCUCGAAUCUACAAGAACUUGAUCUUGGUGGCAAUAAUUUGGAAGGGAGAAUUCCGAGCUGCAUAUCAAAUAUCAGCAGGUUGCAAAUCUUGACUCUUGCUUGUAACAAAUUGGUUGGCCGAAUUCCACGUGCAUUAACCAAAAUGAAGAGCUUGAAGUGGAUAUCCUUUGGCUAUAACAACUUUUCUGGCGAAAUUCCACAAGAACUUGUUGGUUUAGUUUCUUUGAGUUUUCUUGAUCUUGCCUACAACAAUCUUAGUGGACAAAUUCCAUCUUCACUCGGAAACCUCACCAAUCUACAACACCUCUUGCUCUUCGGUAACAAGCUUACAGGUUUGCUUCCUCGAUCCAUUUUUGGUCUCAAAAAGCUUAUUGAAAUUGAUCUUAGUGAUAAUUAUUUAUUUGGUGAGAUUCCAGAACUCAUAAUUAAGUUACAGAGCUUGGAGAUUCUUUAUCUUUUCUUGAACGACUUUACUGGAAAAAUUCCAAAUGCUCUAGCAUCUUUGCCUCGUCUUCAUGUGAUUAAUCUUUCUUCAAACAGCUUGAUUGGAGAAAUUCCUUCUUUGAUCUGCAAUCUAACUUCCAUCGUAGUUAUUGGCCUAGCUGAUAACAACUUAAGUGGAAUAAUUCCACCAUGUCCGGGAAACAUCAGCAAAAGUCUUACAGUCUUAGAUUUGUGGAAGAAUAGUGUUCAUGGACCCAUCCUCGAAACAUUCGGUCAGGACUGUGGGUUGAGAAACCUCAACUUCCAUGGCAAUAAAUUGGAAGGGUCCCUACCACGAUCCUUGGCCAAUUGUAGAAACCUAGAAUUGGUGGACAUUGGUAACAACAAGUUAAAUGGCAGUUUCCCCUAUUGGCUGUAUACUCUGCCAGAAUUACAAGUUCUUGGUUUACGGUCAAACAAAUUGCGUGGUGUCUUACACAGUUCCAAGACCAGCCAUCCCUUUCCCAAGUUACGGAUUCUUGACCUUGCUAACAAUGAAUUCACUGGUCCUUUGCCCAAAGGCAUAAUAAAAAACAUGAAAGCCAUGAUUAAUCUCAAAGAACAACAAAGUUCUUCUCAAUAUAUGCGUGGAAUAUAUUAUCCUUAUUAUUUCAAUUUAACGGUGAAAGGAUUUUACAUUAAACUUUAUGAAACCACAACAACAUUCGCAAGCAUUGAUCUCUCAAAUAAUAACUUUCAUGGAGAGAUUCCAAGUGUUAUUGGAAAGCUGAGUUCACUUAGAGGGCUCAAUCUUUCGCAUAACAGCCUUAGUGGUCAUAUCCCUACAUCAAUGGGAAAUUUGACUAGUCUCGAAUGGUUAGACCUCUCUUCAAACAUGCUCACUGGGCAAAUUCCUAGCAAGUUGAUAGACAUGACAUUUCUUACCUUCUUAAAUCUUUCAAAUAACCAACUCACAGGACCAAUUCCUCAAGGCAAACAGUUCAAUACAUUUGAAAAUGGCUCAUACGAAGGAAACUUGGCACUAUGUGGCUUUCCAUUGUUGAAAGCUUGCAACAAUGAUGGAAGAAAACAAUCUCCAUCAUUCUUGAAAGAGGCAGAUGACUCAGAGACCAAGAUCAAUUUCGGCUGGAAAGUUGUGUUGAUAGGCUAUGGAUGCGGACUAAUAUUUGGAGUUGUUGUGGGAUAUGUUACAUUCAAAAAUGGUGAACCAAAAUGGUUUGUGACAUUGUAUCACGUCAAAUAUCAUGGAAAGGGAAGAAGAUGACUUCCGAAGUUAUUGCAACAUGUGUAUCUCUGUGUUCAGUUCCAAUUGUUUGUUAUGGACAUGUCUUUGUAUUUCGCUAUAAGUAUUUGUAUUUAGCUAUAAGCAUUAGUAAUUGCUGUCAUAAAAUAGCCAUGUGUUUCAUCAGCAAACACAUGGCAGUGAAGUGUGGUUGCUGCUUUUGCUUAAUGCAUGACUUCUCUUGCAAUUUGCUUUUGAAUGUAUUGAUUAAUCCAGGAAUUUAUUUAGAAAACUCUAUACAUAGUAAGGAAGUCAAAUUAUCAUAGUACCGUGGAAUGAUAACACAUGCAUGCUCAAACUCCGAACUAUAGAAAAUCCUAAAGAGAAAGAAUCUGAGAUCCUUAUCUAGAAAGAAUCAAUACUAUGAUAUAGCAAUUUAGACAAAGAUCAGAAUCAUCAUUCAUCCAUAGAUCUGCGAGGAUUUUUUUCUAUGAUAAAGCGUUCUUAAAGUCAAGUAUAGAGAGACAAUUUGCCUGCAGAUAUCCAAAAGGGAAAAUUAGACAGAAUUUGCAGCAAAACUUUUGGCAAAAUGAAUUCACUAGCGUAAUCUAUGGUCUUUCCGAUCUUGGGAUAAAAAAAUAAUUUUGUCAUCCACCUUUUGAAAUUUCUGGCAAAUGCUGUGGUGUAAAAACAUUAGAAUGUGGAACAUGAACCAAACCUGAGGCAAUUUAGAAUAAAUUAAAACACAAAAAGCAAGUCAUUAAAUCCUGUUAUCAUGUUUAUGAAUACUUAAAUCAACCAUUAUGCUUUUCCACUAAAUAAGACUCCAUUUGCCUUUGCAGGAAAGUGCCUAAUCUUCUUCUUUUUACCUUCAUCUCUCCUUGUGCAUUUCUUAAAUCUUCUAUUUUUUAUGAGAUGACAGAGAUGUGAGAUUAAUUAUGUGGGAUAAAAAAAGAUUAUAGCAAUCUAAGUGCAAGUAAGAAGACUUAACGUAUUGAAUCAGGGUCAAAAAGGCUAUCUAAGUGCAACCUGCAAUGCUCCAAACCCGAUCACCCCACUUAUGGGCGAAUCUGCUGUAUAUCAAGAUCUGUUUCAAUUCAUUACUUUUAAUUAUUUAUUUAUAUAUCCUUCAUCAGGUGUUGGAAAUUAACUGGAAACUUCUACAAGUUAAUAAUUAUCGAUUAAUACCAAACAUUGAAUUUCAUUUUGAUCAAAGGUAUAUAAUAUUAACCCUAAAAUUCAAUUUCGUGUUAUUAAGAUACAAGUGAAGCAAUUAAGUUUCAUUUAGUUUAUAUUUUUACUGUUUAUCUUUUAUCUUUUAUUCAUUUUGUAUCAAAAACAUGCAAUUCGUUUUUCACGCGUUAUCAUGGGUUUCUCAAUGUAAUCUCUUCUCUAUAAAACAAACGUUCAAGAGUCUCCACCACCAUCUCUAUACACUCAAAAUCUGCCUCUUCCCACCCUAAUAUCAUCAUCUCAAUAGUUCAGAAAACUCUUUGCUCUAAUUUAAAUCCAUGUUCAGAUUCAUGCACACGGGAUCCUCUUCAUUUCAAAGUUUUUUGGUUUAGUCUUUCAAGCAGUUUGGUAUCUUGAGCUCUGAGGCCAAGAUUAUUGGUCUUGGAUUAAUAGUAUUUAGUCUGCAAGCUCAAGGCAUCCUUUACCUGUUCAAAAAUCUUCUUAUAAAAUGUUAAAUAAAAGAGCUAAAGCACACUUGUUGUUGUUCAUGUUCAUGUUUUUACUAAUACUAAAUUUUAGCUUGUCUCAGGGUGAUGAACUCAAGCUGCUCUUAUCCUUCAAAUCAUCAAUCAAUGAUCCCUCUAGUUUCCUCUCCAACUGGAAUUCCUCUACCCCAUUGUGCCUAUGGCAUGGAAUCAGUUGCAACAAUUUUUCUAGGGUAAAGGUAAUUGAACUCAUUGAAAAAAAUAUUUCUGGGAUAAUUUCAUCUUCAAUCUUUCAUUUGCCAGAGAUUGAAAGUAUCAAUCUUUCAACUAAUCGAUUCUCUGGAGAAAUUCCCAGUGACUUGGUUUUUUCUGUGUUUCUUCGAUAUCUUAAUCUUAGUAACAAUCAUUUGACGGGUGGAGUUCCAAACUGUUCAAUAUCAUUAGAAAUUUUGGAUAUCGGAAAUAACUUGUUUUCAGGUAACAUUCCACCUCAAAUUGGAGUAUGCUCAAAUCUAAAAGAACUUCAUCUUGAAGGCAAUAACUUGGUGGGGAGAAUUCCAAGCUCCAUAUCAAAUAUCAGCAGUUUGCAAAUCUUAACUCUUGCUUGUAACGAAUUGAUUGGCCAAAUUCCACAUGCAUUAAGCAAAAUGAAGAGCUUGAAGUGGAUUUACUUUGGGCAUAACAAUCUUUCCGGUGCAAUUCCAAGAGAACUUUUUAAUUUAGUUUCUUUGAAUCAUCUUGAUCUUGUCGACAACAAUCUCAGUGGACAAAUUCCAUCCUCACUUGGAAACCUCACCAAUCUUCAAUAUCUCUUCCUCUACGAAAACAAGCUUACAGGUUUGCUUCCUCGAUCCAUUUUUGGCCUCAAAAAGCUUGUUGAACUUGAUCUUAGUUAUAAUCAUUUAUCGGGUGAGAUUCCAGAACUCAUAAUUGAGUUGAAGAGUUUGGAGAUUCUUCAUCUUUCCUCCAACAACUUAUUGGUAAAAUUCCAAAUGCUCUAGCAUUUUUGCCUUGUCUUCAACUUGUUCGUCUUUCACUAAAUAGCUUGACUGGAGAGAUUCCUUCUUUGAUCUGUAAGAUAAGUUCCAUCGAAGUUCUAAACUUAGCUGAUAACAACUUAAGUGGAACCAUUUCACCAUGUCUGGGAAACUUUAGCAACCGUCUUUCGAUCUUAGAUUUACAGAGCAAUAGUUUUCAUGGAACCAUCCUUGAAACUUUUCGUGAGGACUGCGGAUUGAGGAAUAUCAACUUCAAUGGAAACAAAUUGGAAGGGUCUUUACCACGAUCCUUGGCCAAUUGUAAAAACUUGGAAAUGAUGGAUGUUGGUGACAACAAGAUAAAUGGUACAUUCCCUUAUUGGCUGUAUACUCUGCCAGAAUUACAAGUUCUUGUUUUACGGUCAAACAAAUUACACGGUGUCUUACAAAGUUCCAAGAUCAUCCAUCCCUUUCCCAAGUUACGAAUUCUUGACCUUUCUAACAAUGACUUCACUGGUCCUUUGCCCAAAGGUAUAAUAAAGAACUUGAAGGCCAUGAUGAAUCUCAGUGAACAGCAAAGUUCUUUACAAUAUAUGCAAGGAAGAUACUAUUAUUAUCAUGUCAACUUGACAGUGAAAGGAUUUUACAGUGAAUUUCCUGAAAUCUCAAAAACAUUGACAAGCAUUGAUCUGUCAAAUAAUAACUUUCAUGGGGAGAUUCCAAGUGUUAUUGGAAAGCUCCGUUCACUUAGAGGUCUCAAUCUUUCUCAUAACAGCCUUGGCAGUCAAAUCCCUACAUCAAUGGGAAAUUUGACCAGUUUGGAAUGGUUAGACCUCUCCUCAAACAAGCUCACUGGGCAAAUUCCUAAUGAAUUGACAGAUAUGACAUUUCUUGCCUUCUUGAAUGUUUCACAUAACCGACUCACCGGACCAAUUCCUCAAGGCAAACAGUUCUCUACACUUGAAAAUGGCUCAUAUGAAGGAAACUUGGCACUAUGCGGCUUUCCAUUGUCAAAGGCUUGCAACAACGAUGGCAGAAAACAAUCAUCUCCAUCAUUCUUGAAAGAGGCAGAUGACUCAGAGUCCAAGAUCAGUUUUGGCUGGAAAAUUGUGUUGAUGGGCUACGGAUGCGGACUGAUAUUUGGAGCCGUCAUUGGAUAUGUUACGUUCAGGAAUGGUGAACCAAAAUGGUUUGUGACAUUGUUUCGAGUGAAAUAUCAUUGAAAGGGAAGAAGAUGCUCACGGAACUAGUCAAUGUAGAUGACUUUGGAAGUUUAUUGUAACAUGUGUUUCUCUGAGCUCAGUUCUAGUUGUUUUCUAUCCAUGGUCUAGAAUUCAUGGACAGGUCUUUGUGUUUUGUUGUAAGUAUUAAUAAUUGAUGUAAAAAAUUAGCCAUGUGUUUCAUCGGCAAAUACAUGGCAGUGAAGUGUGGUUGCUGCUUUUGCUUAAUGCAUGACUUCUCUUGCAAUUUGCUAAUUUUGAAUGUAUUGAUUAAUCCAGGAAUUUAUUUAGAAAACUGUUUGCAUAUUAAGGAAGGCAUAUUAUAAUAGUACUGUGGAAUAAUAACACAUACAUGCUCCUGCUCCCAACUACAGAAAAUCCUGAAAACAAAGAAUCUGAGAACUUUUUUUUUUUUUUUAAAGCAAGAAUCUGAGAACCUUAGCUAGAAAGAAUCAGUAAUAUGAUUCAGCAAUCAAGACGAGAUCAGUAUUAUCAUUCAUCCAUUGUCUGCUGGGACUUUUUUCUAUGAUUAAGCGUCCUGAUGGUUAAUACAUUAUAGAUAUAGGAAGCAAAAGAACGAAUUUGUAAAAUAAAUCUGUCAUCAACUUCCUCGGUGCUAAGUUUUAAGUGCAAACAAUCAUCCACCUUUUGAAAUCUCUGGCAAAUGCUGUGAUAUAUAGCCAUUAGAACGUGGAAUAUGAACAAAAAUGGACCUGAGGCAAUUUAGAAUAAAGUCAAUUUAUAAAUACUUAAAUCCCCACUAAGUGCUGGCAAAUCCUUUUCCACUAAGUGCUCGCGUUACACCAAACACGACUCCAUUUGUAUUCGGCAAGUGCCUAAUCCCCUACUUUUACCUACUUCUAUCCUUUGUGCAUUUCUUAAAUCUUCUACUUUUUAUGAGAUGACAGAGAUGUGAGAUUAAUGUGGGUUAAAACAAGAUCAUAGCAAUCUAAGUGGAAGAGUCUCCACCACCAUUAUCUCUCCAUUUUUUCACGUGUUAUCAUGAGUUUCUUAAUCUUUUCCCUAUAAAACGUUCAAAAGUCUCCACCAUCAUCUCUAUACACUCAAAACCAGCCUUCCCCACCCUAAUUUCAUCACCUCAAUAGUUCCUAAAACUCUUUGUUCUAAUUUAAAUCUUCUAAGAGCUAGGAUGCAUAACAGAUUCAUGCACACUUGAUCCUCUUCAUUUCAAAGUUAGUUUGAUUGAGUCUUUUGAGCAGUUUGUUGUCCUGAGCUUUGAGGCCAAGAUUAUUUAUUGGUCUUGGAUUAAUUAUUUAUUAGUCUCCAAGCUCAAGGAAUCCUUCACCUGUUAAAAGAGCUUCUUGUAAAAUGUUAAAUAAAAGAGCUGAAGCACACUCGUUGUUGUUCAUGUCCUUGUUUUUAUUAGCACUUAAUUUCAGCUUGUCUCAGGGUGACGAAAUCAAGUUGCUAUUAUCCUUCAAAUCUUCAAUCAAUGAUCCGUUUGGCUUCCUCUCCAACUGAAAUACCUCUACCCCAUUGUGCGUGUGGCAUGGAAUCACUUGCAACAAAUUUUCUAGGGUAAAGGUAAUUGAUCUCGUUAAGAAAAAUAUUUAUGGGAUAAUUUCAUCUUCAAUCUUUUAUUUUCCAGAGAUUGAGACUAUCAAUCUUUCAAACAACCAACUUUCUGGUAAAAUUCCUAAUGACUUGGUUUCUUCUAUGUCACUUCGAUAUCUCAAUCUUAGUAACAACCAUUUGACUGGCGCAGUUCCAAACUGUUCAAUUUCACUAGAAAUAUUGGAUCUCCGAAGUAACCAGUUUUCAGGAAAUAUUCCUCCACAAAUUGGAGCAUGCUCAAAUCUAAGAGAACUUAAUCUUGGUGACAAUAAUUUGGUGGGGAGAAUUCCAAGCUCCAUAACAAAUAUCAGCAGUUUGCAAAUCUUAACUCUUGCUUAUAACGAAUUGAUUGGCCAAAUUCCACACGGAUUAAGCAAAAUGAAGAGCUUGAAGUGGAUUUACUUUGGGCAUAACAACCUUUGUGGCGAAAUUCCACGAGAACUUGUUAAUUUAGUUUCUUUGAAUCAUCUUAAUCUUGUCUACAACAAUCUCAGCAGACAAAUUCCAUCCUCACUUGGAAACCUCACCAAUCUUCAGUACCUCUUCCUCUACGGAAACAAGCUUACAGGUUUGCUUCCUAGAUCCAUUUUUGGCCUCAAAAAACUUGUCGAACUUGAUCUUAGUUAUAAUCGUUUAUCGAGUGAGAUUCCAGAACUCAUAAUUGAGUUGCAGAGUUUGGAGAUUCUUCAUCUUUCCUCCAACAACUUUACUGGCAAAAUUCCAAAUGCUCUUGCAUUUUUGCCUCGUCUUCAACUCAUUCGUCUUUCAUUAAACAGCUUGACUGGAGAAAUUCCAUCUUUGAUCUGCAAUAUAAGUUCCAUCGAAGUUCUAAACUUAGCUCAUAACAACUUAAGUGGAAUCAUUCCACCAUGUCUGGGAAACUUUAGCAACCGUCUUUCAAUCUUAGAUUUACAGAGGAACAGUUUCCAUGGAACUAUUCUUGAAACUUUUCGAGAGGAUUGUGGGUUGAGGAAUCUCAACAUCAAUGGAAAUAAAUUGGAAGGGUCUUUACCACGAUCCUUGGCCAAUUGUAGAAACUUUGAAUUGAUGGAUUUUGGUGAGAACGAGAUAAAUGGUACAUUCCCUUAUUGGCUGGAUACUCUGCCAGAAUUACAAGUUCUUGUUUUACGGUCAAACAAAUUGCAAGGUGUCUUACACAGUCCAAAGACCAUCCAUCCUUUUCCCAAGUUAUGGAUUCUUGACCUUGCUAACAAUGAAUUCAUUGGUCCUUUGCCCAAAGGUAUAAUAAAGAACAUGAAGGCCAUGAUGAAUCUCAGUGAGCAGCAAAGUUCUUUGCAAUAUAUGCAAAGGAGAUGCUAUAAUUAUAAUGUCAACUUGACAGUCAAAGGAUUUUACAUUGAAUUUCCUGAAAUCUCGAAAACAUUCACAAGCAUUGACCUCUCAAAUAAUAAUUUUCAUGGAGAGAUUCCAAGUGUUAUUGGAAAGCUUAGUUCACUUCGAGGUCUCAUCCUUUCUCAUAACAACCUUAGUGGUCAUAUCCCUACAACAAUGGGAAAUUUGCCCAAUCUGGAAAGGUUAGACCUCUCCUCAAACAAGCUCACCGGGCAAAUUCCUGACGAAUUGAAAGAUAUAACAUUUCUUGCCUUCUUAAAUCUUCCACAUAAUCAGCUCAUAGGACCAAUUCCUCAAGGCAAACAGUUCAGUACAUUUGAAAAUGACUCAUACGAAGGAAACUUGGCACUAUGCGGCUUUCCAUUGUCGAAAGCUUGCAACAAUGAUGGGAGAAAACAAUCUCCAUCAUUCGUGAAAGAGGCAGAUGACUCAGAGAUUAAGAUUAGUUUCGGCUGGAAGGUUGUGCUGAUAGGCUACGGAUGCGGACUGAUAUUUGGAGUCAUAGUCAGAUAUGUUACAUUCAGAAAUGGUGAACCAAAAUGGUUUGUGACAUUGUUUGGAGUCAAAUAUCGUCGAAAGGGAAGAAGAUACUCACGGAACUAGUCAUUGCCAAUGACUCUGGAUGUUAUUGCAACAUCUGUUUCUCUGUGCUCAGUUCUAGUUGUUUUCAUGGACAUGUCUUUGUAUUUUGCUAUAAGUAAUUACCGUCAUAAUAAUGGUAAUUAAUUUUAAUGAAUGGCUUAGCCAAAAAAAAAAAUUACCGUCAUAAAAUGGCCAUGUGUUUCAUAAGCAAAUACAAGACAAUAAAGUGUAGUCGCUGCUUUUGCUUAAUGCAUGACUUCUGUUUCAGUUUGUUUUUGAUCAUUUAUUCUUACAUGCAUCCGUACAAAAGAAUCUCAUUCUGUUCUGUGGAAAAAUCAGCUACCAUUGCCUCAUGUGUUAAAAAAUCUUAAGAUUUUCAAAGCAUUAAAUGCUAGAACUAUAGAAAUUCCUAGAGGCAAAGAAUCUGAGAUCCUUAUAUCAGUACUAUGAUUUAGCAAUUAAGACAAGAUCAAUAUUUAAAUGAAAAUUAAUUAAAAGGGAUAAUACUUUGAACAAAUAUUGGCCUCAGAUUUAAUUGAAUGUGCAUUAAUCAUUGUAAGAUGAGGUAGUGGAGAGGAUCCUUUCCCUACAUAUAUAGUCUAUAUAUAAUCAAAGUAUUAAAUGCAUGAAUUAAUUUUAGAAAAAAAAAUUGACAAUCAAACAAAAAGACAGAGAACGAUGUGUGACCAUUAAUUAAUUGUGAUCCAUAUUUAGUAAUUUGGAUGGUUAAUUUCAUUUUCAAGUACUCUUUAUACCGAUACGUUCUUAUGAUUCAAAAUUUUAUUUAUUCUCAACGCAUUGAGUUGACAUGAAAGAGUACGUCCUUAAAAUUUUCUGAAAAAUAAAUUAAGCUCUGGCAAAACUUAUUACAAAAAGGAAUUAAUCUAUUCUAGGAAAGCUAAGAUGUGCCUUAAGCAAUAAUUAAUUUGGACUUGGUAAAACCAAUGUGAAGAAACUCCAAAAGUCUUCAAAGGUAGGCCCUGCCAAAGCCAAGAAUUUCUUACAUGUCAGACAAAAAGCUAUAAAUGCUGAAGAAAAAAACAGAUUGAAUAAUAUUCCACAAGAAUGCUUCGUUUCCUCAGCUAGCCCAAUGAAGUCACACCAAGCAAUUUCGACCUUAGCUAAAUCUAGCCCACUGUUAUUGUUCAUGUUCGCCUUUUUUUUGUUACUACAGUUUAGCCUGUCUCAGGGUGAGGAAGUUGAGCUGCUCUGAUCCUUCAAAUCCUCAAUCAAUGAUCCUCGAUCAAUGACGAAGUUUAGUAAUAUGCAGUUAUAAAACAUCCAUGCAUUUCAUCAGCAGAUCAUAUAACUAAUGAUCAGCUUAGAGAUCCUUUACUCAGAGAGAUGCUAGGAUUUUGUUUUGUGAUUAAGCAUCCUUAAGUCAAGUAUAGGGAGGAAAUUGAAAGAACGAAUUAGUAAAAUAUGUGUGGAUAGGAAUUCUGAUUGUGAUGAAGAGAAACACUUUGCCAGAUACCAAACAGGAAAAUCAGAUAGGGAAUCAGGAAAACUUAUUGCAGAAUCAAUUCACCAGCAUAAAAAAUAAAUUUGUCAUCAACUUCUUCGGACCUAAGAUUCUUUUUUUUUUUUGCUUAGCUAAUCAUAAGAAUUUUAUUAAUAACAUUUAAAGACAGUACAUGGAAGAUCCAAGGGGUCCCAUGGGUAGAGGAGAGUGCCUCCAAAGUCACCUAGAGUGCCAUAUCUUUUUUGGCUUGCAGACCCCUACACAUAAAAAAAGGAUAAGCAUACAUAAGAUCACCACAGAGAAGGACUGCCAUACAUCAUAGCACAAAGACUCAAGCAAAACAGUGCAUACAUAUCACCACCAGGCCGAAAACAUAGAUGCCUUAGCUACACCAGAUCUUGCUAAAUGACCUAAGCUUUAAGUGCAAAUAAUCAUCCACCUUUUGAAAUAUCUGGCAAAUGCUGUGAUAUAAAAACAUUAAAAAGUGGAAUAUGAACAGAGAAUAGGCAAUUUAGAAUUCAAAAAAAAAAAAAAAAAAGCAAGUCAGCAAAUCAGGUUCUUUGCGUGAUUAUCAGGUACAUGAAUACUGAAAAUUUUCAUAUAACAUCAGCGGAGAUGGAGCAAAUCAUGUUGAUUAAGGUGGUGCAAUCAGCAUCAUUGCUGAUAUGACCUAAAGAGCAAGAGGGUGUCACAAGUUUUGGAUUCAGGCCAAACGCAAAAGGUCAGGCAGAGGUUAGUGGGAAAUUUCAAAGUCUUGUGCAAUGAUCUUCUCCAUUAUCCUUUUCCACCAAGUGCUUAAGUUCUAUUUUUACCUUCAUCUCUCCCUGUACAUUUCUUUAAUCUUCUACUUUCAUCUUCAAAUUAUCCUUUCAUUUUUUAUCUAACACCUGAAAAUCUUUUUUUUUUUUGUUUCCUUGCUCAAAUUUGAAUUUUUUUGAUUUCGAUACACCAUAAUUCGGAAACUGUUUCUGUAAACAAUUAAUUCUUUUGACAAACUAGAAACUAAGAUUAUGAAGGUACACAACUUUCAUGACACAGGGUUGGGGAUGACUGGGAUGUGAGAUUAAUGUGGGGAAAAAACGAUUAUAGCCCGUGAUUAAGGGUUCAGGUAAGAAGACCGAGAAGACUUAACCAUAUUAAUUUAUUGAAUCAGGUCCCUAGUAUGGCCAAUAAAGGUACCUAAAAGCAAUCUGCAAUGGAGAAAAAUGGGCAUGUAUGUGCUUUAUCUCAAUGCAAAUGGAAAUCUGUUGCAAUUCAUUACUUUUAACUAUACAUGUAUCCUUCGUCAGGCUUGCAAAUUGACUGGGAAAUUUCAGGCCAUUGGUCAUUUAAAAAUUCGAAAUGAUGAGUGGAGUUAACUGUUGCACGAAUGUGUAACAGGUGAUGUGCAGGAUUUCUCAGCAUGAGAAGUUUUAAAUUCUGAUAAAAGGGAGGUGAGGAGAUUCCAAGGGUGUCACCGAGCUACAAGUUGAUAGUGCACACAGAAUUAAGCCUAAAAAUUAGUUAUAGAUACCAAUUAAUUUACAAAUACAAGUUUAUGAGCUUAAAAAGAUAAACACUUCCACAAGUUAGUAUUGGUUUUAACCAAAUAUAUAUAAUGCUAAACCUAAAAUUGAAUUCGUUUUCAUUAAGAUAUAAGUGAAACAAUUGAGCUUCGUUUAAUUGAUACUCUUGUUACCUACUUUUUUUCUGUUUGUUUUUAAUCUUUUAUUUAACUUCUUUUCUUUUUAAUUCCUAUUAAGUAAAUAAUAAUCAUAUCAACUAAAUGAAGCUAAAAAAAAUUUGCAACAACAUAUUGGGAAAAUAAUAUAAAUAAUAAAAAAAUUCGUUAUUGGGAAGGUUUCCUUAUCAAUAUUUCAUUUGUCUCUGGUGAAAUUCCUGGUGAGAUGGUUUCUUCUGCUUCAAUUCGCUAUCUCAAUCUCAGCAACAACAAUGUCACUGGUUCAAUUCCAAAUUGUUCGGUUUCACUUGAAACAUUAGAUCUUUUAAACAACAUGCUAUCCGGUAGAAUUCCAUCAGAAACGGGAGUCCUGCUUUGAAUUAUUUGGUGGGGAAAUCCCAAGCUCAAUAUCAAAUACCACCGGUCUGCAAUUCUUGUCCCGGCUGGAAACGUAGUAAUUGGCCAAAUUCCACCGGAAAUUGGAUGCUGCUUGAAUCUAAAAACACUUGAUCUUGGUGCCCAUUAUUUGGUGGGGAAAAUUCCAAGCUCUAGAUCAAAUAUCAGCAGCUUCACCAACUAUAGUGUAGAUAGGAAUUCUGACUGUGAUGAAGAGAGACACUUUGCCAGAUACCAAACAGGAAAAUUAGACAGAGGAUUUGCAGAAAAAUUUAUUGCAGAGUGAACUCACCAGCGUAAAGCUUCCAAUUUGUGAAGAUUUUGCUGUAAAUAACUUGUGAAGACUUUGAAUCUAUAUAUGGUCUUUCGAUCUUGGUAUAAAAAAAAAAAAUCUGUCAUCUACUUCUUCUGUCUUAAGCUUUACGUGCAAACAAUCAUCCAACUUUUUUAUGAAAUUUCUGUCAAAUGCUGUGAUAUAAAAACAUUAGAAUAAAUUAAAACACAAGAACAAAUCAGCAAAUCAGGUUCUUUUUGUGGUUCUAAUGUUUAUGAAUACUUAAAUCAUCCGUUACCCUUUACCACUAAAUAAAAGCACUCCAUUUCCUUUUGGAAAGAACCAAAUCUUCUACUUCUUACCAUCAUCACCAUCAUCUCUCCUUGUAAAUUUCUAAACUCUUGCUUGAGACAGGGUUGGAGAUGUGAGAUUAAUCUGCAAAAAAAAAAAAAGGGUUAUAGCCCCUGAGUAAGGGUUUGGGUAGAAGGCCUAGAAGACUUAUCCAUCUUAAUUUAUUGAAUCGGGUCCAUAGUAUGGUCAAUAAAGCUAUCUAAAAGCAACCUGCAAUGUAGAAAAAUGGGGAUGUAGGUCCAAAUUCAACCACCCCAUACUCUUCAUCAGGUGUUCAAAAUUGACUGGCAACUUCUACAAGUCAAUAUCAUGGGUUUCUCAAUGUAAUAUUUUCCCUGAAAAAUCUUCAAUAGUCUCCACCACCAUCUCUAUACACUCAAAAUCUGCUUCUCCGCACCCUAAUCUCAUCACCUCAAUAGUUCAAAAAACUCUUUGUUCUCUUAUAAAUCCGUGUUCGUCUAAAAGCUAGGAUGCAGAUCAGAUUCAUGCACACUCGAUCUUCUUCAUUUCAAAGUUAGUCUGGUUUAGUCUUUUGAGCAGUUUGUUAUCCAGAGCUUUGAGGCCAACAUUAUUGGUCUUGGAUUGAUUAUUUAUUAGUCUCCAAGCUCAAGGCAUCCUUUCCCCGUUAAAAGAUGUUCUUGUAAAAUGUUCAACAAAAGAGCUAAAGCACACUCGCUGUUGUUCAUGUUCAUGUUUUUAUUAGUACUAAAUUUUAGCUUGUCUCAGGGCGAUGAACUCGAGCUGCUCUUAUCCUUCAAAUCUUCAAUCAAUGAUCCGUCUGGCUUCCUCUCCAACUGGAAUUCCUCUAUCCCGUUGUGCAUGUGGCAUGGAAUCACUUGCAACAAUUUUUCGAGGGUAAAGGCAAUUGAGAUCAUUGAAAAAAACAUUUCUGGGUCAAUUUCAUCCUCAAUCUUUCAUUUGUCAGAGAUUGAGACUAUCGAUCUUUCGACUAACAAACUCUCUGGUGAAAUUUCUUGUAACAUCGUUUCUUCUACAUCACUUCGAUAUCUUAAUCUUAGCAAUAACAAUUUGACUGGUGUAGUACCAAUCUGUUCAAUUUCAUUGGAAAUAUUGGAUCUUUGGAAUAACUCCCUUUCAGGAAAAAUUCCACCACAAAUUGGAGUGUGUUGGAAUCUAAAAGAACUUGAUCUUGGUUUCAAUUAUUUGGUAGGGAGAAUUCCAAGCUCCAUAUCGAAUAUCAGCAGUUUGCAAAGAUUGACUCUUGCUGGUAACGAAUUGAUUGGUCAAAUUCCACGUGCAAUAAACAAAAUGAAGAGCUUGAAGUGGAUUUACUUUGGCUAUAACAACCUUUCUGGUGAAAUUCCACAAGAACUUGGUGAUUUCGUUUCUUUGAAUCUUCUUAAUCUUGUCUACAACAAUCUUAGCGGACAAAUUCCAUCAUCACUUGGAAACCUUAGCAAUCUUCAACACCUCUACCUCUACAAAAACAAGCUUACAGGUUCACUUCCUAGAUCCAUUUUUGGCCUCAAAAAGCUUAUUGAACUUGAUCUUAGUCAUAAUCAUUUAUUUGAUGAGAUCCCACAACUCAUAAUUGAGUUGCAAAGCUUGGAGUUUUUCAUCUACUCUGUAAUAACUUCAACUGCUUGAUCUUUUAUCGAAAAGCUUGACUAGAGAAAUUAAUUCCUUCUUUGAUCUGCUGACAUUUAGUCUACUAUAAACUGCUUUCAGGGAAAAUUCCACCACAAAUUGGAGAAUGCUCGAAUUUGGAAAACCUUGAUCUUAGUGACAAUUAUUUGGUGGGGAGAAUUCCAAGCUCCAUAUCAAAUAUCAGCAAUUUGGAACUGUUAGAUCUUUCUGGUAACAGUUUGAUUGGCCAAAUUCCAUGUGCAUUAAGCAAAAUGAAGAGCUUGAAGUGGAUUUACUUUGGUUAUAACAACCUUUCCGGGGAAAUUCCACCAGAACUUGCUGAUUUGGUUUCUUUGAAUCAUCUUUAUCUUGUCUACAACAAUUUCAGUGGACAAAUUCCAUUCUCGCUUGGAAACCUCACUAAUCUUCAAUACCUGUUCCUUUUCGGCAACAAGCUUACAGGUUUGCUUCCUAGAUCCAUUUUUGGCCUUAGAAAGCUUAUUGGACUUGAUCUUAGUGAUAAUUAUUUAUUUGGUGAGAUCCCGGAACUCAUAAUUGAGUUGCAGAGCUUGGAGAUUCUUCAUCUUUUCUACAACGACUUUACUGGUAAACUUCCAAAUGCUCUAGCAUCUUUGCCUCGUCUUCAAGUGAUUGAUCUUGCAUCAAACAGUUUGACUGGAGAAGUUCCUUCUUUGAUCUGCAAUAUAAGUUCCGUCGAAGUCCUUGUCUUAGCUGAUAACAACUUAAGUGGAAUAAUUUCACCAUGUCUAGGAAACUUCAGCAAACGUCUUACAAUCUUAGAUUUGUGGAUGAAUAGUUUUCAUGGAACCAUUCUUGAAACAUUCAACGAGGAUUGUGGGUUGAGGAACAUCAACUUCAAUGGCAAUAAAUUGGAAGGGUCUUUGCCACGAUCCUUGGUGAAUUGUAGAAACCUGGAAAUGAUGGAUGUUGGUGACAACAAGUUGAAUGGUACAUUCCCCUAUUGGUUGGGUAGUCUGCCGGAAUUACAAGUUCUUGUUUUACGGUCAAACAAAUUAGGUGGUGUCUUGCACAGUUCCAAGACCAUCCACCCCUUUCCCAAGUUACGGAUUCUUGACCUUGCUAACAAUGGAUUCACUGGUCCUUUGCCCCAAGGUAUGAUAAAGAACUUGAAGGCCAUGAUGAAUCUCAACGAACAACAAAGUUCUUUACAAUAUAUGAAUGCAAGAUAUUAUAAAUAUGUUGUCAAUUUGACAGUGAAAGGAUUUAGCAUCAUUGCUAAUAUUCCGACAAUAUUCACAAGCAUUGACCUCUCGAAUAAUAACUUUCAUGGAGAGAUUCCAAGUGUAAUCGGAAAGCUUAGAUCACUUAAAGGGCUCAACCUUUCUCAUAACAGCCUUAGUGGUCAUAUCCCCACAUCAAUGGGAUAUUUAUCUAGUCUAGAAUGGUUAGACCUCUCCUCAAACAAGCUCAUUGGGAAAAUCCCUAAUGAAUUGACAGAUAUGACAUUUCUUGCCUUCUUAAAUCUUUCACAUAACCAACUCACAGGACCAAUUCCUCAAGGCAAACAGUUCAGUACAUUUGAAAAUGGCUCAUACGACGGAAACUUGGCACUUUGUGGCUUUCCAUUGUCAAAAGCUUGCAAUGAAGAUGGGAGGGAACGAUCAUCUCCAUCAUUCUCAAAAGAGGCAGAUGACUCAGAGACCAAGAUCAGUUUCGGCUGGAAAAUAGUGUUGAUAGGCUACGGAUGUGGAUUGAUAUUUGGAGUCAUAUUUGGAUAUGUUACAUUCAGAAAUGGUGAACCAAAGUGGUUUAUAACAUUGUAUGGAGUCAAAUAUCAUCGAAAGGGAAGAAGAUGCUCACGGAACUAGUCAAUGCAGAUGACUUUGGAUGUUAUUGCAGCAAGUGUUUCUUUGUGCUCAGUUGCAGUUGUUUUCAUGGACAUGUCUUUGUAUUUUUCUAUAAGUAUUAGUAAUUAAUGUCAUUAAAUAGCCAUGUGUUUCAUCAGCAAAUACAUGACAAUAAAGCGUGGUUGCUGCUUUUGCUUAAUGCAUGACUUCUCUUUCAAUUUACUUUUGAUAAUUUAUUCUUACAUGCAACUGUACAAAAGAAUCUCAUUCUGUUCUGUGGAAAAAUCAGCUCCCAUUGCUUCCUGUGUUAAAAAAUCUUUGAAAAAUUAGCUCUUCAAAAACAUUUAUAUAAAAAAGUGCACAUCAUUGAAGCAGAUUAAGGUUUCUUUGGUUAUGGUGUUCUUCUGUAAGACUUUCGAUGUCCCCUAGUAAAGUUUCCAAGCUGGAAAUGUCUAGUUUAUGUUGCCACCUCUUGUCUGCAAUACCCUUUCAAAUUUCAGUUUAAAACAAAAGAGUUAUGCGUUGGAUAAUGAAAAUAAGCUUCAGCUUUGACAGUCACUGAGUUGUAUAACCAUACAUCUUAGAAAUUACAGAUAAAUCUAUGGCUAAUGUUUUUAAUGAUUUUAAAUUGAGUAGGAAGAUAAAUGAAACUUUAAUAAUUUGAACAAUUAUUUGAAUGCGUAUAAUACCUUGAGAUGAUCAAAGUAUUAAAUGCCAGAACUAUAGAAAUUUCUAGAGAGAAAGAAUCUGAGAUCCUUAUAUCAGUACUAUGGUUUAGCAAUUAAGACAAUAUCAAUAUUUAAAUGAUAAAUAAUUAAAAAAAGAUAAUAAUGUGAAUAAAUAUUGGCCUUAGAUUUAAUUGAAUGUGCAUCAAUCAUUGUAAGAUGAGGUAGUGGAAAGAAUCCUUUCCCUACAUAUACAGUCUAUAUAUAUUCAAACUAUUAAAUACAUGAAUUAACUUUGGAAAAAAAUUGGCAAUCAAACAAAAAGAUAGAAAAAGAUGUGUGACUAUUAACUAAUUGUGAUCCAUAUUUAGUAAUUUGGGUUGUUAAUUUCAAUUUCAAGUACUUUUUAUGCUGAUACGUUUUUAUGAUUCAAAAUUUCAUUUAUUCUCAAUGAAAGAGUACAUCCUUAAAAUUUUUCGGAAGAGAAACUAAGCUACUGCAAAACUUAUUACAAAAAGGAAUUAAUCUAUUCUAGGAAAGCUAAGAUGUGCUUUAAGCAAUAAUUAAUUUGGAUUUGGUAAAACCAAUGUGAAGAAACUCCAAAAGUCUUCAAAGGUAGGCCCUGUCAAAGCCAAGAAUUUCUUACAUGUCAGAAAAAAAGCAAUAAAUGCUGAAGAAAAAAACAGAUUGAAUAAUAUUCCACUAGGAUGCUUCGUUUCCUCAGCUAGCCCAAUGAAGUCACACCAAGCAAUUUCGACCUUAGCCAAGUCUAGCCCACUGAAUAAUAUUGUUCAUGUUCGCAUUAUUUUUGUUACUACAGUGUAGCCUGUCUCAGGGUGACGGAGUGAGCUGCUCUUAUCCUUCAAAUCCUCAAUCAAUGAUCCUCGAUCAAUGACAAAGUUUAGUAAUAUGCAGUUAUAAAAUAUCCAUGUAUUUCAUCAGCAGAUCAUAUAACUAAUGAUCAGCUUAGAAAUCCUUUACUCAGAGAGAUGCUAGGAUUUUGUUUUGUGAUUAAGCAUCCUUAAGUCAAGUAUAGGGAGGAAAUUAAAAGAACGAAUUAGUAAAAUAUAGUGUGGAUAGGAAUUCUGAUUGUGAUAAAGAGGGACACUUUGCCAGAUACCAAACAGGAAAAUCAGAUAGGGAAUCAGGAAAACUUAUUGCAGAAUCAAUUCACCAGCAUAAAAAAUAAAUUUGUCAUCAACUUCUUCGGACCUAAGCUUGUUUUGUUUUUUUUUUUGCUUACCUAAUCAUAAGAAUUUUAUUAAUAGCAUUUAAAGACAGUACAUGGAAGAUCCAUGGGGUCCCAUGGGUAGAGGACAGUGCCAUAUCGUUUUUUAGCUUACAGACCACUACACAUAAAAAAAGGAUAAGCAUACAUAGGAUCACCACUGAGAAAGACUACCAUACAUCAUAGCACAAAGACUCAAGCAAAAUAGUAUAUACAUAUCACCAAUAGGCCGAGAACAUAAAUACCUUAUCUGCACCAGAUUUUGCUUUAAGUGCGAACAAUCAUCCACCUUUUGAAAUAUCUGGCAAAUGCUGUGAUAUAAAAACAUUAAAAAGUGGAAUAUGAACAGAAAAUAGGCAAUUUAGAAUUAAAAAAAAAAACAAAAGCAAGUCAGCAAAUCAUGUUCUUUGCAUGAUUCUCAGGUACAUGAAUACUAUAGAGUGGAUAAGAGUUCUGAUUGUGAUGAAGAGAUACGCUUUCCCAGAUACCAAACAGGAAAAGUAGACAGAAUUUGCAGGAAAACUUAUUGCAGAGUGAACUCACCGGCAUAAAGCUUCCAAUUUGUGAAGAUUUUGCUGUAAAUAACUUGUGAAGACAUUGAAUCUAUGGUCUUUCCAUCUUGGUAUCAAAAAAAAUAAACCUGUCGUCAACUUCUUCGGUCUGAAGCUAUACGUACAAACAAUCAUCCACCUUUUAUGAAAUUUCUGGCAAAUGCUGUGAUAUAAAAAUAUUAGAAUAAAUUAAAUCACAAAAACAAGUAAAUAAAUCAGGUCUACACCUAAACAUUUGACUCAUUGAUUACUGCAUGAUCCCUAUCUUAAAAACGGAGUUCAAUCUUCCUUCUCCCCAUUAUAAAAAAAAAUCAGUAAAUCACGUUCUUUUUGUGGUUCUAAUGUUUAUGAAUUCUUAAAUCAUCGUUAUCCUUUACCACGAAAUAAGAGUACUCCAUUCGCUUUUGGAAAGUGCCAAAUCUUCUACUUUUUACCGUCAUCUCUCCUUGUAAAUUUCUAAAUUCUUCUAUUUGAGACAGGGUUGGAGAUGACAAAGAUGUGAGAUGAAUGUGGAAAAAAAAAGGAUUAGAGCCCGUGAUUAAGGGUUUUGGUAAGAAGACCAAGAAGACUUAUCCAUAUCAAUUUAUUCAAUCAGGUCCAUGGUAUGGUCAAUAAAGCUAUCUAAAAGCAACCUGCAAUGGAGAAAAAUGAGGAUGUAGGUCCAAAUUCAACCACCCCGUAUCCUUCAUUAGAUGUUCAAAAUUGACUGGCAACUUCUACAAGUCAAUACCAUGGGUUUCUCAAUGUAAUCUUUUCCCUAUAAAACCUUCAAUAGUCUCCACCACCAUCUCUAUACGCUCAAAUUCUGCCUCUCCCCACCCUAAGGUCAUCACCCCAAUAGUUCAAAAAACUCUUUGUUCUCUUAUAUAAAAGCAUUAAAAAGUGGAAUAUGAAUAGGAAAAGGACUUUAGGCAAUUAAGAAUUAGUAAAAACAAAAAAGCAAGUCAGUAAAUCAGCUUAAUGAUCAAAGUUGAAACUCUUUAGGUAGCGUUUAGUAUGAGACAUUCCAUGCAAUGUGUCUAAUUAAAUUACAUUGCAGUAUUUGUUUUAUAACAAACCACUGCAAUAUAAGAUUACAAUACAAUCACAUUACAACCAAUAGAUAUAAUGUGAUUGCAAUCCAAAACCAAUGCAAUUAAAUUGCAUUGCGCUCUGCAAAUGUUAUUAAAGAUAUUUUUACUCUUCAAUUUUGUUGUUUUGUUAAAAACAUUUUGCAAUGUUAUAAUUUGUUUUUAUAUAUACAGAUUUUGAAUGAUGUCUUUUUAUUAUUCUUAGUAGUUAUGGUGACUGUUAAUAAAAUUUAUAUUCUUUUAAAAGAAAAAGAAAUUAAAAUAUAAUAUAUAAUAUAAAAAUUAUAUUAAGAAAUGAAAAUAAAAUAUAUGAUAUUAAAAAUAUAUAUAAGAGAUGAUAUUAUAUAAAAAUUAACAAUAAAGAAUACAAGUAUAUUAAAUUUGUAUUUUAAUAAAUAAGGGUAAUUUUGAAAAUUGAUAUUAUAUUCAUAACAAAUUACUUGUAAACCAAACGCUGCAACGUUAUCUUCUCUGCAUUUUGAUCAUUAUUUUACUUAUAUACCAAACACUGUAAUAUUAUCUUCCUUAUAAUUAUAUUACUUACAAUCACAUUACCUAUAAUCACAUUGCAUUAUAAAGUACCAAACACCGCCUUAAAAUAGAGCUGAUAGCUUUUUCAAUCAGCAGCAUUGCUGAUAUGAUCUAGUGCGAAACUUUAAAGUCUUGUGCAAUUGUCAUGUCUAUUAUCCUUUUUUAUUACCAGUAAGAUUCCAUUUGCUUUUUGGAAAGUGCCAAAUCUCCUACUUUCACCUUCAAAAUCUGCUUUCGUUUUUUAUCCAACACCUCGAAUUUCCCAAUCAAUUUCGAACGCCAGAUGAAGUAUACAUAGUCAAAAGUAAAGCAUUGGCAUUGACAUAAAGCACAAAAGUGGGGUGAUUGAAUUUGGACCUAUACCGAUUGCAAGUUGCUUUAGAUAGCUAUAUUUUCCACAAGAAUAUCACCUCCCAACCCUGCUUCAUAAAACUUGUGUAACUCAUUAUCUUAUUUUCUAAGUUAUCUAAAGGAUAAAAUGUUUAAAGUAACAAUUCCCAGAGUAUAACGUAUCAAAUUUAUUAAUCUUAAAAUUAAAUAUUUUAUUCUUGACGUAAUGUUUUCUCUAUAAAACGUUCAAGAGCCUCCACCACCAUCUCUAUAAACUCAAAAAUCUGCCUCUCCCAACCCUAAUAUAUAUCAUCACCUCAAUAGUUCAAAAAACUCUUUGUUCUAACUUAAAUCCAUGUUCUUCUAAGAGCUAGGAUGCAUAUCAGAUUCAUGCCACUCGAUCCCUUCAUUUCAAUGUUUUUUGGUUAAGUGUUUUAAGCAGUUUGGUAUCCUGAGCUUUGAGGCCAAGAUUGUUGGUCUUGGAUUAAUUGCUUUUAGUUUCGAAACUCAAGGCAUCCUUUUCCUGAUAAAAAAAUUUCUUGUAAAAUGUUUAGUAAAAGAGCUAAAGCACAAUCAUUGUUGUUCAUGUUCAUGUUUUUAUUUGUACUACAUUUUAGCUUGUCUAAGGUUGAUGAACUCGAGCUGCUCUUAUCCUUCAAAUCUUCAAUCAAUGAUCCUUCUUGCUUCCUCUCCAACUGGAAUUCCUCCACCCCAUUGUGCAUGUGGCAUGGAAUCACUUGCAACAAUUUUUCUAAGGUAAAGGUAAUUGAGCUCAUUGAGAAAAACAUUUAUGGGAUAAUUUCAUCCUUAAUCUUUCAUUUACAAAGAUUGAGACUAUCGAUCUUUCAACCAACAAAUUCUCUAGUGAAAUUCUUGGUAAGAUGGUUUUUUUUGUGUUACUUCGAUACCUUAAUCUUAAUAACAACAAUUUGACUGGUGCAAUUCCAAACUGUUCAAUUUCAUUGGAAAUAUUGGAUUUUUCGGAUAAUAGCCUUUCAGGGAAAAUUCCACCACAAAUUGGAGUAGUAUGUUCAAAUUUAAAAGAACUUAAUCUUGGUGGCAAUUAUUUGGUAGGGAGAAUUCCAAGCUCCAUAUCAAACAUCAGCAGUUUGCAAGCCUUGACUCUUGCUAGUAACGAAUUGAUUGGCCACAUUCCUCAUGAAUUAAGCAAACUGAAAAGCAUGAAGUGGAUUUACUUUGGCUAUAACAAACUUUCUGGUGAAAUUCCACAAGAACUUGUUGAUUUAGUUUCUUUGAAUCAUCUUAAUCUUUUCUCCAACGACUUUACGAGUAAAAUUCCAAAUGCUCUAGCAUCUUUGCCUCAUCUUCAAGUGAUUGCUAUUUACUCAAACAACUUGAUUGGAGAAAUUUCUUCUUUGAUCUGCAAUAUAAGUUCCAUUGAAUUUCUUGAUCUAUGUGAUAACAACUUAAGUGGAACCAUUCCACCAUGUCUGGGAAACUUCAGCAAAGGUUUUUCAAUCUUAGAUUUGCAGAUGAAUAGUUUUCAUGGAACUAUCCCUGAAACUUUUGGUGAGGACUGUGGGUUGAGGAAUCUCAACUUCAAUGGCAAUAAAUUGGAGGGGUCUUUACCACGAUCCUUGUUCAAUUGUAGAAACCUGCAACUGAUGGACAUGGGUAACAACAAGUUAAGUGGUACAUUCCCUUAUUGGCUGGAUCCUCUGCCAAAUUUACAAGUUCUUGUUUUACGAUCAAACAAAUUGUGUGGUGUCUUACAAAGUUCCAAGACCACCCAUCCCUUUCCAAAGUUACAGAUUCUUGAUCUUGCUAACAAUGAAUUCACCGGUCCUUUGCCCAAAGGUAUAAUAAAAAACCUGAAGGCCAUGAUGAAUCCCAACCAACAACAAAGUUCUUUGCAAUAUAUGAGCAGAAGAUUUUAGUUUUAUUAUGUAAAUUUGACAGUGAAAGGAUCUUACAUUAAACUUCGUAUCUUGCCAAUAUUCACAAGCAUUGACCUCUCAAACAAUCAUUUUCAUGGAGAGAAACCAUCAAUAUUCAACAAUUCCAAAUAUUAUUGGAAAGUUUAGUUCACUUAAAGGGCUCAACCUUUCUCAUAAUAGUCUUAGUGGUCAUAUCCCAAUGUCAAUGGGAAAUUUGACCAGUCUCGAAUGGUUAGACCUCUCUUCAAACAAGCUCACUGGUCAAAUUCCUGACCAAUUGAAAGAUAUGACAUUUCUUGUCAUCUUAAAUCGUUCACAUAACCAACUCACAGGACCAAUUCCUCAAGGCAAACAAUUCAAUACAUUUGAAAAUGGCUCAUACGAAGAAAACUUGGCACUAUGUGGUUUUCCAUUGUCAAAGUCUUGCAACAACAAUAGGAGAAAACAAUCAUCUCCAUCAUUCUUGAAAGAGGCAGAUGACUCAGAAACCGAGAUCAGUUUUGGCUGGAAAGUUGUGUUGAUAGGUUACGGUUGCGGACUGAUAUUUGGGGUCGUUAUCGGAUAUGUUACAUUCAAAAAUGGUGAACCAAAAUGGUUUGUGACAUUGUAUGGAGUCAAAUAUCAUCCAAAGGGGAGAAGAUGUUCACGGAACUAGUCCUUGCAGAUGACUUUGGAAGUUAUUGCAACAUGUGUUAUCUGUGCUCAGUUCCAGUUGUUUUCAUGGACAUGUCUCUGUAUUUUGCUGUAAGUAUUAGUAAUUGCUAUGAUAAAAUAGCCAUGUGUUUCAUCAGCAAAUACAUGGCAGUCAAGUGCGGUUGCUACUUUUGCUUAACGCAUGACUUCUCUUGCAAUUUGCUUUUGAUCAUUUAUUUUUACAUGCAUCUGUAUUAAAGAAUCUCAUUUUUGUUUAUGUGGAAAAAAACAGCUAAANNNNNNNNNNNNNNNNNNNNNNNNNNNNNNNNNNNNNNNNNNNNNNNNNNNNNNNNNNNNNNNNNNNNNNNNNNNNNNNNNNNNNNNNNNNNNNNNNNNNAUAUAUAAUUAAGCAUCCUUAAAGUCAAGUAUAGGGAGCAAAAGAACAAAUGUCCAUAAUAUAGUGUAAUUUCCUAAGUCAACUUACUGGGACCUAAGCUUUACGUGAAAAGAAUCAUCUACCUUUCGAAAUUUCUUCCAAAUGCUGUGAUAUAAACACAUUAGAAUGUAGAAUAUGAACAGAAAAAGGACUUGAGGCAAUUUAGAAUUAAUAAAAACACAAAAGCAAGUCAGUAAAUCAGGUUCUUUGCGUGAUUCUCAGGUUUAUGAAUACUUAAAUCAACUUAUGCGGUGUCACUGUUUUCUAUCCUCUUAAAUUCAAGGGAUCGUGAGUCUGGAGACAGAGCUCAAAGUAUUUUCUUUUGCUUUUGCUUAAUGCAUGACUUUCUCUUGCAAUUUUCUUUUAAUGAUUUAUUCUUACAUGCAUCUGUACAAAAAAAUCUCACUCUUUUCUGUGGAAAAAACAGCUACCAUUUGCCUCAAUGCUCAAAAAGAAAAAAAUCUUUGAAACAUACACUACUCUUCAAAAACAUUUAUAUAUAAUCAUUGAAGCAGAUUAUGGUUUCUCUUGGGCUAUUCAUGUUCAUUGAAACAGUUUAUGUCGCCACCUCUUGUCUCCAAUACCCUUUCAAGAGUUUUGAGAUGGAUAAUAAAAAUAAGCGUCAGCUUUGACAAUCAUUGAGUUCAAAUCAUACAUCUUAGAAACAGAUACUUGUUUACAGAAAAUCUAUGGCUAAUAUUUUUUAUGAUUUUGAAUUGAGUAUGAAGAUAAAUGAAAAUUCAUUAAAAAUUAAUAAUUUAAACAGUUAUUUGAAUGUGAAUUAAUUACCUUAAGAUGAAGUAGUGGAGACGAUCCUUUCCCUACAUAUAUAGUCUACAUGGAUGAUCAAAGCAUUAAUUGUCAAAACUAAUUUUCGAGAAAAAAUGACAAUCAAACAUAAAGAUAGAGAAAGAUGCAUGACCAUUUAUUAAUUGUGAUCCAUAUUAGUAAUUUCAGUUGUUGUCGUUAAUUUUACUUUAAAGAAUUCUUUGUGCUAGAACAUUUCUACCAUUCAAAAAUUUUAUUUAUUCUUUUAAAUAUAUCAGCUCGAUGUGGGAGAAUGUGUUCUUAGAAUCUCUCAAUAAUGGAAUUAAAGCUCAAAGAUAUUCCCAAACGUAUUAUAAAAGAAAAAAAAUUCAUAAACGCCAACAUGUGCUCGAGCAAAAUUAAUUUGGACUUGGUAAAACAAAUUCCAAAAGUCCUCAAAAGUAGUCCCUAUGAAUGCCAUUAAAUGUCAAACGAAAGUUAUAAAUGCUGAAGAGAAACAGAUUGAAUAAUAUUCCACUAGGAGGUCACACCAAGCAAUUUCAACCAUUCAUGUCUUUUUCUCCUCCCUCUGGAAUCAAUAACCAUUCAUAUCUUUUUCUCCUUUUCCUUGUUUUUGUUCUUGUUAGUUGACUGUUCUAAUCAUCUUUUAGUAAUAAUGAACUCAACAAUUUCAAUUUCAAGUGUUGAAAAUAGAUGGCGUGGGAAGCAAAGACACGUUACUUUGAGGUCAAGUCAAAACAGGUGAAGUGACUCCAGCAGCUUAUGUGACAGAAAACUCUUCAGUAAUUUUUCAGUCUCCAAGCUCAAAGCAUUCCUUACAUAGCUGUUAAAAAGGAAACUGGGACAGUUUCCUCAUCAAUCUUUCAUUUGCUGAAUAUUGAGAUUAUUAAUUCUUCCUCUAAUCAAAACUCUCGUGGAAUUCCUGGUGAGAUGGUUUCUUCCACUUCACUUCGUUAUCUCAAUCUUAGCAACAACAAUUUCACUGGUCCAAUUCCAAAUUGUUCAGUUUCACUCGAAGUAUUAGAUCUUUCAAACAACCUACUGUCUGGGAAAAUUCCAUCAGAGAUUGGAGUUUGCUCGAGCCUAAAAACACCUAAUCUUGCUUUGAAUUAUUUGGUGGGGAAAAUCACAAUCUCUAUAUCAAAUAUCACUGAUCUGCAAUUCUUGUCCCUGGCUGGAAACGUAUUAAUUGGCCAAAUUCCACCAGAAAUUGGACUCUGCUUGAAUCUAAAAACACUUGAUCUUGGUGCCAAUUAUUUGCUGGGAAAAAUUCCAAGCUCUAUAUCAAAUAUCAGCGGUUUGCAAUUCUUGACUCUGGCUUCAAACAACUUAAUUGGCCAAAUCCUCAGUGAAAUAGGCCCAUUGAAGAGCUUGAAGUGGAUUUACAUUGGCAAUAAUAAUUUUUCCGGUAAAAUUCCAGAAGAAUUAGGUGACUUGAUUUCUCUUAUAUAAUUACAUGAAUCAAGCUAGGAUAUAAAAGAUUCAACAACAUAAAGCACAUAAAAAAGCAUCUUAUAUAAUCAGGAGUAAUAAAUAUAUAUAUAUAUAUUGGUAAAAUUUUAAGCAACAAUCAAUAAUACAACGUUACAAUCUAUAUUUGCGAACUACAUGAUAAUUUUUAAAUUUUUAAAGACUAAAAUCAUUAAGAACACAUAAUUAAAAAAAAAACAUGACAAGUAAAACAUCGAACUACAUAACAAAAAAGAAAAAAUAAGAAUAUAAUUGAUAACUCGUAGAAAUUUGAAGAAGAAAAUCUAUAGAUACUUAAAACAUAUGAUCAAAUAGAAUAAAAUUGAAAAAAAAAAAACAAAUAUAAAUAAUAAUGAUAAUAAUAAUAUAAAUAGAAAAAAAAGCUUUACCUCUUCGUAAUUUCACAAUAAAGGACAAAAGAGAAAAUAAAGAAAAAAAGAAAUAGAUGGAAAGAGGUGUAAAGAAAUUUAAAAGGCAAAAAUUUAAGAGUUAAGGUAAAAUUAAAUGGAUUUAUAGGGUCAUUUUAUUUUUUAUUUGAAUUAAUAAUUUAAUAAAAAAUUAUUUCAGCCCAUUAAAAUAUAUAUAUAUAACAUAGUGUAACUAGGGAUGUUGAUAUGACAUUAGUAAUUUUUUUUGCAUNNNNNNNNNNNNNNNNNNNNNNNNNNNNNNNNNNNNNNNNNNNNNNNNNNNNNNNNNNNNNNNNNNNNNNNNNNNNNNNNNNNNNNNNNNNNNNNNNNNNNNNNNNNNNNUAUAUAUAUAUAUAUAUAUAUAUAUAUAUAUAUAUCUUGAUGCAUAUAUACAAUUAAACUGAUUUGUGAGAUCAGACAAUUUUUUCAUCACACAAUCAGGAGACUAUGCCUUGAAACAAAAGGUGGUUGUAACACCCCGUAAUCUCGUUUAGCAGUCAAUAAGACCCUAUCGAUAAGACGAAGGGUUACUUGAUAUAAAUUUAAAGGUCAAAGAGCGGUUACGGGUGAAAAGAAUAUUUUAAAAUAUUAAUAUUUUAUUAAUUACGAAAAUUAGUUUGAAAAAAAAAGAAGGGUAUAUGACUAAUUUAAGUGGGAGAGAAGAAAUAAGGAAGAAUUUUGGAGAAAAACAACGGUAAUUGUACCUGCGUAAUUUUAUUAAAUCGAGCUAGCACGGUAGGUAAAUAUUUAAAUAUUAUGGUGAUACCGCGUUGAAAUGUAACUUUGAUAUUUUGCUUGUACACAUGUAAGAGAAGGAAGAUACAAGAAAAUUAGAAUUUUUAUGCAUAUCAAAAGAACCAAAUUUUAAAAUACAAAAGUUAGAGAGUUGUGUUGUAAAUAAAUGAAGAUGAGAAUUAUGUGCAAUAUGUGUUUAAAAGCAAAUACGACAAAGGAAAUAAUUGGGUAGCCGUCCAUGUGGAAAUAAAAGAGCUAGAAUAUAUAUAUAUUUUUUUAAAGCAUGUGAAGGGUGUAGGGGCCAGCUAAUGAAACAAUGAAGGAAUAAAUAAUAAAAAAAAUAUAUUCAUUUGUCUUUUAUUUCCUUGCAUCAGCCGGUUCUAGGGACAAGAUAAAGGAAUUAGGAGUCAAACAAUUUUUAAGUUAUGAGGUAGGGGCCGGCCAGCUAAGUGGUGAUUGAAUAAAAAAAAAAAAAGAGAGAAGAUAGGAAGAAGAAAUGUAGGGGGCCGGCCAAAACAAAAAAAAGAGGGAGAAAAGAAAUAAAAUAAAGAAAGGGACUGACUUUCUUCCCCAAAAUUUGCAGCACAUAGAAACACAAUUUAAUGUUCUUUUAUUUGCCUUGUAUCAGCAGAGUAAAAAGAAAAGAAAAAGGGAGAGAGAGCUGGUGAGAAGGAGAAAAAUUUAUUUUCUCAUGGCUGCUGCCGACAACCACUUAAGGGGCAAAUAAAAGGGAGAAAGAAGCUAAUUUUUUGAGAGAGGAAAGAAAAAGUGUAGCUGCUGGUUUAUGAGGGAAAAAGGAAGAGAACUUGCUGCCGAUUUUGAGAGGGAGAAAUGAGGGAAAUUGCUGUCGAUUUUGAGAGGGAAAAAGAAAGAGACUUGCUGCCAGUUUUGAGAGGGAAAAAGAAAGAGUCUUGCUGCCGGAUUCAGGAGGAAAAAGAGAGACAAAGAAUCGGGAAAGAAAGAAGAAAGAAAGGUAAAAAUAUAUAUAUAUAUAUUAAAUAUAAAAAUAUAGAUAUAAUAAUAUAUAUCUACUAAAAUAAUAAUAAUAGAAUAAGAUGAUAAGAAUAAAAAAUAAAAUAAAAUAAAGUAAAGUAUAGAUAUAUAUAUAUUAAUGGGUUUCAAUGUAUAGGAGAAAUAAGUAACGGUGGAACACUGUGGUGGCAGGUCGAAGAAAAAUAACGAACGGCCGGUAGGAAGAAAUAACUAGAUACGUUUACGAAUUAAUAGCGACGUAAUAUCCCGUUAUUAUGAGGUGAGUAUGGGGUGUUCAUUUUAAAAUUUUCGUAAAUAUAUACUUAUAUGUAUGAUUUAUUUUAAACGCGAAAAUUGUGAAUAUCAUGUGCUGAUAGAAAUCUAAGGAAAUUGUGGUUGCAAAUUAUGUUUAGAAAUCGUUUUGAAUAUAUAUGUAUAAAUUAUAUGUAAAAAGUUUUGAAAAUCGGGAAACAAGUCAUUCGAACUGUUUUACCUCAAAAUUUGUGCCUUAUAUUUGUACAGUGUGCAUCUAUGAUUAUAAUGCUUAUUCACCAUGUAAGUUAUUGUUUCGAAAUUCAUGCACAAAUUUUAUUUUAUGAAAAUGAUAAUAUAUUUUAUCAUACCUUGUGUUGAAUACUUUGGAAAUAAUUUUGAGACGAGCUUUUAAGGACAUAACACAAUUUCAAAAUGGUUUUACAAACCGAGAGAUUCGAGAGUAGGUCGGUUGUCACUUCGGUUAAGUGUGACACUCGUACACGAGUGAGCUCUAGCUAGAGAACCAUUGGGUCGUCGACGGGCGAUUAGGCGUGAUUGGGGCCACGGCCUGUGAUAUAUGUAUGCAUGGCUAGGCCACCAGAUGAUUAUGCGAUUGCGACCGUUUGAUUCUCCGAUGUCGACCAACAUCGUGAGACUGCUAUGACAUGUGGGAUCCGGUGGAGCGAGGCUCCCGGAGGUUAUUACGUGGUAGCGGGACCACGGGUUUUAUUUGAUUUCCUACUUGAGACAAAAAUCUCUUUGGGUUUUCAGACUCUUAUUUCUGGCAUGGUGAAACAAAAUUAUACAGUUUCUUGUAGUUUCCUCGCAUUUAUUAUUACAUGAAUUUUACACUCGAGUGCGAGGCUAUUUGCUAACUGUGUAUAAAUUUGGUUACUAUUCACGGGAGCUUGACCAACUUUAUUGGUUUGAUUUGAGUAAAAUGUCAAUUGAGUUUGAUGGCGGAAAUCCUUUUAUGUACGAUUGUUUUAAAACAAUAUUUCAAAUGAUUGUCUUGAAAAAGGUUAUUGAUUUGUUUUUGAGGGGAAACUUUUAUUUACUUGGUUGAUUUACCACUUGAAAUGAUUACAAUGCCUAAGAAAUUUUUUGUUUUUCAUAUAAGGCACAAACAUCCGUUUGAAAUAAAUUGUUUUUAUAAUUUUGCAUUUUUAAUAUCAACUGAUCUGUUGUUUGCUUGUUUUCCAUCUACGCCUUACUCACGGAGCCAAUGAUCACUGAGUCUGUGAGACUCACACCCCUUUUUAUUUCCCUUUUUGCAGACAGUGAUCAGCCUAGUGCGUAAUCAUUGGCGCGUACGGUCCACCGCAGAUAGGUAAAGGUAUCUCAUAGCAUUUUAUCCCGAGUCGCUCCGUUGUUAGAGGUUGAGUUGUAGUACUCUGGUUUUACUAUGUAAACAAAUAUUAGUUUUGAUAUAAAUGAAGAUUUGGGAUUUUUGAACUCAAUGUAUUUAAUUGUGAUGUCAUGACUUAAAGUCAAAAUUUAAUGGCUAUGCUUAUUAUUGAAUUCAUGUUAUAAAUGUAUAUGGAUCAAACAUUAAUAUGGUUUAGUAAAAGUGUACAAUGAGUUAUUGAGAAAUUUCUUUCAGGCUUGUUCGGGACUUAACGGGAUCUCCCGGAGGUCUCGGACGCCGGUAGCGACCGAGGAGGGGUCGUUACAGUGGCAUAGCUCAAUCAAUCACAAUUAAUUCCAAACUCACAUGAAACACUCUGCUGAGUUUAAAGGAACAAUGUAUCGAAAUCUGCUGAGUUUAAACCCCAUUUAUGUGCUUUAUCACAAAGCAAAUCUGCUGUAUCGAAAUCUGUUGCAAUUCAUUACUAUUUGCUUUUUCAUUGUUUAUCUUUUAUUGUUUACUUUUUACUUUCUCUUAUUUUUAGCAAAGAAAAAAUAAAUAAUAAAAGUAUGGAGCCACUUGUUUUUCAUGCAUUAUCAUGAGUUUCUCGACCUAAUCUCUUUUCCUAUAAAAUGUUCUAGAAUCUCCACCAUCUCUAAACACUCAAAAAUCUGCCACUACCCAACCUAAUAUCAUCGCCUCAGUAGUUCAAAAUCCUCUUUGUUCUGAUUUAAAUUGAUCUUGGAUUAAUUAUUUGUAGUCUCCAAGCUCAAUACAUCCUUUCCCUGUUAAAAGAUCUUCUUCUGAAAUGUUAAAUAGUAGAGCUAGAGCACACAAACUCUUGUUCAUGUUCAUAUUUUUGUUAACACUAAAUUUUAGCUUGUCUCAGGUUGAUGAUCUCGAGCUGCUCUUAUCCUUCAAAUCCUCAAUGAAUGAUCCAUCUGGCUUCCUUUCCAACUGGAAUUGCUUUACCCCAUUGUGCCUGUGGCAUGGAAUCACUUGCAACAAUUUCUCUAAAGUAAAGGUAAUUGAUCUCGCUGAGAAAAAUAUUUCUGGAACAAUUUCAUCUUCAAUCUUUCAUUUGUCAAAGAUUGAGACUACCAAUCUUUCCAACAAUGAUCUCUCUGGUGAAAUUCCUUGUGACAUUGUUUCUUUUAUAUCACUUCAAUAUCUUAAUCUCAGUCAAACUAUCUGAUUGGUGCAAUUCCAAAUUGUUCAAUUUCACUAGAAAUAUUGGAUCUUAGUGGUAACAUGUUGUCAGGGAAAAUUCCACCACAAAUUGGUCAAUGCUCGAAUCUAAAAUUACUUGAUCUUUCUGGCAAUUAUUUGGUGGGGAGAAUUCCUAGCUCCAUAUCAAAUAUCAGCAGUUUGCAAAUCUUAACUCUUGCUUAUAAUGAAUUGAUUGGCCAAAUUCCACAUGGGUUAAGCAAAAUGAAGAGCUUGAAGUGGAUUUACUUUGGGCAUAACAACCUUUGUGGCAAAAUUCCACGAGAACUUGUUAAUUUAGUUUCUUUGAAUCAUCUUAAUCUUCUCUAUAACAAUCUCAAGGGACAAAUUCCAUCCUCACUUGGAAACCUCACCAAUCUUCAAUACCUCUUCCUCUACGGAAACAAGCUUAUAGGUUUGCUUCCUCGAUCCAUUUUUGGCCUCAAAAAACUCGUUGAACUUGAUCUUAGUUAUAAUCAUUUAUCGGGUGAGAUUUCAGAACUCAUAAUUGAGUUUCAGAGCUUGGAGAUUCUUCAUCUUUCCUUCAACAACUUUACUGGCAAAAUUCCAAAUGCUCCAGCAUUUUUGCCUCGUCUUCAACUCAUUUGUCUUUCAUUAAACAACUUGACUGGAGAAAUUCCUUCUUUGAUCUGCAAUAUAAGUUCCAUCGAAGUUCUAAACUUAGCUCAUAACAACUUGUGGAAUCAUUCC
rnacentral:lncRNA from 1 species